rnacentral:lncRNA from 1 species
AUCAACCACCUAAGGGAAGGGUUUAAAGAUGCUCCUUCCAUAUUAACGUAAUAAAUCCUGCAACCAUGAAGGUCCUCCUCUAGCCAGGUAAGAAUUGAACCUGCCAUCUCGGGUGACACUUUGAGAGAUCUCCCUUGCUGCUCUAUUGGCUCCCACCGAUUCAUGUUCAAUAGAACAAAAGGUAAAACCGUUGCAUAGUUGGGCAAUAAGAGUGGUCAAAGAGCGGAAUUUCGGCCAGAGAAGAGGUUUAGAGAUUGCCUCUACUACCGAAUGAGAGUCGGAGACUAGCAAAACCUCUGUGAAGUGUAGGUCACACAAGCUUUGAAUUGCCCAGAUAAUACACCGUAGCUCCGCAAUAAUUCUGUUAGGCGAAGGAGUAAAAGCUUCUCUUGCAUGAAAGAGAACCGAGCCUUGAUGAUCUCGGACGAUCCACGCCCCACCACUGUGUAAAACUUCAUUCCUCCAAUUAGCAUGUAAGUUGCACUUAACCACGCCCAGUGCUGGAGGCUGCCAUUUAGAAUCGACAAGAUUAAAGAAAUUCUUGUUACGAUCCACCAGGCCUGAAGGAUCAUGCAGCUUCGACCAAAGCAAAGCUUCUUCUUUAGCCCUCUGUACAAUUACUGCUGCAGACUCCUGUUUGUUUGCAAAGAAUACCGAGUUCCUGUUUUUCCAUAUUUGACUCUUCUUUUCUCAACUUUAACUAAGGAUAUUUAGCAUGCAUAAUUUUUACUCAUUGUAAAACUAAAAAAAAAAAAACACAGAGGAUUUCUUAACAUGCAUGAAUUUUAGGAAAUUUUAUAAAUUUUAAGUUUAGGAAGAGUUCUACGAAAAGGAAAAUUCUUGUUCGAGGGGGUAAAUGAAUGAAUUCACUCCUAGGGAUGAACCCAAGAAUUGUUCUCUACGAAAAUGUACUAAAUCAUUCAAGAGCAUUUCCUAAACUUUAACGAAGCCUUUUCUAACAUAAAAUUUGUACUAGUUUAAAAAUUCUCUACAUUUAUGAUGUUUGUGAAAUAAAAUCUUGCUUUUAUUUUGGUAAUAAUGUACUGUAUUUCUGUUUAAAAUAUAUAGAUUAAAUGGAAAGGUGUAGUAUUAAUGUAAAAAAUUACCAGAUUCCUUUACUUAUUUAGUUCUCUCAUAACUCCCAUUUGGUUAAAUGUAUAUGCAACAACGAACCAUAAUUAGUACUUCUAGAUUUAAUUACCAUACUUAUAUAAAUAGUAUCUCGUACCCCAUUCCAACAUUAUAAAUACACCAUCUUUUCUCUUUGUCUGUCCUUCUUUAAGAUCUUUCUCUCUUAUCUUUGUUAGUGGAAACUUCAAAAGAAAGAAAGCCAAAAAAAAAAUGUUGCUUACACUAUUAAAAUCACUCCUCGUGAUAUUCGUGACCUUGAUAUUAAGAGUUCUAUACGACACCAUAUCAUGCUACUGGCUAACACCUAGGCGAAUCAAGAAGAUCAUGGGAAGGCAAGGCGUAACCGGUCCUAAACCGCGUCCUCUAACCGGAAACAUCCUUGAAAUCUCGGCCAUGGUUUCACAAUCCGCUUCCAAGGAUUGUGACUCUAUUCACCAUGACAUCGUCGGUCGCCUUUUACCGCAUUACGUCACUUGGUCCAAACAAUACGGUAUGAUCUUAUAAUCUUAAUUAUAAAACUCGGUUACAUGUAAAAUAUUGAUUAAACCAAACGUCAAUAUAUUGCUCCCUUGGCUUGAACAGGGAAGAGAUUUAUUGUGUGGAACGGGACGGAUCCUAGGCUUUGCUUAACGGAAACGGAAUUGAUAAAGGAAUUGCUUAUGAAGCAUAACGGUGUAAGUGGAAGAUCGUGGCUACAGCAACAAGGAACCAAGAAUUUUAUUGGUCGUGGUCUCCUUAUGGCUAAUGGCCAAGAUUGGCACCACCAACGUCACCUUGCUGCACCGGCAUUUACCGGAGAAAGGCUCAAGGCACGUCAAGAAAUUAACCUCAUGCACACAAAAAAAAUGCAAAGUAACUGACUGUUGAAUGACUGAAAUACCCUUUACGAUGCAGGGCUAUGCAAGGCACAUGGUGGAGUGCACGAGCAGGCUAGUGGAGAGGUUGAGGAAAGAAGGAGGAGGAGAGGUUGAGAUAGGGGAGGAGAUGCAUCAGCUCACGGCUGAUAUUAUAUCGAGGACGGAGUUUGGGAGCAGCUUUGAGAAAGGCAAAGAGCUUUUUCACCACCUCACCGUCCUCCAGCGCCGUUGCGCUCAAGCCACCCGCCACCUCUGUUUUCCCGGCAGCCGGUUGGUUUUUCUUCCUCACUCAAAAGUUUCUAGUUUUUUAUAUACCAAUGUGCUUUUCAAUUAUUAACAAUAUGCAGAAAUUCCAAAAUAUUAUAUAUGUGAAUUCGAUACCAUCGAUUUGAAUUACCGAACUAUUUAUUUUAGGUAUUUGGGUUGUGGACAAAAUAAAAAACAAUAUGCAGGAAAAAUUCCAUUAUAAUAUACCAACUAAAAUUUUUAUUAUCAUUUAAAUACACCAAUUUUAAUGUAUUAAAAAAAAAUAUUAGUUAGUUAACUAAAAGUAUACUGCUUUUUGUUCACGUAAAAUUGUAUGUGGUAAUUUUUAUUUUUGUUAAUUGUGAACUUAGUGAUUUUAGAUUUCGAAACUUAGUUUGUGCUUUGAUGUGUCAUUCCCGGGUUUCAAGCAAUUUGUUUUUCUAUGUCGAGCACAAGUAUAUAUCACCCGUUUACUCUCUAACAUGUUUUGUUUCAAAUGACUAUUGCUUUAAAGUUGACCUUAAUUAGUACAGUCAAACCUUGACUUGACAUGGAAUAUUUUGUGUCUAUAGGUUUCUUCCGAGCAAAUACAACAGAGAGAUAAAGUCUCUGAAAAAGGAAGUGGAACGUUUGUUGAUAGAGAUCAUACAAAGCCGGAGGGACUGCGCCGAGAUGGGCCGGAGCAGUACUCACGGCGAUGACCUUCUUGGCCUUCUCUUGAACGAAAUGGAUAGCCAAAAGAACAAUAAUAAGGAUAACAACAAUCUUCAGUUGAUAAUGGAUGAAUGCAAGACGUUCUUCUUUGCUGGUCAUGAGACCACCGCAUUGCUCCUCACAUGGACAAUGAUGCUCCUCGCCGAUAACCCCUCGUGGCAGGAAAAAGUUCGUGAUGAGGUCAGAGAGGUAUGUGGCUGCGACGGUCUUCCCUCGGUUGAUCAACUAUCCAAGCUUACCUCGGUACGUAUUUUCACUCUUAGCUAGAUACAUGAUAUACAACUUAUAACAUCUAAAAUAUAUUGUUCUUACCCAUUAAUUAGAACUAGAAUUCUAAACCUAAGAUCAAUUCUUCUCUUACAAAUUUUAAUUUUUUUGGUUAGAUCCAUCGAGUCAACGUAGGUGUAAAGUUAUAUUAGGUUUGAAUGGUAGCAUCUUCUGAGUAGAUUCUGAGUAGGACUCGAAGGCCACUAACUCAUACACAUAAAAGAUGAUAUUUGUUGUUUGCUCCAAUUUAAUAAGUAUAUAACUAUACAAUAUUGAAACUAAUUAUUUUGUUUGAAGUAGUAGAAUUAGCUUUAUAAUGAUGAAUUGGUGCGGGUGGGGUAUAAACAUUCAACACAGUAUAGGCAGUGCCACUAACUUCAUAGUGCUUCUUCCAUAUCUAAGCUAAUAACAUAGUCACCAAGUCGACACAGAAACCUAAUGAGUAGAUCAUAUCUUCUAGUUUUGUCUUCAUGCUUAAUCUUAGCCGAAAUCAAAUAAAAAGCGUAAUAGAAAUGUGUAGGUUUAUUGAUUUCUACAGAUGUAUUCAUUUUGAAUCAGUCGUUACAUUUUUGUAUCUGGUUUUACAUAAUUCACGUUUCGUCUUAGAAAUAGUUAUUUAAAUAAGAUAUGAUUAACAAUUGGUUAAGCUAGCUUUAAAAUUUGAGAAGAAAUAGAGGGACUGGUACAUAGAUUUUCAGGCAUAAACAAAUGGGUAAAUGAUACAUGUCUUUUGUUUAAUGAUUAGCACUAAGACAUGCUUUGCAUAAAAUAUUAUAUAUGCAAAAAAUCUGAAAUCUGUAUUAACUAAUGAUUAGAUUUUGACAGCUUCAUUGAUAGUCUUUUUCAAAAGGAAAAGUCAAUUCUCAAACUAAAAGAUGUUUGAGAAAGAGUCAAGAGGCACUUCGCAUGAUCAUAAGAUAUGAUUCCAAUAUAAAUUAAUAGAAUAUUUCUCCUAACUAUUUUGUCUUUUUUCUUCCCUUAUACCAGUUAAACAAAGUGAUAAACGAGUCACUAAGACUUUACCCUCCAGCCACUCUUCUACCAAGGAUGGCAUUUGAAGAUAUAAAACUAGGUGAUCUAACAAUUCCCAAAGGUUUAUCAAUAUGGAUUCCGGUCCUCGCGAUCCAUCACAGUGAAGAACUAUGGGGUAAAGACGCAAAUGAAUUCAACCCUGAACGUUUUGGAGGUAGACCAUUCGCUCCUGGCCGCCAUUUUAUUCCAUUUGCAGCCGGUCCUAGAAACUGUAUUGGACAAUCAUUUGCGAUGAUGGAAGCAAAAAUAAUAUUAGCGACGCUAAUUUCGAAGUUUAGCUUCACGAUAUCAAAGAAUUAUAGACAUGCGCCAAUCGUUGUGCUUACUAUAAAACCUAAGUAUGGAGUUCAAGUGAUAUUGAAACCAUUGGAUUUAUGAAGACUUUUGGGGUUAAGAGAUUGGUUUUUAAUGCCUUGGUUAAACGCUGGGAGAGGAAAGAUUUUGGGGUUUGUGAAUUUUUUGAGUAACAUGGGGGAUUUUUAUUGGAAUAAAUGCUAUACGAGAGAAUAUAUGCUAUUCUUUUUCCUCAAAAUACAUUUUCUUUUGUGUUUUUUCUUUCUUUUAUGGGUUUUACGAUAUUAUUUAAAAGUGACGAAAACAACUCAACAGCCUUCAUGUUUUUUUUUCAUAUAUGUUAAAAUAUAUAAGCUAUUUCUUAGAAUUUCUCAAAAAUAUACACGUUUAGUAAAACAUUUUAAACUGAUCCAUGGUAAAAACUAAAAAAAAUGUACAUUUGAUGACAUAAAUUUUCGCACUGAUUUCAAAACUCAUGCAUUAAAAUAUUUUUGCUAUGCCAAAAAAAAAAUGGUAGACUAAGUUGGCAUUCGAAGUGAGAAAGCUCAAAAGAAGAUUUCGAACUAAUAUUUAUUAGACUAACAAAUGAUUGUAAUUUUUUAUAGGCCAAAGCUUAUUUGUUUGAUGUUUUAAUUGAUUCAAUUGAUUCAAUAAGGACGAGUUGCAAGAUAUAAAUAAUCUUCUUAGUAAUAAAUUAAUCACAGAAAGAUAUGAAAGGUUGGGAGUCUCGCGACUGUUGUCUUUGUGUAAGGUCAUAUUUAUUUGCUUUUGAGGCUGCAAAAUGGUAUCAAAUAACCUUUUUGGCAUAUGGGCCAAAAAGCAAUUGUCCAUCGAUCCCCUUUUAUUGGGUUUAGAAAGUGAAGUUGAUAUUCAAUAUUAAUAAAAGUCAUCAUGUUAUAUUGAGAUGGGUUCAAUCUAGAUAAGCUUCUAAUAAUAACAAACAUAAAACAAGAAGUAUAAUAAUCAAAGAAACAAAAAAAGUGAUUAGGGAUGGGGGAAAAGGAGUUCAACUUUUAUUUUUGUUGGUUAAGUUUGGUGGCAGCCAUUGCACUUACAAUGACUAAGGUUGAUUCUUGCUUCUUUAUCUUAAAUAUAUUAAAAAGAAAAUGUGGUAGAAGUAAAGCAAUCGGAGUGCAUGGUAGAAAAAGAAUUUUGUAUUGUAUGUCCAUGUGUAGAAUUAGAAAAUAUUGUUAGAAAUUAUAAUAAUAUAACAUAUAUACGCGUAUAUAAAAACAUAUCGUCAUUAUAAUUUUUCUUGAACUGACAAGUCAAAAAAAAUAUCGUCAUACUGUUAGAUACGCUCCAAUAAAUAACUGGAUUGUUGUACAAAUGAUGCAAGAAAAUAUUAAAGGAAUAAUUAUUUGUUCAAUUUUCCGUAACGCAAUCAAUCCGAUGCUAAUUAGUUCUUAGUUGUCAUGAGAUCAGUUAAGCGAUCCCAUUUAGAUCUCUAUGGUCUGUAAUCACUCCGACUACUUGUUUGGAAUGAGAAUUAUGAGUAAUAGUCUUGUAUUCAUAAAAUACACCACAACAAUAUUUUAGCCAAAAAAAAGAAGAAAAUACACUACAAUAGUAUAAACUAUCUAGGAAAUGUAAAUAUUUGUUAUAACAUACACACGCGUAUGCAUCUACAUUUAAAUAGUGAUAUACUGUAUCUUGUUUGACGAAGUUAAGCAAAUAUCCUUCCAGUAUCAAAAGAGACAAAUCUUCGUGAUCAAAUAAGAUUUGGUGGAAAUGUGAAAAUGUGAAAAUGUGAAAAUGCUAUCUCAAAUAUUAUCAAAUACAAAUUAUGAGAACAAAUAUAUAGACGAUUUUAAAAUUUUGAUAGUGUAUCAACUUUUAAUUAAAUAAUCGCUGUACAAUAUUUAAGUGAAAACAAAUUGACAUGACCAACUUUUAACUCGGUCUUAGGUAGAAGUAGAAGAAGCAUGUGCCUCUAACCGCUGUAGUCGAUUCGUAUCUAUUUUACGGACUAGUUUUUGUACAAUGUACCUAUUAGAGAUCAAAUGUUGCUAGUUCUAUUGGAAAUGAGACAAGCCUAUCUCUUUUAGGGAUUCAAAACCCUUAAAUAAAGUUAAAUAUUUUCCAUAUGUUUUUGUACAAUGUAGACCGGUUUUGUUCUCAGUGAACAUUACACUAACAGUGAGCACACCUUCUUCUCAUGUCAAUAUGCCAAAGAAGUCUGGCGUUUAUCAGGAAUGCCUCUGCAUAUCCUCAAGAAUCGAAAAUUUUCAUUGGAAGACAAAGUACGAUACUUGUUCUCUCUACACCGGAAUAGUUGUCUCUGAAACAAACCUGAAACUUCCUUUUUAAGUGCUUUGGAGGCUAUGGAGAAGUCAAAAUGAUCUCCUAUUCAAUCAUCAUAAUAUCACCGAAGUAGAACGAUAAAGAGAGCAACUGAGGAUGCGAAAAAAGGGAUCAGCAGAUCUCCUCCAACGGAGACAUCAUCGUAGACACCGGCCAUAGGACUAGACAAGAGCAAAGUCGAUGGAUAAAACCAAAUAAAGGUUAUAGGUUAAGUGUAAUUAUAUAUGAUGCAUCCCAUUAUGAAGGUAAUCAAAACUCGGGACUUGGAUGGAUUCUUCGAUAUAGCAAUGGAACUUUCUUAGACUAUGUAUGGGUAAGUUUCAAGGGAGAAACACAACUGAAGAAGUAGAAUGUACAUCAAUUAUUUGGGCUAUGCAAGCAACUUGGGCCCUCGGAUAUUGAGUGGUAGAGUUUGAAGGUGAAUAUUUGAAUAUCAACCGUAUUAUCAACCAGAAAAUUACAAACCUUAAACUUCAGCAUUAUAUGGAGGCAAUCAACCGGUGAAGCGAUAUGUUUAAGCAAGACAAAAUUUCCUUUAGGCAUCGUGAGUUGAAUACAUGCGGUGAUAUAUAUGCUAGCUAGGAAAUCAAUCUUGGAUGUAACUCUUUGGUCAAUGUAUCAUUGUUGCCCAAAUUUACUAUAUCCUCUUGUAAACAAAUAUUGUGAAUUUGUGAUUUGCAAAAUCAAUAAAGUUCUUUGUCGGAGGAAAAAAAAAUAAGACAAAUACAUAAUUUAUUUUCAUUUUGGCUACGUUAGAUAACAUAUGCAUGCAUAGUGAGGCUUGAACCUCGAACUUGAUGCAAUAUGUGAACAUCCGUAAGAGGGUACCAGUAAUCAGACAUUAGUAAUCUUGUUUGUAAUAUAGAAAAAUGUUUCAGGUCUUGAUCCUACAAUUUUUUUUCUUGAAACUUGAAAGCUUUAGCUUUUGGUUCAUGUGCUAUAUUAUAUGUAGUACAAAAAUUUGGAUAUCGUCCUAUGCUGGGCUUUAGCGGAAAUAUUGAUUUAUGAGCUCGACUAUUGAGCCCAAUUAAGUGUAUUUUUCCGAAGCCUAUUGAUAUUAUCUGCAUAUAGAGAGACUAGGGUUAGCUCUAUGUAUGCAUGUAAUUUUUUCAAAAUGGACUUACAUACAUUUAAAGUUUUUCAUUUAUAUAAUAAGAUACAUGUAUAAAGAUGCUUUUGAUAAUUUGUUACAAAGGUUUCGCUUCCACAAUUCAGAAGAAAACCCUUUUUUUUUGCUUAACUUAAAACAGAUUUCUAAUGAUUACUUCCACUUGUAUUCUAACUUAGGCGUUUUUUUGCCAUGUGUGAAGUAGAUCCCAUCUUCUCUAGCAUCCCAAAAGUUCUUUUUACCAUAAUGAACUAUGAGACCACCACCUACAUAUCCCGUAAACCCUGCAUGGAACUUGAAAUUAGGUCCUUGCCAUAGAUCACAAAAGAAUUCUGUUUUCAAAACACUAUCAUGAAAACUGAAAUCGUAGGUUUCUCCAGGUCGCAAAUAGUGGAAGCCUAGAUUGUCGUCGUUCGAUAUGCAAUUGAUCUUCAAUAUAUUGUUCCGGCCUAGAGAAUUUUUAAAGAAUACAGAGUUUUUCUCAUUCCACUUUGCGUUACUCAAUCCCAUGCACAAUCCAAUAACGAGCAGAAAACACGAGAGACGAUUCAUUGUUUUGCUCUUCCUUGUUCUACACUUCGUUUAGAUUUAGAAGUAAUUUUUGUAGAUAAUUAGAAGGGGCAAUGUCUUUUUAUACUCUUUUUUACAUGGAUAUUCAUUCUAGCUAUUUUUAAACAUCUUUGUUUUGACUAAUACGAAUCCGGUUUUGCUGUUUUUCUCUUGUCCUUAUCGCUUUUACUGUUUUUGCAUCUAAUUAGGCCAUCUCCAAUGGUUAGCACCUUAAGGAGUGCUUAACCAUUUUUAAAUUAGUAUUUUUGAAGUUUUGUUGUUUAAGCAUUUCUUUUAAGAUGUUAUUUUUUUUCAGGGUCCAAUGGGAGGUGCUAAAAAGGGGUGCUUAAAAAAUUUUUUUUUUAGUUUGAAUUUGCGUCUUCUUCUUUGAUCGUUCUUGUUGUUGUGUCUUCUUCUUUGAUCGUUCUUCCUGAUACCUAUCUUCCAAUGUCUUUGGUUUAAGACUGCAUUGCCUGGCAACAGCAGAAAAAAUAUAUCAUCAAUACAGAUAAGGAAGAUAACCACUGUAUAUAACAAAACCGCUUUUUUCAUACAAACAAUCUGAUCCGAUAGAAUAAUAGAAGCCCCAUCGCCAAUAGCUUCCGGGUAUAUUGAAUGUUAAACCUAUUCUCUAACUCAGAGUGUGAGCAAUAAAGCAACCACUAACACAUAAUGAAUUUGAAAUUGGACCAUCUAUUAAGUACAAAAAGCUUCAGACUCGACGCGGAUAUAACAAACAUUGUUUCUGUUAAUUUGCACGCUGAUACAAUCAAACAAAAAUCAACCACAACACUCUCUUUUUUUAUAGUCAACUAUCAACCAUGAUACUCAAAGCACCAAAUUGCAGAAAAUCCAGAAACAAAAACCCGUAAGCAAAUCCAUUCAUCGGUCAAAAAUCAAUGUUGUCGAAAAUUACAAAAACCUGUAAUCAAAUUUGGUUUCUGAAAUUUGAUUUCCCAACUAACCAAAAUCUUGCUGAGUCUUUGCACUGGUGAGUCUUUGUUUCUGUUGAAUCGGCGGAAUUAGCUGCUUCGACGAGGGAUGAUAUCUCUGAACCAUCGAUUGAUAGAGUAAACAUCAACCUGGGUUUCUCGCCGGAAAAGUGAUGAUAACAAAGGAUUUCUUGCCGGAAAAGAUGGGGAAUAAGCAUGCAUGAAGAUCAAGCUGGGUAAUCUCUCAAUCGGCUCUCUCAAUCGCCAAAAGAAUCGAAGGUCGGCUUUGGAAACAGAAGGAGAAAAAACGACUUGGGACAAAAACGUGAUCGGUGAAGAACAAAGGAAAAAAGGUUAUCCUGCGUGAAAAAAAAAGAAAAAAAAAGAAAAAUUUUAGACCAAUGAGAAUUGAGCACAUCAUCGGUGCUUAAGGGUGCUUAAGUUGCUAAUAGAAGCAUCGAUGCUAAGCUUUUUUUCUAUUAAAGAUUUAUUUUUAAUCUAACUUUUUGAUUAAGCACUCUUUAAGCACCUUCCAUUGGAGCUGCUCUUAAAGAGUAACUAGUUAACUUUCUCGCGCCUUGCGCGGAUUGAUAUAAUUUCCAUUUGAUUGUUUGAAAAUGUAAUAGUAGUUUGGAUUUAUUUAUUUUUUUAUUCUUGAGUAUAUUUGUUUGUUAGUUUUUUUUUUGCAUUUUAAUAUUGGAAGGCAUGAUCGUGAAGACAAUAUAGAAUAGAAGAGAGUAAAUAAAAGCAUAGUAAUAUCCAAAUAAUUUAGUUUAAAUAGUUUUGAGAUAUUUUGAUUACUGUUUUAUGUAUUUUAGACGUAAUUUUUUUAAGGUUCGUAUGAACUUAUUCAAUUUUGAUCACUGUUUAAUGUGUUUUAAACAUCAUAAAUACCUUCAUUCCAUUAGUUAGAUAUAUAGAUUUUCUUUCUUUUAAACUUUUUUGUUAGAGUUUUUUUUUUAAUUUCUGUUUUUGUUUUGUUUUGAAACGACAUUCUAUUACUUUUUAAAUAGUUUUCAUUUUUUUUCUUUUAACAUUUUUGUUAGAUUUUUCUAAAUUUUAAAAACAAAAGAAAUGGUAAACACUAAGAAGUAUGGAUUCUAUUUUUUUAUAAAAAAAAAAUUUUUGUUAUUUUUUUUUUAAAUUUCGGUUAUAUAUAAUUUUAAAAACGGUUUCAUUGACCAUGAAAUUAAAAAUUAAACCAUAUUUAGACUUUUUUAAAAGGUUUUUUACACAUCAUCAUAUAAGAACCAAUAAAAAAAUGACACAUAAUUGCAAAAAGGGCUAAACGGUCUGUUUAUAGCCGAAAUUUAUUUAGGAGUUGACACGUAAGCGAAAAGCUGUGAAACUCGCUGUAAAACGUUUUUUUUUUAAUUCUUCUAAAUUUUGGUUUUAUAUAACUUCAAAAACGACACUCUAAAGCUUUUUAAAUAGAUUCAAUUUUUUGUUUCUUUUAACAUUCUAAAUUUUAGAAACAUAAGAAAUGGUAAACACUAAGAGAUAAUUUUUUUUUAGAAAAACAUUUUUUUUAAAAAAAUUUCUAAAUUUCGGUUUUAUCUAAUUUUAAAAACGGUUUAGUUGACUAUAAAAUUAAGCAUUAAACCAUAUUAAUUUAAACCGGUUCGUUUUGAGUUUUUUUUUUUACACAUCAUCAAUUAAAAACCAAUUAAAAAAUGACACAUAAUUGCUUAAUAUGGUUAAACAGUUUUUUUGUAGUCGAAACUCAUUCUAGAUCAGACACGUAAGCGAAAGAUUGUGAAACUUGUUGUGAACGCGACACGUAAGCAAAUCAGUACACAAAUAAGUAUAUAGAUGAUUUGGAUAUAUAUAUAUAUAUAUAUAUAUUUUUUUUUGGGGUUAAAUGGAUAAAAAAAAUUCAACAUUAAUUUGUGAUAUGCGUCAAUGACUAUCUUUAUAAUGUAAAAAAUCUUAAUAGAACAAAUAAACGCUUUCAUUCCCAUUGUAACAUCAAGUGGUUACGCAAAACAUUUGGGUUUGAAUGGUAACACACCGAACAUAAUGGCAAUAGCUUCCAACUUGCGGAGAACUGGUUCUUAAAGACUUUUAAGUUGCUUUCCGGUUGGGUCGUUUUAUCAUUAUUUCUUUUGUUUCUUCGGUUUUAAGAAUGUUAUCAUUGCAUCUUGACAUUGUGAGUUGAAAAACUCAUGGUUUAGUCGAUGGACUGAAUUUCGAGUUGUUUUUUGUUUCCAUGUUUAAUUUUUUUUUUGCCAUGAGACCAAUUUCAUUGGUUAAAGCAUCUAUAAAAUCUAAACCGUUCAUUUUUAAUGAUAUUAACAUCUUAGCCAAAAAAAAUAAAAGCAAUAGUGGCAAUAGAGUUCCUGGAUUUGAAAUGACAACAGUGGUAUUAUCUCAUAUCAUCUUAACUCGAAUUUUUUAGUCCUCUGUUUUUUACUUUCUUUUGUUAUGUUCCUAAAUUUUUUUUUACUAUUCUUCUGUCUUCUUGCUUUAAGAGUGUACAUGGCCAUUAACGCUCUCAUAACUCAUAAGUUAUAAUAGUGACGACCUUUGAUUAUAUCAAUAAUAAAAUUUUCGAGUAAUGUGUAACGGAACAUUGUGAACUUAUAAACCGAUUCAGACUAAGCCCAAUUAAUUGUAUAUAAUAAACAUAAGGUCCAAAAACAUUAUAAUGUAGGUCAUGCGUCUGAUUUCUUUUCUCCCAAAAGGAAGGAGACAAAACCCAUAUGGCUCAAGUGGAGACCAGUAACCAUACACAUUCACUCAUUUUCUUACAAGAAAAGAUAAGAUAAUGGAAUUUUCUGACACGUGGCCUUAUCAUAGUGGUCCGUGACGAUAAGGGUGUCAACACCUUUCCUUAAUCCUGUGGCAGUAAACGACGUUAUCAAGAAUCAUGGACCCUUUGAUCAAUAGGGCUUUUUGCCUCUAGCCGUUCUCACUAUAUAUAUAGAUGAGUAAAGCGAUAGACAAACAAGUAAGUAAGAGAAAAGAGCAAAAGAAGAAGAAGAAGAAGAAAUAGUAAUGGCUUCCUCUAUGCUCUCCUCCGCCGCUGUUGUUACUUCACCGGCUCAAGCCACCAUGGUCGCUCCAUUCACCGGCUUGAAGUCAUCCGCUGCAUUCCCAGUCACCCGCAAGACCAACACCGACAUUACUUCCAUCGCAAGCAACGGAGGAAGAGUUAGCUGCAUGAAGGUAAUUAAAUGUCACUAUAAGUUCAUAUAUAUAUAUAUACGAAAUCGAAGUAAUAUUAAUUGGAAAUGUUAUUUAUAGGUGUGGCCACCAAUUGGAAAGAAGAAGUUUGAGACUCUCUCUUACCUUCCUGACCUUACCGAAGUUGAAUUGGCUAAGGAAGUUGACUACCUUCUCCGCAACAAGUGGAUUCCCUGUGUUGAAUUCGAGUUGGAGGUAAUAAAAAUCGAAAAUCAUAUACAUAAAUAUUUAGAGUAGCUUGACCAUAUGAAUCUUGCAACGAUCUUAAAACUGUUUAGAGGUCCUAUGCAGAAUCUUGAUUUAUAUGUACAUAUUUGAAAUGUUCUUGAAUGGUUUUUGUAAUGUGUUUUGUAGAACGGGUUUGUGCACCGUGAGCACGGAAGCACUCCCGGAUACUACGAUGGACGUUACUGGACAAUGUGGAAGCUUCCUUUGUUCGGAUGCACUGACUCAGCUCAAGUGUUGAAGGAAGUGCAAGAGUGCAAGAAGGAGUACCCCCAGGCCUUCAUUAGGAUCAUCGGAUUCGACAACACCCGUCAAGUCCAGUGCAUCAGUUUCAUCGCCUACAAGCCACCAAGCUUCACCGAUGCUUAAGUCACUUUCUCUUAAAUCAUUCAUAUAAUAUUCUCAUUUGCAUUUCCAAUUGUCUCUGUUUCUUUUUUUCUUGGAUUUCUGUUUCUGAGACAUUUUCUAUCGAUCGGAUUGUCAAAAUGUCUGAUUUAUGAAUAUGUAAUUUAUGUUUCCCUCUUCUCCUUCUUGCUUAUUUUCUGAUGGUUAUUAGUUUUUAAAAAAUUACUGGGAUAAGGAAACAGACAAAAUCACGUCACACAAAGAAAGGUUGGAUAGUGUUAGUGGUAAUUUGUUAUAGGAAUAGGAAAACAUUAUUACCUAAAGAGCUUAGAUUUCAUAUGAAUAAUUAGUUCAUCAAAUAUUCAAAUAAGAAUCAUUGUAUCAUUUUAUUUUUGGAUGUCACAAUCACACAGUAUAAUAUGUACUUGUAGAUUUAUUAUAGAUUUCAAUCAUUUCAUAAAAUAGUCAUCUUUUGAUGUUUCACACUUCUUACGUGGAGUUUAUGAUAUGAUUUAUACCUAUACUCCAAAUUACUGGUAAACUAUCAUUGGAAUAUACGAUACACUAUAUAUACAUAUAUAUCAUAUAUAUAUAUAUUUACUCUAGAUACUAAUGACAUAUGUCAAUAGUUUUAGUAUGAAAAGCUAACUUGAGUUUUUUUUUUUAAAUACUAUUAUAGUAAAAAAAAAUUAUAGAAAGAAUGUAUGUAAAUUCCAGUUCAUACACGGAUUUAAUAUUUCAAAGGAAAGGAUGGUCCACUUGAAAUCUGUGAUAGACACUUUUGUGGACGGUGCAAUACAUAAGAUAGGCUUGUGGAUAAGAGUGAAAAUUCCCUUCUAUAAUUUUCUUAGUGAUCUUUAAUCCAUGCGAAUCAUGCGUGUCAUUCUGCUAUUAGUGUAUAGUAAGUUCAUCGACUUUAUGAAACCGUAAGAAAUCGUCAAUUUAGUUAGUUACGAAAACAUGUUUUUAAUGACUCUUUCAUAAAAUUUUGGAUUUUUAGUAUAAUAAGUUAUUGGUUGCUAGCGAAUGCAUAGAAAUGCACAAUGUACUCAAAAGAUUGGAGAUAAAACAAAAACUCCAAAUUGACUUAGUAAGGCCAAAAAUGAAAUAUAAAAUCAUAUUAACAAAAAAAAGGGGAAAAUAUGGCUCUUUGGUUCUUAUAUAUUAAAUGCAGGCCGAAAAAAUAGAUGAACGUUUAAAGUCUGUAAAUUAAAAUGGAAAUGAAAAAUUGGUUUAUUGUUCUGGAGACGCAAAAAUUUAGUGUAUUAAAAUGGUAAUAGAAAUUUAGUUUUUAUAUCAUUAUGGAGUUUUCUAAGUCCUUUCGCGAUUAUCACUUCCACAUCCGGUUCUUUACUUUUUGCUAGAAUGUCAGUGAACCUAAAAUCUACUGCAUUGAUCAUGCAUUAACCAUUAAAUGACAUCCAAAAACAUAUGCUGAUCUUUUGGCCAUUAAACGAUUAAACGGUAUACUUAUUAAGUUUAUCAAGAAGACAAGAGUGAGCGGCCAUUACACGGCACCCAAUAUAAUGAUGUCUUUACCAAUCACGUACAUCAUGCAUGCCUUGUAAUGAAUACUACUCCCUCUGUUCAGAAUUAUUUGAUGUUUAAAGUUUUUGCACACAGUUUAAGGAUUCAUUUAAUUUUUAUUUUUUCUAUACUAAAAAAUAUAAUUUAUAAUCUAUUUAAGUAUCAUUCAGCCAAUAAAAAGACAUUCUGCAAAAUAUAAAAUGUCAAAAAUUAUAAAAAUUCAAUAAAUUUUGCAUUAAAAAGUGAAAACAUCAAAUAAUUCUGAACAAAAAAACCUUCUAAAACAUCAAAUAAUUCUGAACAGAGGGAGUAUUAUUUAUAACAUGAUCUAACCAUUAGUUAUUUACAGUCCAUUGAUCCUCAUCCCACUAACAUUUCGAAAUAUUAUACGAAGUAAAACUAUAUUUCUGAUUCUGUUAUAUAAUAUGUGUUGUACUUUUUAAGUUCAUGUCUAAUUAUUGUCUGUUUUGGAUUCAAAUGGUAAAAUCCAUAUGAAUAUAUUUUUGAAUUCCUUCCCAAAAUGGGUUUUACUAAUUACUAUUAGACAUAAUUUAUAUAUUAGAUAUUCUUUGUCUAAAUUUCAAAUGUGAGAUCUUAAAUUAAUUGAUUCCCAACAAUCAUUUUCUCAAAAACCAUGGAUCACACAAACCAUUAGCCUCCAACCUCUAGUGAAACCUGGGGCAUCCAUCUUGUACUACCGUAUGCACCAACAAAACUCUUCACAUAAUCUUUACACAACCGUUAGAAAUAUUUUUCACACAAGGAACCGGCACCCCUAAUCGCGAGGUCAUCAUAAAUGUUUUUUCUCCCACAACGAAUAUUCAGCCCACACCCACUUGUCUAAGUCCACAUUUUCCAAAACCUCCAUCUAAAAACCAAUUCUUGGGCUUUUUAAGUCCAUGCCCAAGUAGCAAAUCUCGCAUGGAUAUGUUUUUGUACCCCUUCCCAAAAAGCCUCAUACUAAUUACUGUUGGACAUUGCUUAGAUACCGAAUAAUAUUUGCUUAAAAAUUUUCAAUGUGGGAUUUUGGAUUGAUUCCCAACAAUCAUCCUCUUAAACCAAGGAGCACACAAAACCUUGGCCUCCAACCUCCAUCAAAACCUGGCACCCAUCUUGUACCGCCGUACGCACCAACAUAAUUCUUCUUAUAACUCUUGUGAAACCGUUAGGAAGACUUUCGACAUAAUAACCGACAACCCAUAAUUGCAGAAUCACCUUGAGGGCUCUCCCUCCUACAACAAACAUCUAGUCCACACCCACUUGUCUAGGUCCAUCUUUUCUAAAACCUCGCUUUUAUACUUGUUGUAACAGAUGCAAGAAGAAAACAGUAAAUGUAAAGAUUGUGCACAGAAUCAACGUGGUUCACCAAUGAUGUGUUGGCUACGUCCACGGGCAAAGGAGACUAAUUUUAUGAUGGAGACAUAAAGUUUCAUAAUACAUCAGAAAUUAGGGUAACAUGGUUACUUAUAGCAGAAACCCUAGUUAACCCUAAUCGUAAUUGGGUUCUCUCACUUAGGCUCAUGUAGGAACCUUCAUGCACAAACACCAGCCCAAGUGCACGCAGACUUCUACAUUGCUAACACUGGUUGUAGUCUUCAAUUACACAACAUGUAGAUCUCAACAUCAGCUUCUGGAUGCAGAACGUUACAUUCAACUAUUUGCUCAAACAGAUUGUAAGCUUUAGUGCAGCGUGUAAACCUACACACACAACCUCAAGAUGCAGCAUGUAAGCUUCAACAUACUGCAAGUAUCCUGCAUGCUGCCAGCAUGCUUGAUCGUGCAGCCUGCAUGCAUCUGCAGGCAUCAACACCAGGAAGCUUCUAUGCUUCAGGAUUCAAGACAUAUCAACAAAUCUCCACCUUGACUGGAAUCCUCCAAGAAGCUUCUACGCAUUAGGAUUUAAGGUGUAUCAACAAUACUAAUUUUUGGGUUUUUCAAGCCUAUGUUCAAUUUCCCGUUAGUAUGAUAUUGUCCGCUUUGGGUCCAAGUGUCAAAAUUCGCAUGAGUUUGUUUUUGGGUUUCUUCCUAAAAAGCCUCUUACUGAUUAUUAUUGGACAUGACUUAUAUAUUAGACACUGUUUAAAUUUCAGAUGUGGAAUCUUGGAUUAAUUCCUAACAAUAUGUGGAAACAGAGAAGUAUCCAUGGUGUUCACAGUUCAGAGAUAUUUAACUAUUAUAAUUUCAUGUGUUUCACCCCAAAAACAAAUUGAUAAUGAAUGUAUUGGCUAAUUCCCUUGUAUAUCACUUUAAUUUGUGUCAUCUUACUUUAAAUGUGAGAUUUUCGUAUAUGGAUUGAGUAAUGAUUUUUAUGAUGUGAUCAGAAGUUUUAGACAAGCCAUUGAUGCUUAGGAACCCUGUACCUCUCGUACCAAACAAACCAAUGACGAGGAACCAUGAGCAUAGCUUAUAAAUAGCCACUAACCAGUAUGUGUAGCACCUAAUGGAUGAUGUCAAGAGGAGCCAUACCGUGCCAUCCUUGGCCCAAUUGAUUGUGGACGGAGACGAUAAUUCCCAAAAAAUGGAGCAUACCAAAUCUUGGUAAGUCCAGACCAUUGAACAGGCCCACCAAGAUCAAAUAUCAGAUUAACGUAGCGAGGGCGAAUGUGAUCCUUUGAUGUAUCUAGAUAAUAAAUCAAGUGAAAAUUCCUCAGACUAACGUUUAAGGUUAAUGAAAUGACAAACCUAACCUAACAUAUUGAAGAGCUUACUAGACUAACCUUAUAAAGUUGGUUUAGGUCCAUUUUAUCCAGAUGUUGAAUAUUAUUACGAAAAUGCUAUUAUGAUUUUUUUUUUUAUAAAUUUUUUUUUUUUCGAAAAAACUUUAAUUUCGAAAAAAUUUUUAAAAAAAACUCGAAAUUUUUUUUGACGAAAAAAAAACAUUUUUUUAAAACGAAAAAAGCAAAAAAAAAAAAACAAAACCAAAAACUAAAAAAAAAGAGUUAUAUGAAUAUCUACCUAUAGAUAACUCGAAAUUAGUUUGUCAGAAUGAACACUGCUUUAAGCGUACUGUUUAGAAUAACUAUCCCACAUUACCCCUACUCUGACGUAUCUGGAUAGGGUCUGCGAUAACUGUUAUAACACGUUUAGCAGAUUUAGUUGUCGCAGUGGACCCCUACAUUACUGGCGUUUAUUGUUGCUUUAGGCAGAGAAAUUCUCGGGAAGAGUGGGAACUUUAAAUUUUGAAUGUUAAAUAUUUAAAAUAAUCUGGAAAAUAAAUUUUCAGGUUUGGGUGGAAGACGAGAAAUUUCCUACGCUAGGGUUUGUAAUCUCCAUUCAAUACCCAUAGAUAACGGCGAAAUUGUGAAGAAUUUCAUUCCCACCAAACGAUGGGUAGUUCUGACCACAACGAUGACGAGGAAACGCGAUCAGAAUCCAUGUCCGAAGAGGUAAAUUUCGAACGAUUAGAUGUAGAAUUACAGUUCAUUCGUUUUCGAGGUUUAGGUGAGUGGUUAGGGGAAUUGCAGUCCGAUUAACUCAUGAAUCGUAAUAUCCUGUAUAGAUGGCCGACUCUGGUCUUCCCCAACGGAUCUUCAUCCCUGAAGAAGUCCCCAAGGGAGACUGUGUGAACAUUUACCAGAAGAUGACGGUUAUAUCUGACAUCGAUGCCGCUUUGAGUCAGACAGAGAGGGAUUUUAUGAAGGCAUCUCAGUUUGGAAAACUGUUCGAGUUUGCAAACCAGCCUGCUUGGUCCGGCGCAUUCGGUUUGUUCACCCUCACCAGACUUCUUGACGUGAAGAAAGAAAACGAGAUCUGGCUGGUAUUUGCAGGGAAACCGAUUCGAUUCUGAAUCGGGGAGUUUAAAAUAGUGUCCAGUUUGAAAUGCGGGAAAUACCCAACAAGUCAGAAGAAAAAAAGGAGACUGCAUGUUGUUCCCGAGUACUUCAAGACUCUAUUCGGUGAUGAGAAGGAAGUCCCAGUGGAACGACCAAUCGAGAUAUUGCAGAAGAAAACUAGUUUAGAGACCCGGUUGAGACUGCGAUACGCGUGCCUUGCCAUAGUGGAUGCCUUUCUAAUGCCUUCUGUUCAUUUUUCUCGGUCAAAGGUGAGCAUGGAUCACGCCGAGAUGGUUGAAGACCUUGAUGCAUUUCUGCAGUACCCCUGGGGCCGGUUAUCCUUUGAUGUAAUGAUGAAUUCGAUAAAGGGCAGGAAUUUAGCACAGAUUUUAACAGCUAACAUUACUGUCGGAGGUUUGUUCCCUGCCUUACCAAUGGUUGUUUUAGAGGCCGUCCCUGCCAUUCAAGAAGAUGAUGACUCAUCUGAUGGGGAAGACAGUAGCCCAAGCAGGGGCGGUGCUCGCUUGCGUCCGCAGAAAGUUCAGCUUCAGUUGAAUAAAGCUAGAGUGCUUGACGAAGAUGAAAUGGUACGAAGUAAACCCUCUUAACUUGCUAAAUAUGUUACAAACGGUUUACUAGUUAACUGUUUACAAUUGCGAUAACUCUAUUAUCUUGCUUAUAAUGAACUUGUAUGCUACUAUAUAUUUGUUAGCUAUGAGACUUAAAUUAACCUGUAACAACUACGCUCUAGGUUUAGUAAAUUACUGUAUUCAACUGAAGUUGUCCUCGUUGGAACUGAUACUUAGCAGUACUAAGUUAUCAUUGAUAUAUAUGAGUAAGUUGUUACAUGAUAACAGGAUUUGAUGUGAUAAUCUGGAAAUGUGUUUAGUGUAUCGGAUAAUUAGUUUACCAUGUAACUGUUGGUAAUUGUAGUGUAAGUUAUCAUUGUUGGAUAUGAAAUUCACAAUUAUUCACUAUAUCGGUGUUAGAUUCGAUAUAGUGAUUCGAUCUUAACAAGAGUUGAUGUGCUCACUCUGAGGGAUUAGGCUCCUUUUUUGAUAAGUCGGUUAACCUGUAACAUUGUUUGGUUUAAUACUCAGUUAACAUGUAACAUUGGCCUGUUGCUGUAUUAGUUAUAGUGAUUGUUUAUGAUAAGUUACAAUACGUACGAUAUCAUUUUUAGAUAUGAUAAUAUAGUUGCCUGAUAACAAAAUUUGCAGUGUGUAUUCAGGGUAGCAUGUAACAUUUAACAGUUAGCGGCUAACAUACGUUUAUAAUUAUUGCGUUUGUCAAGGUCGCGGUUAACUCUAUCAUUCGGCCUGAUUUCGAAAUCAGCGACGGCGAGGAGGAUCUAUCCUGGAGCGAAGAUGAACAUGACGAAAGGGUCGACCAUAUGAUUACUCUUAUUAAUCAAGGAUUCGAAUUUAAGUCUGAAAUGUUUGGCCCUGGCAUUGAUCCUGAGUUUUUAGCAGCUCGUACAAGUUCUCGAAGGGGUGUUAAGAAGACAAAGAUUGUUGUUGGGAAGAAAGGUAAAGGGAAGAUGAGAAAGUCUGGUAGAAGUCGAGUCACAAACGUUGCACAUGACACUGACAAAGGAGUUAUGUUUUUUGAGGAGAAGUUGAAGACAAUGGUUUCAAAAAUCGUACAAGAAAAUAACAAGAAGAUAGAACAUAUGUUUGAAGCCAACAAUGUGAAGAUAAUUAAGGGUGUGACCCAGUGGUUUCUUGAUAACGCAGUUAUCGACCGCGAGGUCAAUAUAUGUCCAUCAUUCUCGGGCCUUAGCGCCGGUAAGUCAAGGUCUCGCAAGCAACCCCCUCCGAGCACUGCAAAUAAAUCGGGGGAAUUACCUUCGGUCCAAUCCGGAGCGCACCCUGAUGGUCAGGCCAAACAAAACUGCGACACUUCAUUUCCUAACUUAGACUUCUCCUCCAUGCCGACGGUUGACGAGAUUGUUUCCACAUACGCUCCCAGAGCUGAUGAUGCCACCAACACUGCAAGAGUUGGUAAGGGUACCGUUGACCCCAUAGGGGAAUGCAGUGUCGACGCUGUUGAUGGUGAGCAGGUUAUGACGCAUAACCCAGGCGAUGAUGGUGUCGUUUUGUCAGAAACCCGGCCUGAGAAGGUAGAAUUGUCAUGCCAAUUUAUCGGAAAACAUAGUGGGUGUCUGUAUAACGUAUCCAUAUUAAUGUGUUUGAUAGGACAAUGAUGGCGCCUCUCUCCCUCAAUUCAACCCACAAAAUGACGUGCCGAAGUCGUCAGAUGGUGUGAAUUUGCAGGAGGAGGUAUUUGCUUUAAGUUUUAGCUUUAAAUUUGAUGUUUUUUAUUUGUUCACUAUGCUCUAUUAAUCCGUGAAAAUAAUUACAUAGGAAAACCCUGAACAUGACGAUCCCUUGAAAUCAGGCCCUAAUUAUGUGCUAAUCCCCCCGGUGGGAGAGAACUUUAUUGAUGAGGUACAUGUUCCCGUUAUUACCCUAAAUUAUAGUCUUUAUAACCGUUUAUUAGACGCUAUUCUAGUUAUGUUGCAAUGCGGGAUUUCAAAGAUAAUUGUGAGCAAUUGAUAACCCGGUUACCACGGUAUGUAUAUUUUGGAUCACAAAUCCAACAUAUAGGGGCCAUAACUGUUAUAUAACUUAUAGAACAUGGGUAAUUUGAUUUACACUUAUUUCAAUGUUCGUAUAUUUAUAUUUUUGUCUUUGCUACGACCAUGUAUGUAGGUCGAUGGUGUUGGAGACGUCCAGCCUGAUGAGAUUGUAACCUCUGACAUUCCUGAACCCAAUGCUGUAAUUUCUGCUGGCGAAGAUAUUAUCGAUCCCAAAAAUCUGACUAUAAACUCGGAGGAGCAAGCCAAAGUGGAACAUGUUCAGAGGAGGGUGAGCAAGCGUCAGAGGACUGUAUCGACUCGAUUAGAUAGUCCUUUUCGAUGCGAGAAGCGUAUCAGAACUAUUAUAGAGAAUUCCGAAGCUGUCAAUGAUUCUGAGAAAGCCCUUCAAUAACGGUUUGAUAAAGCUAUGAAAGCAUUUAAGAAGUUAGUUAACUUCUGUUCCUCUAGUUAUAAAGAUUGUACGCUGAAUUGUGUAUUUAAAAAUUUGUUGGCCUCUGGCAUGUGGGGAAGGAAACCUUCUUACAUCGAAGGACCUAAACGAAAUGCUGGGGAGACAGAAACCAAUGCCUGCAAAGGUUUUCACUGAGAUUCUGUAACAAAGGUCUAUUAGCUGCUAACUUUAUUAAAUGCUAACCUAUUGCUUUCGUAUUUGAUUUAACCCAGGUUAUGGAUUCUCUAUGUUUGUUGGGGAGGCAUAUACUCCGCGAAGACAGUCGGCAGCCGAGAGUGGAUAUUUUGGAUUCGAAGUUUGUAUCGAUGUUAACCAAGUUAUACCCGAAGUUUAGCAGGACAGAUCCCCGAGCUGACUUUAAGUUUUCCAAAGCCGUCACCGAGAGACUAAAAGGUGUUGGGGAAGUUGAUCGGUUGCCGCUUUUCUCGGAUGCUGAUAUUCUCUAUCUGCCGUUUAAUCUCGAUAUCAAGCAUUGGGUAUUUCUUGUGGUUCAUCUCUCUACUUGCAAGAUUGAGGUUUUGGACUGUAACGCCAAUCUGCGUACGGAUGCAAGCAUGACUACUGAAAUCCGACCCAUCGCUGAAAUGCUUCCCUGUUUGUUUAUAGAGGUUGCAGAUAACGAAAAGAUGUCUCAGUUGUCUACUACCAAAUAUGAUAUUGAAAGGAUCACUGACGUACCACAGAUAAAGUCAACAAACGAUGAUGGUUUAGUGGCGUACUUCUUAAUGUUAUCUCAUGCCCUUUUCAGCAGAGAGGGUUCUAAGGAGUUCGACCUUACGCACAUUGACUUGGAGGCGAAGAAAGUCGUUACAGUUCUUAUUGAGCAAUACCUAUGAACUUUUAAGGAUUGUUGUUAGUCUUUGGGGACUUCGGUUUUCAUUUUCCUAGAGUUGCGGUGGAUAGACUUCUAUUUACUUUUCGGUUUAGAAACCCGCGUUACGUUGUUGUAUUGUCAGACAAAUUUUAUUUCGUUAUCUGGUUUAUCUUCUAAUUCGGAUUCAAUUUUAUUACGUAUUGGCCAAAAACAUCGUUAAUAGAUAUUUCUAUGGGUUAGAAAUUGCUUUAGGUUUAUUAAGUAAUAACUAAGUCAUCAGUUAAUGAAUACGAAUUACCAAGCAAUUUGUUAUCAACGUUAACGUGUAACCCAAAUAUUAACGGCUAACGUUUGCUUUUAUACGGGAUGACCCAUGUUUGAUUAAUGUUAACAUUUUAUGAUUUAGGGUUUAGGGUUUAGGGUUUAGAAUUUAGGGGUUAGGGUUAGGGUUUCCGCAAUAGGAAAUUGGGUUAAGGGUUUAGGGUUUAGGGUUUGGCUUUAUUUGGGUUCACCAUAUUCGAUAAGGUUUUAAGUUUUUGUUAGUCAGUAAGUAACUGAUUGAAUGCAAAAUAAUAUUUAACUUGGAGUUAGGGUUUACCAUUGAAUCAUUUGGGUUCCCCUAUUUCGAUUAGGUUUUUACUUUAACCGAAACCCGACGCUGAUAUACAUAUUAGGGUGUAAUCAAAUUAUAGGACAUUUCGUGUUAGGGGGUAUCUUUUGGAUUGACGUAUUUUGCUUAGAGUUUUAGUUUUACUUCAAGGGUUUAAAUAUAGACACUAGGGUUUAACCAAGUUAUAGUCAAAUUGGGUUUAGGGUGUAUUUUUGGAACAUUUGGGUUGACCUAUUUCGAUUAGGGUUUUAGUUUUACUCACAGCCGAAAGAGAUCUACACAUUAGAGUGUAACCAAGUUAUCGAAAUAUUGGUGUUAGGGGGUAUAUUUGGAUCAUUUGGGUUGACUAUUUCGAUUAGGGUUUAGUUUAGGGUGACUUAGAUACUCAUAUAACACAUAAACUUAAGUGACAGCCGAAAAAAAUAUACACACUAGGGUGUAUCUAAGUUAUAGUGUAAUUUGGUUUAGGGGGUAUCUUUGGAACAUUUGGGUUGAACAAAUUCGAUUAGGGUUUUAGUGUUACUCACAUUCGAAAGAGAUAUAUACAUUAUAGUGUAACCUAGUUAUACGAUAAGUGGUGUUAGGGGGUAUCUUUGGUUCAUUUGGGUUGACCUAUUUCGAUUAGGGUUUUAGUUAUACUCACAGCCGAAAGAGAUAUACACAUAAGAGUGUAACCAAGUUAUAGGAUAAGUGGUGUUAGGGGGUAUCUUUGGAUCAUUUGGGUUGACCUAUUUCGAUUAAGGUUUAGUUUAAGUGAAAGCCAAGAAGAUAUACAUGUUAGAGUGUAACCAAGGUAUAGUUAGGGUUUAGGUCGCGUAAUAACAGAAAAUAAGUAGUUCAUUAAAAGAUGCUCGGAGUUAGCUGGUACAUACGUUAUCCGCGAUAGUACAUAGUCGUCUUUAAACAUUAUUAAACUCGACGACAAACUACUACACCAUUCAAGACUUAUCAUACAUAUUGAAAUUAAGAGAUAACCCCUAACAUUCUAUUCCUUUGGACAACAAAAUGUGGAUAGAAUGAUAUGCAUCCAGCCGCCAAAAAUAAACCCCUUCCUUAGCACCAUUUUCUGACUAUUCUCCCUGUAUAAAAAGAGUAAAAAUUACAGAGUCACCAUAAUAUGUUAAUUGUUUAGAAGAAGAUGGUUUAUACCGGUAAUGGGGUCUUGCAGGUUGAACGGUUGUGUCUACGUCCUCGGCAUCUUGUGCAUUUUCUUCUGGAAACUCGCUGAGGUUUACAGGUAUAGGAAGUUAUGCGCUAAUCGAGUUACCGAUUACAUACUUCCUACUGAUUUAAAGAGGUAAAGUAUUUUGUACCUUGAAUUCUCCACGAGACAAUAUUCUCUGCUUUCGUGGCUUGCCUGGGGGUCGACGAACCGCUGGAGGUGCAAGUUUUCCUCCACCGACAUCUUCCGGUCGUGGAGCCAAAUGAUCCAUAUCAGGGACUGGCAUUAUAACCUUACCAUAUGCCAACCUGCGAUACUGAGUGGAGUAGUGUAUAUCGACCAAGCUAUCGACACGGACUCCCUCUUUUAUUGCCGCAGCUAUGGCAUGGCAACAUGGUAUGUGUAGAAGUUGGAAUUCCCUGCAACUACAACUCUGUUCCCACAUGGAUACUGCAAAAGCUGUAUCCAUCUCGUCAUGCACCUCGUAUAGUCCAUUUCCUGUAAUGUAAAAUUAGUGUUAGCAGAUAAAGACUACCGUCAACUGUAAAUGUUAACAGGUAAACAAUAUAUCUCAUAUCUUACCUAUUUUCAUGACGAAAUAUCCUGAAGACUUCUGAAAACUUUCAAUCAGCAUCUCUUGAAUCUUGGGAUUCACGACGUCAGUCUCAGUGUUUGCAGAAUCCCUUCUUAUCGCAAACCAAGAUACAAGUGUCGUUCUUAUAGUUUCCAAUAUAGAAAUGAUGGGGUACUCUCUUACCAUUGUCAUGACCUUGUUCAAAGAUUCAGAUAUGUUGCUCGUCAUCACAUUAUAGCGUUCCCCUACGAAAUGCGAUCUCGUCCAAUGCUCAAAACCAAUCCUCUGUAAAUAGUCCGCACACCUCUCGUCGAUCGCUUUAAUUUCCAUAAAUGCCUUCUCGAAAUCGCUAAAACGAUACGCCCUUCCAGCUACAGAAGUAAGAUGACUCAGAUGCUCCGAUUUGAAAUUAGUAACUACAUUUCGUUGUAAGUGAACAAUGCAUGCUCCAUGUGAAGACAUCGGGUACACCUGUUGGAGUCGAGAAAUGGAAACAGUUAGCAAGUUAACCAAUUAUUUAGCGACAUAUUUUGGUUUAUCACUAAUAGAUAUAAAUAUACGGUAACCCUGGAGUUUAGGCGCUAACCUUACGAAUGCUUGCAUAUAUGGAAGCAUGCCGAUCUGAGACGAAGACAAGGUCAUGUUCGUCUGGCACUAUUGCGGUCAGCUUUCUUAGGAACCAUUCCCAAGAGUCGUCGUUUUCACUGUUCACGAUCCCAAAGCCGAGAGGGAAGACUUGGAAGUUACCGUCUUGAGCACUUGCCGCCAUGAGACACCCACCAUAUCGUCCGGUUAAGUGUGUAGCAUCAAAGACAAUAACCUUCCUCAUGUACCUAUAUCCCUGAGCGCACGCAUGUAACGAGUAAAAUAGAUACUUGAAACGGACAACCCCUGAGGCUGAGGUUUCUGUCUCCAAAGCAACAACAGAAUUAGGGUGUGUCGUUAGUAGUUUUUCAAAGUAGGGGGUCACCAACGCAAAGCUUGCUGCAGCACCGCCUAAGGCGUUGUCCAAUGCGAUCUCUCUUGCUCUCCACGCCUUCCAAUAGCUGACGUGCAAGCUGUACUCUUGUCAAAGCAGACGGCGAAGAUCACACGCCCUUGGCCCCUUUAUGUUCAACCCAUAUCUUUCACGAACCAUUUUUCCAAUAACAUCCGUUGAAGCUACUCGGUGGAAAUCACCUCGGGCGUCGACGCUGCAGGUGUGAUUCCUGAUCACAGUUUUGACUUCAAAGCGUAAGCUGUCUUUUAUCUGUGUGGCAUAAAUCCUCCAAGGACAUGUCGGGCCAACGCAACAAACAAUGACGUUCUCAGGUUGUGAAUUGACGGUCUUGAAAUGAAACCUUCGAUUUAUUGCAUGCAGCGCGAGUUUCAACUUGCACUCUUCUUUCGUCUCAAAGAUUCUUCCAACGAAAAUGUCAUCUCCCUCGUACUGUGCAUCACCCAACCCUCUCGCUAUUUCAUCCGCUAACCAGUGUAAACAUUUAACCCAAUUAGCUAGAUAGCAUUUACAAUUCAUGUAAACUUGAAACAGACAUAAAUAUUGUUUACCUCCGAUAAUUGGGUCAUCGAAAUAUGGAGGUGCAUCCCUUUCGUGCAACGCUGGCUCUACUCUUGGUUCAGCGCCAACAGCUGGGGUGUGAAGCAAUAUUGGGGGAUUACCGGACAAUGACACGGGGGGGGGUAGGCAAACUGUGGUGUGUUUGCAGUUAAAGUUUGAUGUGUAGCCGGUAACUGUGAGAUGUUAGAUGCUACAUCGUUUCCUAUUGCUCCUAAUGGAUAAAUGUUAGUCGCUAGCAAAGCUCGACUCGGCCUUGAUGACCCACCAACUUCACGAGAUAGUAUUCCGUCUUCGGUCAUCACUCGUUUCUCUUUAUCGGCACCCGUAUUCUGCACAUCAACAGUCUGUUGCUCCAGAGCCGGUGCUUGAAGCAUUGGAUCUGGUUCCGGGUUGUCGUACAAAUGUGCGAUCAGAUCCUCUCCUGAAAUGGUACAUGACAAUAUAACAAUAUCAGGCAAUGUAGGAAAUAUUUACUACUAAUUUUUGUUUGAAAAUUAUGGCUGUUUUCAUACCUAUGAGUGACAUGCGGAUAUCAACCUCCUCCGCCGACAGAAGCUCUUCCUCAGAGAAUACAUGGCUGCUUGAUGAAGGCGUGGUAGAAGUCGAGGAAGAUGAAGACUCUACAACCGCUAUUGCCGUUUGUGUUGGUAUAACACAGUCUUCAGGUUCAUCAUCGAUGUAUGCACAGCUAAAGUUAGCUGAAGCCCUGGUUCGCGGCAAGCUGUUUGGAUCGUAGAGUUCUUUGGUGGUGCAUCAAUAUCCAUAUCUACAACUUUGUUUGUUACAGUGUUAACAGCAUCGUUAACUAUUUCCUCAGCAGCCCUCCCAAAUGGUCCUGGUGGUCCAUGAAAGAAACGCCAGAGCUCUGAUAGAUCUCGAGGGAGGAUAGUUUCUUGUUCUCGGCAUUCAAGAGUUGCGGCCGUUGAGAGUUCAACCAUAAUAUCUGAAACCAUUCAUAAAAAAAAAAGGAUAUGUAAGUUUCAUAUUACUGAAAGUAGUGUUUUGAUAAAGGGUGGUAAUGCGAUACCUUUUCCUUUUGACGAAGGGUUGGUAUAAGCAGCAAUUGUAGCCGAGCGGGCAACGUGUGUGAUAGUUAUACCUCGCUCACCACUAUUAGGAAAAGAGGUGUAGGAAAAAACUGGCCUCACAGGUGUGUUUACAUUACUUGGAAAACCUGUUCAAUGUUGUAGUAGAAAGACUUUUUAGUGACAAUAUUAUCCAUGAAUGUUAUUUAUUUUCUUCAGAGAUAUAGUGGAAUACCACUUAAAGGUGGUAGAACUGUCCUUGGACUGUCUGUUGGUGAUGAUGUCGAGGAGUAUUGCGCACCAUAAGGAACAAUGGACAUUUCACUUAGUAGUUGGUCCCGUGCGCUUUCUUUUUGCUUUAAUAAAANNNNNNNNNNNNNNNNNNNNNNNNNNNNNNNNNNNNNNNNNNNNNNNNNNNNNNNNNNNNNNNNNNNNNNNNNNNNNNNNNNNNNNNNNNNNNNNNNNNNUAAGUUAGCGUUUAAAUCAAGUGUUUCUGCAUUCAUAUUUCCAGUAAUUUUCGGACUGUCACGGUGAACCCUAACUCUAAGGAACACCUCAUCUAUGUCUGCCUUGAUCGCUAAAAAUAGAGCAGUAUCUUCAUCAUUCAAAAUGAGGAUAGGUGCUGCUUUACGCCAAUCAGGUCCCAGGAUCCAUCUCGGCCAAACGUAUGUCACCUCGACCUUGUCUUCCUCCACCAGUUUCAAACCGAUUUUGAUUACAUUUGUCAUCGAUUAGAAAGACUCUCUCUCGUUCAUUUCGACCGAUGCGUGUAUGCCGAUUUCGUCUGGUUCAUGGAUCCAACUCGCAUCACUUUGUUUUUUCCACACCCCUCGAAUUACGGAGACAUGUAGAGUCAUCGCACCUAAUUAUGUGAACAGAAAAGGUGAUGAUUAGAUAACUGAGAUAUCGAGAUUUGACGAUACUUUUGACAUUAUACAUAACCUGGUUAUAUGUAAGUUCGAAAAAACAGGGAUAACUAAGGAAAAAUACAGAGAAGUUACCAGCUGUAAUCGGAAAUCCAAGACCUUCCACCCUUAUUCAAUGUCCUCCAGAACCUGUUACAGAAGAAAACGAGGUUGCUCUGUAAUAAAUGAAGUAAAGAGUUGUGUUUCACUUUCAUUAACGCCGAUGCUUUAAAUAGAGGUCUAACUAAUAUUAAAAUAAUUGUUAUCGAUUAAACGUCACUAUUAGAGACAUUAGCGGCCAUGCAAUAAUUAGAUAUUGGGAAGAGAAGAAAUCCUUGUGUCAGGCGGCGGAUUUUCUCCAAAUAAACCUGCAGAAUCAGAACAUUAAAUGCUAUGUCGGGUAAGUAUAGCCUCCCAAAAUAUCGCUGGCCUUUUUGAGUAGGGGCAAAUCGGGGAACGAAAAAUUUUGUCCACAAUCUCUUCCCAAUUUAUUUUUAUAGUUACGUACAAACCUAAUUAUCUCCUCAAUUGUUAGUUUAUACCCAAGUCACCCAAAAAAAAAACCCUAAUUCAUCUUCUUCUCUCUCUCUUUCUCCUGCGCCGUUUUUUUUUCUCCCAUGGAGCUGCUCUUCUUCAUAACUUGGCAGCCUCCCUUUUUUCACAGCUUUCUCUUCACAGCUUUCCUUUUGUUUCACAGAUCCACACAGUUCUUGCCUCAAUCGCCGUUCAGAAACUUGUUCAGGUUUGUUUUUUUUCUUAUAUAUCCUCAUUUUUCUUAUUUUUUCUUCUUUCUUCUUCGUCUUCCUCUUUCCCUUCAUCUUCUACUUUCUGUUUGGCGGAGGAGGAGUUUUACUGUUGGUGUUAGAGAUUUCGGAAAUAUUGGCACGACUCUUAAGCGGCGUUCUCGCCGCAUCGCGCACAACCGCACUGGACAGAUGUUGUUUCGAAGAAAUGGUGGUGUCACGGAGGUUGACGGCGGUGUAAGUUUUUUUCUGUAAAACCCGCAACCCUAAUUUUUUUUGUUUCAGGUAAGUUUGGUAGAUAUAUUUGGAAAACGAUAAGUAGUUUGGUAGAUUUAUUGUAUUUUUUUGUUGUAAAGUUCAUAAUAUGUGAAAAUUAGUUUUUUUUAACAAAGGCAAAAAGAGUGUUUUGGGUAUGCUAGGUUAGUUUUGUAAAAAAAAUAAAAGUGCGCAAAACAAAUAAUAUAGAUACUUUCUAAAGUUAGUGUAGUAAUCCUUCCAUAAAUCAAUGGUCAAGUAUCCUUCUUUUUUUUUUUUGAACAUCAGUCGAGUAUUCUUCAAGAAAGCUCCAACACGUCUUGCCUCAUAUCAAUAUGGCACCAACGGCUAGUUUAUGUGUCCCAAAUCCAAGAAUCUCUAUGUAAAUUCUUGGAUCUCAUUCUUUUAUUCAAAAAUUUAAUAAUUUCAAAGAAAUUUAAAAAAUCAUCUAUUUUCUGCUUGUAGUUUUGUUUGGAUUUAGCACAUAGUACUUAGUGUGGAUUCCCAUUGCCUUUAUCACAGAUCAUUUUCAAAACUUCAAUCCAUAUCCAUCUUCUGUAUCAUUUUUUGUAUGGAUAAUCCUUGAAAGACCUUUUGGGUUAAAGAUUUCUUCUAACUUGGUCUAUCCCGUGAAUCCAUCGCUACCUUGUGUUUACAUCACUUUAUAUAUAAUAAUUAAGUCUCAUCUUCUUUCAAAUGUUUGAUUCCUUAGUCAUAUAUAAUGGUUUGUGCUGGUUUAUCAACAAUUUAUGAUGAAAUCACACAAAAAAAAAAAUUAUGAUGAAAUCGUUUGUGUUCUAUUAAUAUCUUUUUAAAACUCAAAUUGUUUUUCUUUCUUUUUGUGUAUGGAAUAUGAUAUAUUCUCUCAGUAGAAUCAAAGUUAUGGUAAGAUGAAUGUUUAAUUACUGAAUUCGACCGAGAUACAAAGAUUUCAUUUGAAGCUUUGUAAACACUAAGAACAAAAAUGAAAAAAAAAAGCACUCUAUGCGAACAAGGAUAUGCAAAAAAUGAAAUUCAAUCCUUUAAGAAGAUACUAUGAUCUAGCUAGGUCGAUAUCUCAGUGCACCAACCUAAAAUAGAUUGUGAGAAAAACCCUUUCAUUACAAGUCUUAGUUAAACCAACUCUCACCACUCAUGACCGCGUCAUAACGCCACCACCAUCCCCACCCGAACGCAAACGCGAACCACGUCCACUCCUCUUCAUAAGUUAACGUUUGCGGCCAAUCCUCGACCAACCCUGAAAAGGGCAUUUCCGUCUUUUCCUCCAAAUUCUUCACCGCAACAUCAUCCUUCUUCUCCACUUUUUCCUUUUCAAGAACCCUAGCAACAACACUUUUUGGAUCAUCUAGCUUCUCUUCGUUCUUUCUCAUCGACUUCAUGAUCAUCAUCGGUUUCUUAUGUUUAGGAAGAUAUUUCAUGCUCUCUUUGUGAACGUUCAUUCGAGCUUUCGCGGUCAUUCUCGCGUGUUUUGAAUGAUCCUUUCGAGUUUCCUCUCCUUUUCUUGAUUUAUUUCUCUCUUUGCCUUCAUACACCGAGCUUACUCGAGCUUUCUUCAUAGAAUCCACGUGCAUUCAUCACAUUUUAACACUAGUGUUUUAUACUUUAGAUAACUAAGGUAAUACUCAAAAGUUAUUUCCGUUUAUAAAACGCGUAGUCAGCAUCGAUAGAUUACUUGUUGUGCGUACACGUAUGAGUCUUCAACGACUUUGCUUUUUUUUUUUUCAAAAGAGCUCAAAAACUAUAAUGGUGAGAGCAAUGAAUCGAACACAAAAAAUAGAGAGAAAUUAAAAGCAUUAAAGAAUCGAGCACAAAUUUUCAACAGAAGAAAAAGAAUCGAACACAAAAAAAGGAAACAAGGAAAGAUAAUAAUUAAAGCUAUUAGAUGGAAAAGGGGAUAAACGUGAAGUUUUGGUUAUAUAACGAAAGUUGGUCAUUAAGAGAAAAUCAAGCAUUAAUUAAUGGUGCUCGAGCGUUUCUAUUGUGUAAUUAAAUGUAUCUCGUGUGCUUCUUUAGUUCUUUUGGGUAUGUGACUAUGUGUACACCCAUGCAUUCCAUAAUGUGGGGCCUACAUUUAACAACGUAAUACUUUUGUUUGACUUUUUUUUCAUGAGAACUUAAGAAUGGUUUCAUUAUCACAAAAUGUUUAUAUGUUUAAUUUAAGAAUGAUUCGCAAGAAUAAUACUCUUUACAAAAAGAAUUUGACAUCUAUCAUCAAAAAUAGUCAACUGAGAAAAUAACAGUAGUCCAAAGGUGGAAAAUAUCGAGAAAAUCCUUGUACAUGAGUCUGCAAAAACUGCAUCUCUUUCUUCUAUCACUAAAGGACAAAACAAAUAUCUAUCUUUUAACAAAACAGAUGACUAUUAUGACAACUAAAACAAAUGACUAUUUUUUUAAUCUUUGUUAACAAAUUAAAUAAUUACAACGACAAUGUAGAUGUUCAAGUAAAUUUUGUUUUGAAGAAUUAAAGCAUCAUAGUUAUAGUCGUCUAAAUGUGGAUAACUAAAUAUAUACACAUAAGAAAAUUUGAUUUUCAUAGUUAUGUUAAUGUAAGUGUUCGAAUAGAUGACUAAUGACGAAAUAGUAACCUCAAUGUAGACGACUAAUUCAUUACCAAAUCACUCACAAUAAAAACACAAGAGAAAAUUUUGAAAUACUAAAAUACCAUAGUUAUGUAGGUACUCAAAUAGGUGACUACUGACAAAAUAAUCGUGUAAAUGUAGAGGAUUAUAAAUAUAUACACAUAAGAAAGAAAAUUUUUGAAGCACUAAAGCAUCAUAGUUAUGUUAAUGUAGGUGCACGAGUAGAUGACCACUGAAGAAAUAGUUGUCUAAAUGUAGAUGAUUAUAAAUGUAUACACAAAAAAAAUCAUAGUUAUGUUAACGUAGGUACUCAAGUAGAUCAGUACUAACGAAAUAGACGUCUAAAUGUAGACGACUAACUCAUCACCAUAUCACUCAUAAUAAAUACAUAAGAAAGUAACCUGAAGCAUUAAAGCACUAAAGUUAUGUAGGUACUUGAGUAGGUAACUACCUACGAAAUAGUCAUGUAAAUGUAGACGACUAUAAAUGUAUACACAUAAGGAAGAAAUUUUUUGAAGCAAUAAAGCAUCAUAGUUAUGAUAAUGUAGGUGUUCAAGAAGAUGAUUACUGACGAAAUAGUCGUCUAAAUAUAGAUGAGUAAUUCAUCAUCAAAUCAAUAAACACAUAGAAAAAUAUUUAAAGCAUUAAAAUAUCAUAGUUAUGUAUGUUUUUGAGAAGGUGACUACUGACAAAAUAAUCGUAUAAAUGUAGACAACUUAUUCAUUAUCAAAAUCAUUAACAUUAAGUUUUUCUAGAAAAAAAAAAGAAAAUAAAGAAGAGCAAUAAAGUUUUUUUUUAAAAGAGAAAAUGUGGAGAGAGAAGAGAGAAAUUGAAUGUGUAAAUAAAAAAAAACAGAGAAAAAAUAAUUGAUAGUCCCAGCUAGUAAAAAGGUUUUGGGUAAUUUUUUAAGUAAUAAACUGAAUAUUAUAAUACAGUAAAACCUCUAUAAAUUAAUAAUGUCGGGACCUAAAUAUUUUAUUAAUUUAUCGUGAUAUUAAUUUAUUUAUAAAUUAAUAAUUAUUAAUUUAUAAAAACAAAUUUGCUUUCUGCUUAUAAUUUUCUAAAAAUUUAUUUGGAAUAAUGUUAUAUUUUAAAAUUUUAACAAAUUUUGUAAUGUAAAUUAUGUUUAACAAUCAUAACUAUCGCAAUAAAAUAGUUUUUAAUAUCAUAUUGGAUUAUCCAUGUAAAAAUAUAAAUGUUCAUAAGUUUAAAAUUUAUAAAAAGACUAUGGCUACUAUCCGUAUUAUUGAUGAUAAAAUUGAAGAUUACACUACAAUAUAUUUAAAAACAUUUACAGAUAAAAAAAUCAAUUAUCACAUUAAAAAUUAUCAUAAAUUUUGAAUGUUUAUCGUAAAACAUCAAUAGAAACUACUGAUAUAAUAACUAAAGAAAUAAGAUCCAUUGAGAUUUCAACUUUAAGUAAAAAAACAAACACAUUAGUCAUAUUUUAGAAUACUAUAUUUACAAAUAUUUGUAUAAAUGUAUAGAAUUAUUAAUUUAUGUUUUUGUUGGGACCAUAUAUUUACAUAGGGAUUUCAAAAAAAAUUAUUAUCUUAUUAUCUUAUCGAAUUUGAUGGAUUUUUACAUUGGUCCGACUUGGGACCAGUAAAAUUUAUUAAUUUAUAGUGAUUAUUAAUUUAUCGAGUAUUAAUUUAUAGAGAUUUUACUGUAGUACUAAUUUGAGCUCUGAAUCAUGUUUUCCAUCUAAUUUCUCUUAAUUUAAAACACUGAGGAUAACUUCUGGCCUAUUCUCAAUGCAGUUUAUCAAGAUAUACAUCUUCUCUCCCGAAUCGACGAUCAUAAGGUAACGUUUUCUCCACAUGCAAGUAAUGGAGUGGCGGACAGAUAGCUAAGGAGACUUUUUCAUUUAUGAAUAAUGUCCCUAAAUUAUAUUCUAUUUUGCCAAAUUGGAUCAUUCCCUUUGUCUUUGUUGAGGAAGAUAAGAACGCUUUGUAACUAAGAUUUGGGUAAUAUGAUUUGUUGAGCCAAAAAAAAAUACACAGAGAAUUAAUGCAAAAAUAUCCUAGACCAUUAGUUAUCUCUUAACAAAACAGAGGAUUACGUUUCGAAAAAAAUAAAAGUAGAGAAAUUAUAGCUACAAGGGUCUCUAUGAGUAUGAUAAGUACCUAACCUUGGCUGCACUAUCCUUACAUUUCCGAGCCAGCUGCUCGUUAUUGAAGUUCGACAUGGUUCCAAAGGACAAGUAAAUCACUGAAUCACAUUUCUUGGAAUCGAGCGAAGGUAUUAUCAUAUUAUUAUUCCAAUUUUUGUAAUUUCUGAUUUAAAUUAGGUCAAAAAGUCUUUUUACAUAUAAGAGAAGUGUACUUUUCAAAAAACAUUAAAACAAUGUAAUUUUCAAAUGAUUAAGCGUUGCAGGGGUCUUUGUUCCACGAGUUUGAGGUCUACUAACAAGAUCUCAUUUACACUCACAAGGAAUAUAAGCUCUUCUUCGGCUGGGGCAAACCGAAAACACUUAAAAAGAUAGGAAUAGACAAAGAUUGGAAUAGCCAUCUUAGAAUAGAAAUGGCUAGUAAGUUGAGUGUUGAAAAAGUUAUGUAUGUUGAAUAAGUUAAGUUUGAUAACUAAAUUAAAAUAAUAACCAUGAAUAGGUUCAUCAAGGUGUAUCUAUGUCUACUCCAAACCAAAAAAAUCUAGAUGCUUCUCCAAGAAAAAAAAAAUGAAAGAUGGAAGGUACAAAGAUUGAGAAAAAGGGUAAAAAAAAACAGAUCAAGAAAGAUUUACAUCGUCAAAGACAAGAACAUUUCAAUAGUAGUACGACGUCGUUAGUAUGGUGAAAAUAUUGUCAGCUUUUGGCUAUAUUGGAAGAAUAGGAGAAGUAUCAAAGUCAUUACCAAGGAUUCCAUUUGAUGGAUCUUCUGAUUUCAGCGAAGAGUCUUUUUUGCUGCGUUCUAGAGAUGUUGCCUCGAAUAUUCCAAACCCUAAUACUAAGCAACAGACAAUGAAACCUGGAAGAGAAAAAUCCAUCUCGUAUGCAAUCUCCAUGACUAUUAUGCAUGCACCUGCGACCAUUAAAUGCUUUGGGGAAGAAAACACCAUAUGCAACCUGCCAAAACAAACAUAUACAUACAAAUGUAUAUAAAAUAUUUGUUGCUUUUUGUACAUGCAAUGUAAAGAUUGAAAUAAAAGGGUAAAGUUUUAGGAAACCUCUCUUCUGCAAUGUUGUCGACAUAGAAUAUUAGGAUGAUCCCGAAAACAAUGGUGCUAAGGAAAGCCCACGCAGAAAAUGGCAACUCAGAUGUUUUCCCAGAAGAUGACCCCUGAAGUAUAAUUUGAUGUUAGUGAACCAAACUGGCCUUGAAUAAUCAAGAAAAACGCCAUCUUCGAUACAUUAUAUGUUCGCUUACUAUGAUAAGGUCCCACAUGGCAACAGGAAACAAGAAACAGGUUGCAGAAGUAAUGGUUAUCGCAUGAAGUCGUUUCUUCUGCUGGUUCUGUAAAAGAGGAGAAUUUUUUGCUUGAAUAUGAUGAAGCAGUUAUGAGAGAAGAGAGAGAACUAGCGGAAUCGAGGAAAUCAGAGAGCAGUACCUUUAGAGAAACACGGCGUGCAAUAACUCGCCUUAAUGCUGAUAAGAUUCCAGCAAAAACGGGUAUCAUCAUUCCCAUCAGACCUAGUGCUUGUUCUGUUAGUACUUCUUCCUCUUUAAUUUCAGUACUAUCUUUUGAUGGUUCUUUGUUGUUAAGGUAAACAAACCAACACGUACGCUAUCCAUAGAUAGUUAAAAUGAAACAAGAUAAAGAGAGCGAGAGAAAAAAAAAACAUGUAGACAAAAGAGAAGAACUUGUGUGAAAGGAUAUAAAAAGGGGAAAGAGUUGAUGUCGCCCAUCCUUGAGACAAGAAAAAAAGAGCUACCAGCAUUGCGAUAAGGCCACCUACCUGACAUGAUUUGGAAAUAUGAGAGGAAUAUUGUCGUAGGCUUCGAAUAAUCAUCCUUAUUGAUAUGUUAACAAUAUUGAUCUUUCAUAUUCAACUCAACUCAUAUUAUUGAUUAUAAUGCAAGCAAAUAUAAGUACAUAGAUAAGCCAGGAGAAACAUCAUAAAAAGCUAAAAAAUAUUGCACAAGUUAAACCUCUAGAUAGUUUGUCUGCGAGACUAGUGAGCUUAUGCAUGCCGAGGGUAUAGACAACCUAGCACUACAGGUAAACAGCAAACCCUAUGUAAACCGUGCUAGACAACUUUUGAAUUACAAAUAAUUCAGAUGAUUACCUUCUUCCACACAUGGCCUCUCCGUCCAUAUAAUACUCCAGAAAGUACUCCAAGAACAGCACCAGAGUACUCUGACAAGAUUGCUCUGCCAAUAAUAUACAAAGAGAAUAAGCAAGUAAAACCGAAUUGCAGAAAGAAUUGUAAGUCCACAAUUUCCAUGAGCAUUGAACCAAACUGCCAAACUGGGACCAUCUUGCUCAGAGGUAAACUUUUAACUACCCUAACUUGCAGAAGCCAAAAUCUAGGGUAGAUCCUAAGAAAGUAAGACAGAUAAGAACAGAGGAGAAUUUAUGGUAGUAUGAAUGCUUAAGAACUAAUAAAUAAUACCUAAGCGGUCCACAAGACUUAAGACCCUUUCCCCACAAGAUGAAGUAUAGAGCUGUGAUGACUCCAUUGAUAAGAGAAGGUACAAUCUGAAUGAUAAAAGCCGCCUCAUAAAUUAGUAGCUAAAACAGAAAAGGAAUAAUUUAGUCCAAAAAUUUCCGUUUAUACGUAUCAGAUUGGAUAUAACAAAGAGAACCUGUUGAUUGGAAAGUGCCCUUCCUUUCCAUGGUUUCUGAAGAAUCAAGAAGAUGAUGGAUGACGGCACCAAACAGCAGAAUAGAAAGAGAACAACAGGCGCUCCUGUCUGAUUCAAGUACCGGUACAUAGAAUAAACUGACCAUAUCCUAAAAAAGUUCCCGAUGAGAUGGAUUAUCUGGAAAGGGGUAUGCCUGCAAACAAAGAGGGAAAAAACACAUUACUACAAAAACUAAAAUUCGAUUCCAGAUUACAAGAAAGCACUCAGUUCUUAGCCAAUGGCCAAACAAGGGCAGACGAAUGAAAACUACAAGAAUGCUCAAAGUUAUCCUUUCGAACAAUCAAACGAGUUCCCACAACAGAACUCCAAACCCUUAGGAUUAAUGAAUCUAGAUAGAUCAAAGAAAAAAGUAGAACUUUCUGUAACUAACUACUCGCAAUGACCAUAACAUCCCAAAUCAGAGACUAAUUAAAUUGCAAUCUUGAACUUCUAUUCACUAGAUUCCAUUGCAUUGAAUCAAAACACAGUGAACUAAGCUAGGGGAUAUAAAGACUAAAAUCAGUGCUUUAACCUGAUUAUAUUGCUGCAUUAACUUCAAUUAAAUCGAGGAAUUGUGAUUUCCAAUUCAGAGUGAUGAUAAAACAAAGAAAAUAAAUCCAAGCUACAUUACACAUUUCAUCCCAAUCUGAAUCAAUCUAAAAGCUACUAGCAAAAUGGCCAUCACAUACCAAAUCAGAAACUAAUUAACUCGCAAUCUUCAAAUUUUCAACAUACGAACCUUCUGUAAUACGAAAAGAAACAGUUUCUUCUUAUGGUUCUCUAUUCACUAGAUGCCAUAGAACUGAAUCGAAGAUAUAGUGAGCUAAAAGCUUAAGGUAGCGAGUUUGAGGACUCAAAUCAAUGCUUCAACCAAAUUUUGUUUCUGUAUCAACUUCAGGAUAAUCGAGUAAAUGAGAUUUCCAAUUCAGAAGUAACAUUUCAGUGCAAUUUGAAACAAUUCCAUUGCAGCAAGUCGAAACUUCGUUUCGAAAUUUUCAUUUCUACACAAUCAAAUUAGCAAAGAAGAAAGCACACCCGAGAAACAGAGAAAUCAAAUCGAAACUUUAGAUAUGAAGCUACCUGAAAUGUGGAGAUCCUCGAUCGUCGGAGAUUUGCUUCGGGGACAUCAUUAGCCUAGCUUCCGAAAAUUACGGGGUGCUUAAAUCCAGUAGAAAUUAUAAAAUACUGUUAAAUCCAAUAUCCUCCCACUACGAACUCGAGCUCAGAAUCUAAAGACGAUGUAACUGAAGAAGACGAAAUCGCGUCUAACUUGUGAUCGAAGAAGAAUCGUCGUCUUCUUCGUCGAGGAACCCAAGGUCCCGAAGCUGAAGUCGCGAGAUCAAGAGAAACAGAAUUUGAUAUUGGGCCUUCGUUUCGUAAAGCCCAUUCAAAAGCAGCCGGAUUCUAAAGCAAACCUUUGAUUUUGAAACCGAUCUAGAGAUCCGGUUUAGUUUCGAUUUGGGUUCUGUUUUUUGGUUUUCAAUUUUAAUUUUAUCAACCGAAACCAAAUAAAAUUUUUAGCUUUGGUUUGAUUUGAGUUUGAUAUAGUUUACAUUUAGCUUGAAAGUGUAUAAUAAUAACAAGGCAUCCUCUUUUGAAAAUAGUUCUAACCAAUGUCUAGUCAAACCACAUAUCCAGUGUCGUGCCUAGAUUUAUAGAGGCCUAAGACAAACUUUAUAUUUUUGUAUUUUUUUUUAGUUUAAACUUUUUUUAAUAAUUUUAUGUAUCAUUAUAAGCUAAAUUCUAUUUUAAAGUAAGAAUUUAGUCAUUUAUUCCAUUUAUUCCAUUUUAUGUAUGUAUUGAUAUAAUAAUAUAAGUAUAUAAAUGUAAGUGUAUGAUAUUUUGUUUAAAAUCCUAAAAUUUAAUCAUACAAUCUACUUAUCUUAUAUAUAAAAGACGAAGAACUCUCUCUAGGAGAGUGACACGUCAUCACCUUUGGAGACGACACGUGUCCAACCCAAUAAUUAAAAGCAUGUGUCUUCUGUGAAGUUUUUAUGACUUUUUACCUUUUCUCUUCUUGGUAUAAUAUUACGUUUAAUAUAAUCUCAGUUCAUAAAGAUAAUUAAAACACGCAGAAAAACGCUCACCUUUCUUCACAUUCUCUCUUCUUCACUUAUCUCAUUAAUUCUGCGCCAAAAAUAAAAUUGUGAAGAUCAAUCAUUGUUCAACUGAUUAGUGAAUCAUCAUCGUCUCGGGGAGCUUUCUCCAAGUAGAACCCUAAAUCAAUUCUCCAGAUUUCAGUGCAUUAUGUGAGAUAAGUGCGUCGAGGGAGACCUAGGUUUUUUCUGGGCUUAUCAUCGCCAACGAGGCGAGGUUUAAAUUAGGAGGUGGUUGGCUUUUUCACUGGAAUUUGAUAUUUUAAGAUCUACAUAAUUCAACCCAUGUAUUUGAUUUUAUCUAAUAUUCAUAUAUGGUGUUGCUAUUGCUUAUGCCUGAUUUCAUUUUACACCUUUUCAAUUUCUUUUCAGGGUUGAAGGUGGCAUUCCACCACUUGUUGAACUUUUAGAUUUUUUGGAUUUUAAAGUACACAGAGGGAUGCUGCAGGGGGCUUGCGAACGGUUUCAUUUAGAAAUGAUGAGAACAAAAUUCAAGUAUGUUUUGUUUUGUGAAGGCUUAUAAGGGACAUAUUUCUUACGUAAUAAGAAACUAUGUAGAUUCCGGAGUUGAAGGCUUUGUUCAUGCUUUUAUUGAUGCUUUAGUAGGAAGAUUCUUAUGUGCAUGGUGAAGCAGUUGGUUCUUUAUCUUACUUUAUAUUGUUGGCAAUUGGUUUGCUUUAUUAAGUUCCUUCUAAUCUACUAUGGACUUUUCAGAUUGGGGCAAGAGAGGUUAUCCGUGCAGGUGCCUUAAAACCAGUAAUUAGUCUACUGAGUUAUGCUUAUUUGUCUCCCACUCUACUUCUGCUGAAACAGUUGUCUACUCUUGAAAAUAUAAAAUAUGUUUUGUAACCGUUUGCUAUGAUAUCUGCUACAGCUCCAAUUGUUUGGAAACACAUAGAGAAGCAUCAUUAUUAAUAGGUCAAUUUGUUGCACAUGUUUCAGAUUGCAAGGUAUGAAGCGUGUCUCUUUCUUGACAUGUUGUACUAUACUCUUAACAUAUGUUAACUCAAACUGAUCAGGUUCUUUUGAUAACAUAAAUAGAUGAUGGAUUCAAACCAGAGAGAACAUAUUCAACAUAUCUGGCAACAUAAUCAGGCAGGUGCACAACUGCACAUUGCCCAAAGAGGUGCCAUCACACCACUGAUUAAGAUGCUUGAGUCGUGGAAAUGUCAGCUUCUGCUCUUGGUCAUUUGGCUCUCUGUAAUUUUUUAAAAAUUUUACCAUAACUUUCCUUGAUUUGUCUUCACAUGUUUUGUAUGUUUUUUAUUUACAGAUGUAUCAGUGAUGUUAAGUAUCAGCAAAGCUAACGCUUGCCUAAGAGAAGACAAAAUCAAAUGAGUGUUCCCUCUAUUGAUGCAUAAGAUUAAACUCAGAGGGUUGAGAAUGGAUACUCGAGUGAGAAAUGAAAUGGUGAGGAAGGGAGUGAGAGUUUUGACUUCCAUGAGUAAUCAAAGCUUUUUGCAUAUUCAAUUCUGGAAUUUACUAACUUUUACCCAUAGGGUAUUCAUGCAAAUAAUAUAUAAUUUGGUGUUGAAUAAGACUUCUCCUCACCUGGUGCAUUACUGAUGAUAACAAUAAAGGUACUCCACGUUAACUUAGAUAAAUGAACGACGAGGAAUGGAACAUAAGAACCAUAGAAUUCAGAUGUUGCUAUGUUUUCUUCCAUUUAAACUUAACGCCUACCAAGUAGAACCAACAGUUUAAUAGAAAAUAAUUUAGUUAUUAUCUCCCAAGAAAAAAAGAGUUUAGUUUCUUUAAUUAAAAAUAAGAAGCACAAAAUGGAGGUCAAAACAAAAAAAAAAGAUUACUUAAAAGGAUUUUAAGUUUAGAGAUUAUAAAAACAUAUCAAACUAACACAAAAUUUCUCAGGGAAGAAACAAUUUAAUCGAGAGAUAUGGUUUGCUUCCUAUGUUUUGUUUCUUUGCUCUACAUUCCUGAAACGACAAGUAUCUAUACAGGAGAAUUAUAUUACACCAAAAACAACAGACAAACUAUUUAUCAGAAAGAGAGUUGUAAAGCCAAGAAAAUUUUAGCCGAUCAAAGAAAUAAAAAAUAAAAUAAAGUAAUAGAAGAGACGAUUUGGAGAGUAUUUGAAUGAAUCUGAAAUUAUAUAUUUUACCAAGACAACAAUUGAUUUGGGUUUAGGUUCUUAAAAACACCACUUAUACGAAAUGUUGUCAUUCAAAUUCAAAUUUAUUUAAAAUUCAUAGACUAUUAAAAACUUACUCAGUUAAAUCAACAAAUAUACAAUAAAUCAAUUUGAGAUAACAUUUUUAUAUUAUAAAAGUAUAAAAGAAUACAACCUACUUGCAAUCAAAUAAGAACAAAACAAAGAAUAAAAGAGACCAACUCAAAAACCAAAUAUCAUAAAAUUAUUUAUAAUACAUCAUUUUAUACACUAUUAAACUAAUACUAAGUUAAAUCAUCAAGAAUACGAUAAACCAGUUCAAGAUAACAAUUUUAUUUUAUAAAUUAUAAGAGAAUACAACCUACUUGCAAUCAAAUAAGAACAAAAACAAAGAAUAAAAGAGCCGAACUCAAAAACCAAAUAUCAAGAAAUCUAAAAUUAUAUAUAACACAACAUUACAUAGACGAUUCGACCAAAAAUCAUAGUACUUAUAAAAAUAUCAUAAUUGCAAAUAAUAUCUCAUUUAAAGAUAAUGCUACAAAAUAAAUUGUAAAAUGACUAAAAAAAUAAAUAAAAACUUAUAAAAAAUAACGUAAACUACCUGCGCUUUGCGCGGGUAUUCAUCUAGUAAUGGUUAAAAUCACAUAUAAAAGUUAAUUCAACCUACUAAUUAAACUACUUGUUACAAAGAUGUGGCCCAUAAUUUUUGAAAUUUUAUUAGUGGCCUAAGGCAAAUGCCUUUUGUGAAUAAGGGAAGGCACAUCUCUGAUCAAAGCCAAUUUCAUAUGUAAACUUCAAAGUGGAACUCCUCUCAUCUCAUCUGGUGACAAUACUUCAAACUGCAAGUAUGAGUGCUGGAAUAAAUCAUCUCUAGUGACACUGAUGUCGAAUGAUGUGUGAUGUCGCAGAGAUAGUUAAAUCAAACUUGGCCACUAUAACAUGAACCACAUGACUUCUUCUCCAAAAUGUCUAUACUGAAGUUGAUGAUUUGACUAAGAAGGUUCUUAUGUUUUUGGGAAAACUUACUUCUAACUUCCAAACUAACUCUUAAGAAAAUUUCAGCAAACUCAUGGAUUAUUUGGGCAAAAUUAGUUCAAUAUAUCGAAUAUUCUUCACGAUAUUUCAGAGUCUUCAUUUUCUUUUGCAAUGACUCCAACACAAAAAUCAACGAAAAACUUAUUUUGCAUUGUAUAUUUAGAUUAUUUUCAUAAUAAUUCCAUCAUUUAUAUGAAAUUAAUCCAUAAUUCUAUAAUUGAUAAUUUGAUUAAGAAAGUUCUUAUGUUUUUGGGAGUACUUACCCCUUACAUCCGAACUAAUUCUUAAGAGAAUUUCACCAAGCACAUGGAAGACUUGGGCGAAAUUAGAUCAUAAUCUUAAACAUUCUUUACAAUACUUCAGGGUCUUCAUUUUCUUUUGUGAUGGUUCCAACACAAAAAAAAACAACGAAAGUUUUGUUUUGCAUGAUAUAUUUAAAUUAAUUUGAUAAUAAUUUCAUAUUUUAAAUGAAAAUUUAAGAAUUAAUUUAACCUACAUGAUAACGAGGAUUUAGUUUUUUUUUUUAAAUGAACAUAUCUUAUUAUAUAAUUAUAAAAUUUUAAAUAAAAUUAGUUCUAAAUAUAACUAUAAAUUAAUUAAAAAUUUGUUAAAAUCUGAUCGUUUAUCUUGACAUGUGUUAUGAUUUUGAGAAUUGUUAACUUUGAAUCAUUCUCCUUUAUAUAAUAAAAAAAAAAUUAAUGCUGAAAACUAAGUAAUACGAUCAUAUCUAUUUUUGAAUUUCUUAAGAAAAAAAUGUACGACUAUUUAUAUCUGUUAACACCCAAUAUCAGAUCAUUUCGGUUUAUUUUGUUAUUGAUCAGGUAUAAAUAUUUUGGUUUGUUUCGGUUCGGUUCGAUCUUUUAGAGUAGUGGUUUUUUUCAUCUUGCAAUUAUCCGAAAAAGGCGAGGGUAAAACAGUAAACGACAAAAGAAGUUCGGUGAGGAUAGUUCUUGUCUUCUUGAGAGCUCUCUCCGGAGAAGCUCGACCUUCACGCGAAUGGCUUCGUCUUCUCUUGUCUCAUUGCCAUGCCUUUCCUCACUGAAAAUGACAUUCAAGCCCAUGGCAGUUAACAGCAAUUCUUCUAGAACGUCGGUUCCGUACGAGCUGAAGAAGGGCCAAAACCGUCUUUUCCACAAGCUUCCUUCUGGUCUGAAAAUGGAGGUAAUCGAGCAAAGGAAAGAUGAAGACGAAAGACAAAGAAAUAGCGAAAAAGAUAAUCCACCAUUGGUGUUUGUACAUGGAAGCUACCACGCAGCUUGGUGUUGGGCUGAACAUUGGUUACCUUUCUUCUCUUCUUCUGGAUUUGAUUCUUAUGCUAUUAGCUUAUUAGGUCAGGUAAAGCUCUUUUCUUAUUUACAACUCUCAAAUAAUGAAACUUUCUUCUUUCUUAUGCUGAAUGUUUAGAAAUUUCCUAAGCACUACCUGCAAAUUGAUGUGGUGAAAUCUGGUUUUCAUGAUUAGGACUUAGGAGCAUCUAUUUGUUAAUAUAUCUACACAUUGAUUUGGUUAAGUCUGUUCUUUUUUAUGUGAGUUGUGUAGUUGUGAUAGAAAUGUUUAGACUUUAGCAUUGUUAACGGUAUAUUGAUACUGUCAAGAGCAUCAAUCUGCAAAUGUUUUGAAUUAAAGUGAUCUGUGAUCUUUAAAUUCUUUAGGGUGAAAGUGAUGAACCUUUGGGAACAGUUGCUGGAACUCUUCAGGUACUUGAAUUUCGAUUAAUCAUUGCAAUUUGCAUUGUCUUUCUUGGAUUUUAGCCAAGAUCCUUAAAGUCUUUAGUUGUUUUGUGUAGUAGACGCACGCAAGUGAUAUCGUGGAUUUCAUCGAAUCGAAUCUAAGCUCUUCGCCUCCUGUUCUUAUCGGUCAUUCUUUUGGAGGGCUAGUUGUUCAAUAUUACUUGGCAAAUGUCAUAAACAAACAGUCUUUAGGUAAAGGCUAAUUCAUUGAAUGAGUACCGUUUUCAAAUCAGCCUACACAAUAACCAGUGAGUGUGUUCUUUUGACUUAGGAACCACAAAUGCAUUUCCAGAACUUUCAGGAGCUGUACUGGUUUGCUCGGUUCCACCUUCGGGUAAUAGGUAACUUAUUACAACCUAUUGGCUCUUUCCUAUACCAUAGAAGUUUUCUUCUUGUUUAGCUCAUAUAUAUAACUUUUGGGACUCUCUCUUUCUUGUUCAGCGGGUUAGUGUUACGUUAUCUCUUCUCUAAACCAGUAGCAGCUUUUAAGGUAAACUCUAUUUUCCUGUCUUUUGAUCUUGUAAGGAUGGUUUCUGUAAUUCUGUGUCAUGUUCUUGAUUCUUGGUUGUGUUCUUGAACAGGUCACUCUCAGUUUAGCUGCUAAGCGUUUUCAGACAUCUAUUCCUCUUUGCCGGGAAACAUUCUUCUCUUCAGCCAUGGAUGAUCAACUUGUGAAGCGGUAAAACCUAUACUAUAAAUCAAUAGCAUUUAAAUCAAAGUUUCAAUAGUCUAAAUGAAUUGUUCCUCUCUCUUUCUUUUUAUUUUAGUUACCAAGAUUUAAUGAGAGAAAGUUCUCGAAUGCCACUGUUUGAUCUGAGGAAGCUAAACGCAUCACUUCCAGUAUCAAAACCAAUGGAAAAUUCUACAAAAGUUCUUGUUUUAGGUGCCAAAGAUGAUUUCAUAGUGGUAAGUUUUCUAACCGAACCAGAAAGUUUGAAUCUUAGUACUUGCAUUAAACCGGAGUGGGUUACGGUUUUACAGGACGAUGAAGGUCUGAAGGAAACCGGGCGGUUUUAUGAUGUUGAACCGGUUUGUAUUGAAGGUGUUGCUCAUGACAUGAUGCUAGAUUGUUCAUGGGAAAAAGGUGCAGAAGCUCUUUUGUAUUGGCUUUGUGGUUUGUCUAAAACCGGGAAAUUUAUCUGCUUAAUAGACUAGAGUUUUGUAGCAUAGACUCACUAAAAUCAAAUAUAAACCAAACUUUAGCCGAACAUUUGACAAUAAUCACUCCUUCAUUUAAUUCCCUUAAUGCAUAAUCCUCGAAUAUAAAAAAGGAGUGUUUUUUCUAUCCCCACCAAUAUUUUCUUGAGAAAAUUAGUAACAAUGCCGGAAAAUGCAAAUCACAGUCCAAGAAUCUCAUUUUCAGACGACUUUUGCUACACUGGCUCCAUACCAAUCGAGCAAAGCCCAUUAAGACCUCCGUCGGAAUAUUCCAGCUUGAAUUUCGAUUUCUCAAUUCCCGGCGGCGUAAUCUCCGGCGAGAGCUCGUGGUCCGCCGAAGAAUUUUUCAACGACGGCAUGAUCCUCCCCACAGAAAUCAAAAAGUGUCCAGAACCGGGGAAAGAUAAAACCAGUUUACUCAAACCGGAGAUGAAUCCAAUCGGAGCUGUUAAACCGGUUCAUGAAAUAGAAGAAAUCGAUGAAUACGAAGAAGUAGCGGUGAUCGAAGAGAGACCCAAUGGACAGACGUUUAUGGGGUUUAAGAAAAUCAAAAAGAGACGCGAACUGGGGAUAUAUGAAACCGGUUUGAUCAAACCGGAUACGAAUCCAAUCGGAGAUGUUAAACCGGUUGUGGAAAUCGAAGAAAUCGAGGAAGAUGAAGUAGCAAAGGUGACAGAAGAGAAACCCAAUACAUUAUCGUUUUGGGGGUUUAACAAAAGAAGCAACAGUCUCAAAUCCGAGUUUGGUUUGCCUUUGCUUUCGAAAAACCCGACCGGUUCGAAUUCUAAACAGACAGAAACUAAGAAGCUUCAGGUUUCGUCGUCUCUUUCUUCUUUUUCUUCGUCUUCUUCUUCUUCAAACUGUAGUUUUCAGCAGCAGCCAUUGAAGGAGAAGAACUAUAGAGGUUACAAUUACGGUGGCAAUGGAGGAGGGAUUAGGGUGAAUUCGAUUCUUGAUAUGAUUCCGUCGGGGAGUUUGUUUGGUUUGAGAUCGAUAAUUCUCGGUAGUGGAAGUGAAACAAGAAGAGUUCAAUGAUUUUUUAUUGGUAAGAAAAAAAAAAAAUCUUUCGCUGUUUCUCUGUUUUUUUUCUCUGAACCUCUCUAAGUUUCGAGUCUUGAGUUUGUUUAUUUAUUUCCAGAUUUUUAAAAAUUUAAUAUUGUAGAUUACUGUGUUGAAUUGAUUAAACAAUUAUUUGUGUUGUAGAUUUGCAACUUGUAUCGUCACUGAAACUUUAUGCCAAAAUGUAACUAAACCAACACUUAUUAAUCGAUUUAACCAAAACGUCCUUUACUUUACGCCAAAAACAACGAACGAACAGAGCUUUCAAAUAUGUUUUCUUUAUUGAUGAUCGCAAUUGCUAGAGUAAGAGCCGAACUUCCACGUAAAGUAACAACCAAUGUAUUUGCAUCAAAAUGUUUCAUUGACUAUACUAAGAAAUCCGGUUGCAAUGUUAUUACAAAAUGAUGAUAAAUUAGUUAUUGAAGACGACUAGAAAAUGUUAGCAACCAAAAAAAGAUAAUUAGAAAGUUAGACAAGUCAAGUGACAAUUAACCAAUUUCAUUUCAUGCUUGUCCUAUUCUGUUUUUAAUUUUAUUAUUUCUUCCCAUCUUUUUUAGGUGUCCUUUAUUUUUUCUCAUAAAUCUCAGAUGUGUCUUUUCAUUUGAAACUGGGAAGGGAAAUGAAUAAAAAAAGAUUAAAAAAGAUACAGUAAAAAUUUAAGGAUUUUUGUUAAAAAUAAACUAAAACUUGAUUUUGAAUACAAAAGUAGACUUCUGAAAAAAUAUUUGGCAGAAAUAAUCUUAAAAAGUAGUGAAAAGAUCAUUUAAUCCUGUAUGAGUAAACAAAAAACGGAUGUCUUAAUUACCGUUUACACUCUCACAAAAUCUACUAAAGAGAGAAAGAAAUCUUAUAGUAGAAUUCGUUUAUCAAAAUGAAGUCUACUAAGUAAUUAAAUCUAGAAAUUUAAUUUUAAAAUUUAGAAAAAAUUAUUUUGGUAUCAAAAUUACAUUCAUAAAUUCUGUAAUUAUAACCCAAAUGUAUAUAAAUUAUUUUUUCAUAUUGAUAAAUGGAAAUUUAUGUUUUUAAAUUAAGAAGAAAAAAAUUUAUUAUUUAGGAUUUAAACUUAGUAGACUUCAAUAUGGAAGUCUGCUAAACCGAAAAAAAAUAAUUUAACCAAAAAUUGAACCGAAAGAAAAAAAUUUAACCGAAUUUUUUAUGCCAUUAUAUAAACAAAGUAACCCUAAUUUUGAAAAAAAAAAUGAAACCUUCUUCUUUCUAUAACGGCGUUAUGCUCCACUCUCUCUGGCCUUUCUCCGCUGCUUUUCUUGUUCGUCUCUGCUGCUGCGUCUACUUCUCUGCAAGCUCAUCCUCAAAAAGUGGUCUCUCUCUAUUUCUCCCUUUCACCUGAAAUCUCGAAUCUCUUUUUUUUUUUUCUUUUUCUCGCUUCUGUUUUUCAUUUCUCAGGUGAAAGCUCUCGCUCUAACGGCGUUUGGUGUCGGUCCCUGUUCUCCUUAGCGGCUUUGAUUCUCCGGUGACUCAAGGUGGAUGCUCUAUGCGGAACCCGAUCUGGUGAGGACAAGAUCUGGCGACGCUUCCUCAAGAGUUUGAAGCUGGCGGUUUCAUGGCGGCUCCUCCGUCUUGGGUAUUUCUCAGAUCUGGCUGGCGUUCGGGUGUGUGGAUGUAGGUCGGCGGUUGUGUGAGGCGGUGAGGAGGAGUUUUGGUAUGCUUGAACUGUCGGUGACCUUCGAGUAAGCCUGCUGCUUGUGGGCGGUGGUGGGUCGUGAAAGGGGUCUCGGCGGCGGCUGACUACGGCGACAGAUGGCUUUUUUAGGUGUGAGGCGUGGUUCGAUCUUUUCUCCCACUCUCGUUCUGUUCGAGCUUGUUCCGGAUCGGCGCCCUUCUCUCCAAAUCCCCUCUUUUUCCUUUCUCCGGUUAGCUUCUCCGGUCGUGACGUUUCAGCGAGGAUCCCGGUGGCGUGGUUGCUCUUUUCUCCCACUCUGGUUCUUUCCUCCAGUUUCUGGUGUGCUCAGGUCGGUGGCUCUCUUCUCGGCGGCAUGUGGCUUUGUAGGCUGCGAGACUAGGGUUUCCUGUCUCUCAGUUUGUUUUUCCGUUUUGGGCUUUCUCCUGGCCUGGCCCAUUAGUGGUUCUCGGGUUGGGCUUUUUUCUUUUUUUUUUCCUUUUGUUGUUUCUUUAUCCUUUUUUUAUUGCAUCUUUUGUAUAUGUACCAAAAAAAAAAAUCCUAAAAAUUUCAAUAUGAAAACCUUUAAAAAAAAAAAAAGACAGUUUCGGCUGGGACCAAGUUUUUUCCAGCUGUUUCUAUUUAACUUUUACACAAAACAUAGAAUUUUGCUUUUAUCAGAUUGUUCUUCUGGUAAAUCUUUGUACCCGAAGGAAGCUACCUGAUGUUAAUGAUGACCAGCGUAUGAAUAAAAUAGUAAUAGAUGCUACGUUGGAAAUUUUUGUAAGUUAUAAUUAUAAUACAUAAACAUAUUAAACUCAUAAGUAAUUUUGUAAAAAAACAUAAAAAUCACAUUAGCAAACGUAAUUACAAAGCACAAUAUUGCAAACACAUAAAUAUCAAAAAAAUUUACACAGGACACUUCGUUAGAACACUUCGUUUGAAGACUUCGUAGACUCCAAAUGAAGUCUACUUUUAUAAGCUAGUUAGCUUAUAAAUCAAAAUAUUCGAUUCCACAAUAGAUAUCGACUUAAAUCAAAUGAAAAUCAUUGAGUAGUUCAACCACUUGCUAACACGUAUGUCAAAACCUAAAAAUUAAAACAAAACAUUAUAAAUAUUUAAGAUAUGUUUUUAAAAUAAAUACAAAAAGUAGACUUCCUAAUUAGACUUCUUUAGUAGACUUCAGGAGAAGUCUACUGAAGUCUAUUUUGAUAAGCUAAGUAGCUUAAAAAUCAAAACUUCUGAUUCAACAAUAAAUAUCGAAUGAAAUGAAAUGAAAUUCACUGGGUAUUUCAAUCACUUCAUAAAAAGCAUUUCUAAUCCAAAAUUUUUUUUUAAAAAAAUACUUUAUAAAUUUGCCUAAAACGCGUUUUUAUAAAAAAACUGCAAUAAGUAGACUUCUAAAGCAGACUUCAAACGUAGACUGAAGGAGAAGUCUAUUUUUUCAUAGUGAAGUCUACUAAAGAAGUCUACUAAAAAACAAGUUAUUUUUGCAAUUGACCAAUCCGUUGACUUUUUCUUCAGUAAACUUCAGAAGUAGACUUCCGGCCAAAAAUGUUACUUUAGCAUUUGACCAAGCCAUUGACUAACAAAGUAGACUUCUAUUGUAGACUUCAUGUAAGAGUAGACUUCUCUGACAGUCUACUUUUGAAGUCUACUUUUUCAAUAGAAGUCUACGAAAAAAAUAGGUUAUUUUUGCAAUUGACUAUCUUUAGUAGACUUCACUGUGAAGUCUACUCAAAAAAAGAUUUCUUCUAAGUUUGACCGAAAAAUAUAAGUAGACUUCCCAAAGAAGUCUACAGUUUUUAGACUUCUUUCUCAAGUCUACUGCAGCUUUCCGGAGUUUUCUGAAUUUUUUUAUUUUUUAAAAAACUUUAGUCAAACACUAAAAUGACCUAUACGUUUUUGGUCAAACUACAAAAGUAACUUAAAAGUAGACUUCUUGUGCAGACGUACACAGUAGACUUUAGAAAGAAGUCUACAUUAAAAAGUCAAAAUACGGUCAACUACAAAAAUAACCUCUUUUCUUUCGUAGACUUCUUAAGCCUUCAAAUGAAGUCUACUAUGCUUUUUUUGUUUUCAAAGGAUAUCGAGUAGACUUCUCGUGAGGUUUAAUGAAGUCUACUUUUAAAAAGUCAAUUGCAAAAAUAACCUUAUGUUGACUAGUAGACUUCAGUAUACUUCACGAGAAAUCUACUUUCGCGAUAUGAAAACUGAAAUAUGGAGAAAUUGAAGUGCGACGAUUACCUUUUACAAAAUUGAGCUCGGCUACAGUUCUUUUAAGCACCCAGAACUCAGGAUUUCACCAAAAAUAAGCAACCCAGAUGUCAAGUAACCAGAAAUCACCGAAAAUGCAUGACUUUUGGCAUUGUAACUUAGCUCAGAUGUUUUGGAGAAGAAAUUAUGAAAGAAUGAGGAAGGUUAUGAGUGAAUGAGCUCAAAUAUUUACUUAUUACAGCUUUAAAAUUGGUUGAGAAGCAUUUAUUCUAUUUUCAUGGUUGUUCAUGGUGGUUGAAGAAAUUGAAGAAGAUGGCAUUCUCGUAAUUAAAAGGUCUUUAGAAGGUCCAAGGAGACUUUAGCCAAAUUAAAGAAAAAUUGAAAUAAUAGAUGUAUAAUAGCAUUUUCGUUAAUAGUUUAAGUGGGAAGGAUAAAAUUGUGAGAAAAUGGCAAAAGUUGGAGAGAGAAAAAAAAAGAGGUUAGUUUGGUGUUUAACUUUGAAAUAUGGAUUAAAUCUGAAACCCUCCCAAAAAUUUAACCAAAAGGGGAUUUAUUUGAAGCUUGGUUUCUAAUUAACGAGACGUGUACACAAUCAUCGGAACGUCUACUAUGUGCCAGAAGCGGCAAUUGUGCAUUCUUUGACCGAAAGGAUCAUGUAAAACUAAAAUCAUAUAUAAGUGAACAACAGUAAAAUCCAUAUUUGAACCAUAGUUUUUUUUUGUGGCAUAAAGUUUUAUUGUUGUUGUAAAAGAGAAAUCAUUAAUUUGUUCUUCAAACUUCAAUUAUAUUUUCUUAAUCAUAAAAUUACUUUUUGGUAUCAGAGAACUUGUUCAUGCAGAUGAUGUGGAAAAGGUAUUAGCAAUCAAGCUCUGCCCAAAUGCUAAAACAGACCUUCUCGGAUGGCAUUACUAUGAUGAUGGGAUAUACACAGUAAAGUCGGGUUACUGGUUGGCUACUCAUUUACCAUCUAAUCCACUCAUAGCCUCACCGCCUGGGGGUCUAUAUCUAAAGAAUCUCUUAUGGAGGCUGAAAACAGCACCAAACUUCAACAUUUCCUAUGGAAGAUUGAUGCAGAGAUAUUGCAUAUUGGGGAAACGUUAAGAAGACGUCAUAUAAGUCAAAAUUCCCAAUGUAAAAGAUGUUUCAGAGCAGAGGAAACUGCAAAACAUCUGUUCUUUGAUUGUGAAUAUGCACAAGCCACUUGGCGGGCUUCUGGAAUCCCCAACCCACUAGUCUUUAAUCCUCAAGCUACUUUUGAGGAUAAAAUGAUUGCAUGUUUUACUUGUAAUACAGCCUCAGCCCUCAGACAUUUGGGGCAACUGCCGCUAUGGAUUCUUUGGCGUUUGUGGAAGUCACGAAACACACUUGUCUUCCAACAAAAACAUAUUCCAUGGGGGAAGAAUCUUGUUUAUGCAUGAAAUGAUGACACUGAAUAGAUUAAUAUUAAAGACCGCAUUGCUCUACAGGAAAAAUGGUUCUCAGCUGACACAAUCCCUCAGCCACACGCAAGAACUUGUUGGAAAGUUCCACUCCCUGGAUGGAUCAAGUGCAACUAUGAUGCUUUAGUCUAUAAUGGGCAGGUACCAGGUAAAGCAUGAUGAUUACUACCAGAUGAAAAGGGUAUUUAUCUAGGAUCAGGCCAAGCCAGAGGUCGUCAUGUCAAUAAUGCCCUUGAAGGAGAACUGCAAGCACUACUCAUAGCAAUGCAACUCUGCUGGAGCAAAGGUUGUAGAAAGAUUGAAUUUGAAGGAGACAACAAAACAGUUUUGGAAUUACUUCAAGGUGUGAACCGAAAUUUCAAGGUCUACAAUUGGAUUAGGGAGAUAAGGCAAUGGCAAAGACGAUUCGAAGAAGUAAGAUACAACUGGAUUAGUAGAAGCAACAACAAUCCGGCUGAUAUUUUGGCUAAACAACCUUCUCCCUCAGGGAUCUGAUUUUGUUUUCCAUUUCUUUGUUCCUUCUGUAAUAACAUCAGCUCUUCAUUUGAACUACGGAGGAUUACUACACUAACCUUAGAAAGUAUCUAUAUUACUUGUUUGGCGCACUUUUAUUUUUUUUACAAAACUAACCUAGCAUACCCAAAACACCCUUUUCGCCUUUGUUGAAAAAAACCUAAUUACGAAAAUGCCAUUACUUUUUUAAUGCCAUGUAGGCAGAUUAUAGCGCUGAAAAUUUGAUAAGUCUACCAGGCUUUGACGGUAGACUUAUCAAAUUUUGGUCAACGCAAAAAUUUUGUCGGUAAAGUUAUUAGGUCGAUGGUAGAUUUAUUCGAGAGUUGGUAGAGUUUACAAAUGUUGGUAGACUUAUCUUGGUAGAGUUUUGACGAUGAGAGGUAGAUUUAUUAUGUUUCGGUAGAUUUGUUGUUAUGAAUGGCAGACUUGUCAAACGUGUUGGUAGACUUGUUAAAGAAAGCAUUGACUUUCUCGCAUAGUUGACUUUCUCGGUAGAUUUAUUGACAAUGAGGUAGAUUUAUUUUCUGAGUUGGUAGACUUAUGCCCUUUGGCAGUAGAUUUAUGUGAAAAAGGGUGUCAAUACGUGAUGGUAGAUAUAUCUGUUUUAUGGUAGAGUUAUAUCUUGUUGGUAGAUUUUUUGCUUUUGUGGUAGAUAUAUUUUUUUGUGGUAGAUUUAAAUUCAAGUAAAAUUCAUUCCAGUGAGUGGUAGAUUAUUUGUUACAUGAGGUAGACUUACAAGAAUGUUGGUAGAUUUAUUUGUUUUGUGGUAGAUAUGUUUGUUUUGUGGUAGAUUUAAAAUUCAAGUAAAAUUCAUUCCGGUGAGUGGUAGAUUAUUUGUUACAUGAGGUAGACUUACAGAAUGUUGGUAGAUAUGUUUGUUUGUUUGGUAGAGUUUAUGUAGUCUGGUAGAGUUAUCGUACGUAUGGUAGACUUCUUAUAAUAAUCAUGUGGUAGAUUAAUUAAGUUUGGUAUUUACAAAGAUAAUCUGAUCUGGUAAACAUAUGAGGUGCUUAUGGUAGACUUGUUUAUAUGGUAGAGUUAUUUUUCAUUCUUGAGGUAGACUUAGUUGUUAAUGUUUGGCAGACAUUUGAUUUUAUAGAUUAAAAUUACUUUUUUGUCCUAAAAGUAUUGUCUUAUCUACGAAUAGACUUGUUUUGAAGUGUAGUAUGUUAAACAGGUUUCGUACAUAUGGUAGACUUGUUCCAUAGUUAUAUUUGAGUUGGUUUUGUUACCAUUGACGUUUUCUUCGCAUGAGUUUGCUAAGAUUAUGUCGGUUAACUGUGAUUCGAUCACAGAUAAUUAUUGGUCUUUACGAUAUAGAUGACAUAAUCAAUGGUCAAAAAUUUCUAACAUGAAUAUUUUUUCUAUGAUAUAUCUUUUCUCUAAGAAAACUUUGCUUUUCAUAUUAACUUUGAACAUAUAUGUCAUAUCUGUAAUAACCAUCUCUUAACUUAUGAUUUUUUGAUUUUUAUUUUUGAAUAUUUGUUACAUUUAACUCUAUUUACAUAAACUCUUACAACAUCACAAUGUCAAAUGAUUUUAGUCAUGUGUUUUGAUUAAAAUUUUAUUCAGUUAUGAUAUACAUCAUAGUGAAAGUAAAGAAAUAAAUUAAAUUAAAUAAUAACAUUACUAGCAAAUAUGGUAAAAAUGUGAAAAUGUCUGGGUCAAUGUUUUACGACAAAUAUAAUUUGAAAACAACAAUAUUAUCAUUUAAAAUCUAAUUAUCAUUUUUACAAAUUCAAAAUAUAGAUAUACCAUCAAUUUAAUAAUAAAUCUACCAUUAUUUCAAAACAAAUCUACCAAAUGCAAAUCUACAAUUCAUAGUAAAACAUGUCGGAUCGAUGCUGGAUAUCCCAUCAAAGAUUUGUUCACCAUGGCAAAGCCUAUAAUCUGUCAGAAAAAAAAAUAAACAAAUACUGUCAUUCGUAUACAAAAUUCAAAUAUAUACGACUGAUAAAUCUACCAUAAAUAAUUAAUAAAUCUACCAAACACAAAUCAUUUUUCAAAUAAGUUACCAUUAAAUGACUAAUAAAUCUACCAAAUCACAUCGUUUUAAAAAUAAGUCUAUCAUUAGAUGACUAAUAAAUCUACCAAACGACAUCAUUUUUUAUAAUAAUUUUACCAUCAAAUAACUAAUAAAUCUACCAAACCAUAUUUCGUUUUCUAAAUAUAUCUACCAUCAAAUAACUAAUAAUCUACCAAACUACAUAUCGUUGUUCAAAUAAAUCUAUCAUCACAUAUUAUGAACUUUACAAUAUCGAUUUCCAAAUAUAUCUACCUAACGUACCUGAAAAAAAAUUAGGGAUACAGUUUUUACAAAAAAAUUUACGCCGCCGACAACCUCCACAACACCACCAUUCCAUCGAAACAACGUCUGUCCACUGCGGUUGUGCGCGACGCAGCAAGAAUGCUGCUAAAGAGUCAUGCCAAAUAUUUUUGAGAUCUCCAACACCAAGAUCUGUGUGGAUCUGCGAAAAAGAGGGAGGCUGUGAAGAGAUAAAAAGGGAGAAGGAAGGAGAAAGCUCCAAAAAGAGGAAAGCUGCGAAAAGAGGGAAGCUGCUAACCGGAAUUUUUCGAGCCAGAGGAGAAAUCACUAUGUUUGCCUAUCAAGAAGCUCUACAUGGAAAGCGAGGAAGCUGCGACGAUGGAAGAUUCAGAGCUGAUGGGACCAUAUCUUCGUGCCGCAGAGACGCCGGUGACAAGAACCAAUCUUCGGCGCAGUCUUCUUCUUCUUAUUCUUCUUCUUCUACAACGGCGACAAGAACCAAAUUAGGGUUUUUUUUAAUAAUCAGAUUUUUUUUUUUCUGUAGAAAUAUACUUGUACUCGUUUUUUUUUGUAGAAAUAAUUUAAAAAAAUUAAUUUUUUAAUUUUUAUUAAUCAGAAUGGCAUUUUUGUAAUAAUUUUGAACAGCUGGAUAAAAAAAUUAAUUUUUUUUAAAAUUUUUACUAACCAUAAUGGUAUUUUCGUAAUAAGUUUGAACAGAUGGAUAAAAAAUAUCAAUUUUUUUAAUUUUUAUUAACGAAAAUGGCAUUUUCGUAAUAAUUUUGAAUAACUGGAUAAAAAAUUAAUUUUUUUAUUUUUAUUAAUCAGAAUGACAUUUUCGUAAUAAUUUUGAAUAGUUGGAUAAAAAUGACUUAAACCAACUUUAUAAGGUUAGUCUUGUAAGCUGAUCCAUAUGUUAAGCUAGGUUUGUCAUUUCAUCAACCUUAAAGUCUAGUAUAAGGAAUUUUCACUUUGAAAUAUGUAGCUAUUUAAUAUCAAUAAAAAGGCGUUACAAAAAAAAAAUUCAAAUGGUAUUUCGGAGUAUCCAAAACCACUAGUUCAAUUCCAUAUGUAUGGGUAAUUUACACCUUAAACGUGGCAUUGAGAGAAAUUCCGGACUUAAGGUCUAAAAUAUUUUAGGCUUAUAAAAAAAUUAUAUAUCAAAAAUUUCCAAACCAGUGAUUGAUUAGAUUUUACAUUCGUUUUUUAACAAAAUUAAUGAACUUAUAUACUCGAUAAUCGAGAAAAUGUGGUGAUACAGCCAUAUAAAAGUCAUCAGGAGUUUCGUUAACCAAACUAUUCCCUAAAUGUUCGAUAAUGGUACGUAUACUGAUAUUUCAAUAUACAUCCAAAUAUUGUACAGUACAAGUUUAGACUUUUAUGCUAAGAAAAUCAACUUCAUGGGUUUGUUGAACCACAUACGUACAAGUAAAAAACUUAAAUGAAAUAUAGCUGGUAUUUUAUAUUCUUGAACUUGGUAAGACCAAUUUUUGAUGAAAAUGAAAAUGAUCUAAAUUGGUAGGACUGAGAACUUACACAUGCUAGCUUUCCCGUUCAUAUACUACUCGGACAUAAAUGUGUUGGAUGUCUUCUGGUUGAAUAGUGGGAAAAAUUUGAUGUUUCAAUACUCAUUUGACAGGACUGGAUUCGGAAUACAUAUAUAUGUUCAAACCAAAGUACCUAAAUAUAUGGUCAUAAAUACUCCAUGCAAACAUUUUAUCAAUAUGAGCCAAAAUGUAUCCUAAUAUUUGAUACAAAAUACUUUCAUAUAAUAUUACAAAUCAUUCAGAUUAGAUCCAGAUAUCUGCAGAUAUUGGUGGAUAUAAAUUCAAGUAAUAACUUUUAAGAUCCAUCAGAUUCAGAUUCAAAUUCGGAUAUCUGAAACUAUAAGGUAUUGGAUCAUGCCAACCUUUACUAGUGAGAUGUUAUAAAUUGUAGUUAGGUGAACAGUUACUGUGUUCAACAAUCUGAGAUGUGGAGUCUACUCCCUUCCUACAACUUUUCAAAGUUGGACCCAAAAAAAUCAGUGCUUUAAAGUCUACCAAAUAUCAGUGCUGAAGUCAAAGUCUUUCCUACACCCAAUAAAGCAAAAACAACUUAAAUUCCAAGUUAGAUUUUACUUUUCUACAUUUUUGGUUUUACAAAGUUACUUUAGUCUAAUGUUUUGUUAUGUGAUUACCUGUAAACACACAAAUAUGCAAAUAGGGUAUUAUCAUUAAGAGACUAAUUCUUUUGUGUUUGAUCUAAUAAUACAAAUAUUAUAUGUGACAAAAGUUUGCCAUUUUUAUAGCAUUAAAAUAAGAAAAAAAAAUUACCAAAAGAAAGUUAAAAAGUAAGAAAAAAACAAAAGGUGUCUUUUUUUUGGUAGGAGAACUGUUGUCUAGACAUUCCUAUAAAUCUGUCUCUCUAACUUGUUGCUCUUCUUUUUAUACCUCACAAUUUGCUAUUAAGACAUUUGUCAAAAAUAAAUAUUCUCAAGCAAUUUAUUUCUCUUCUAAUCCUCACGAUGAGCCAUAAUACCAGAGGAACCUCACUUUCUUCUCACAAUCUUCAUAAUUCGGACGAGAGAGUCCCUCUUCGAUCAGAUUCAGACCAGUCUUGUCUGAAUUCAAGCCCAGAGUUCGAUUUUUGCCUUCGUCAGAACUCAAAACAACGGUUUUCUCACGCAGAAGAACUCUUCUCUGACUGGAAAAACCUCUCUCUCACUACCCCUGCCACGGUCUCGAAGAAGACAGAGAUUACUCCUCCUAGAAGCAAUGUACAAACCCUAGCUGCGAAAUCCGAUACAAGAGACUCUGACUCGGAUGAUCCAAGUUUUGGGUGUGGGUUUUGGCUUGUCAGAAGCAAAUCUGUUGGGUACUCGAUGAGAAACAAGAAGAAAGAUUCUUCUUCGGAAUAUCAUCGGAGCAAUAGCGAUCCACAGAAAAAGAAGAAGACGAGUUUGCAGAAGAUGAAUUCUACAGAGAUUAGGGUUCCAAGAUCCACUAAAAGUCAUUCGUUGAAUGUCCCAUUGGCUGAUAUAUUUUGCUUAGGCCCUGUGAUUUCCGGCAGCCACGAUCGGAGAAAGUGAAGAGUGUUUUUCUUAACCCAAAUCACGAACUAAUUUCCAAAACUUAUGAAAACCCGGUUUUUCUUACCAUUUAGAACGUUAAUAGUGGUUGUAUUUGAUUUUUUAUUAUUUAUUAUUGCUAUUAAAUUUGGAGUUUAAAGACUAAAUAGAACUUAAGGCGGAUAGAUUUUUACACUAAUAAAAGAUUAUUUGAUUGUAAAGAUUAGUAUAAUUUAGAAUGUAAUUUUCACAUUUCAUAGGAGGAAAUAUACUAUUUUGUGAAAUGGUUUCAUUAUACCGGCCAAAAAAAGAUCAAACCGACAAACGAUCAAAUAGUACAAAUACUAGUCAAACAGAACACCUCGAUUGAUCAAAACGUGUGGAUUUAAGAACCUUUUUGACUAAUAAGAUUGACCAAAGUUGACUGAUACAUAGAUGAUCAUUCUUUGAUAAAUGUAGUGUGUUUACUGGUAUUGUCGUCUUACUGUUUUCUAGAAGAUUUACUUACAAGAAAUAACCUCUUCUAAAUACCAACUUUGCAGGUUAGGUUCUUUUGCAGUGCUAAUAGUAGAUGACUUAAAAAAAAAUAGAAUGACAUAACUACAGUUGAGUUAGAAAGAUCAGAAAAAAAAAUGAUUCUUUCAUUAUACUAACUCAUGGUCAAAAGUCGGAAUCGUCCAAAGCCCAAAACCAACGUCGAAAUAAUUGAAAAGAACAUUGAAUUCCUUUUAGAGUUUUAGUCCAAUGUAAUUAUUAUGCAAGAAUAAACAAUCGGACUUUGUCAAAAGAAACCAACAACUAAAAUCCAUUUGGAAAACUAAUAACAUGUAUAUUUAUUAGAAAGUUUUGAGCAGCAUUGCAUUUCUUUUUUACUUAGACUUUGUUUGGAGAGAUGAAGAUUUGGUUGAAUAAUACAACAAGAUUUGGCAGUAGUUAGUUAACAAGGACCUUUUUUUGUUGUCUUAUUGUAUAUUUUCAUCUAAUUUUAAGUGUGAAGAUUAUAAGACCCAAAAAGUAUCUAGACGUGUUUUACAUAUUUCAAAAGUUAUGGACACCUUUAAAUGACCAACAAAUGGUUUGUUGAUCGAUCGUUUUUGGUUCUAGACCAGUUAAGGAAAAAUAGAGAGGCUGAUAUAUGUCUUACAUAUAUUUAGUCAACAGAAGCUAUAAGAAGACUAAUUCAAACACUUGACCAACUUACUUCUCCAUUUGAUUUAAUCUAAUAUCAAACAAAAUCAAAUCUUUGGUGAAAUAUUUAGAAAGACUUUGGUUUUUAGGCUUGUUGUGUUUGUUCUUGUUUCUUAGUAGUUUUUUUGGUUUUUCUCCGUUUCAUGUGUAUCAGCUAUCAAGUAAACUUUUUGUAAUCGAAAAAUGGUAUAGCUUAACAUUGUUACAAAAGAAAAGGUUUAAGAACAAAUAUUUAUUAGAAAACAUGAUGACAAGUGAUUAUGAUUUAUGAAUGGUCAGAGUUAAUGUGUUUGGCAAAUCUUAUUUGAAACAAUUGUUACGACCCCAUAUUGAUUCUGUAUAAUACUAAUUAGUUUCUUACAAGGUUCUAUGGUUUUCUUUUUUUUCAUCUGAUGGAUAUAUAGAUUUUUGAGGACAAAGUUCCAGAAGAAAGAAGACAAACAAAGAGAUAAAAUCUAUGAAGACGAUAUGAAAGAGCUGAAAAUUAUAGACUCCUAAGCACUAAAACUGAAACAACUCUUAUAAAGUUCUGUGUGUGAAAUUACUCUUAAACUAACUUUUGGUGGUUAAUCCUAUCCACUUGAUUUGUGGAGGCAUUGAAUUGGGUUUACUAUGAGCAUGAUUUAGUCAGCAUUUGUACAUGAACGAAUGUGACAACAUCAUUCGAUUUGUUUAUUUUGAAAGAAUCACAAUAGUUCUUAUAUCAAAAAUGUAUGCUUACGUUUACAAACAAAUUCUGAACCAAAAAACACAACCAAAAUUUUUUACAAACAAAUCAAAUCACCAACACACCAAUAAGCACACAAUCAAAUCCAAGAAUUUAUUCUCAUCAAUCAAAACCCACACCAAAAAAAAACCAAAGAAUAAUUCGUGGGAAAAUCAAAGCUUUGAAAAACGAAAAAUAUCAGUAGAUUUGUCUGUAACCCAGAAUUGUCCGGCCACCGCCGCCAACGGCUUUUCUCCCUCCUCCUCCUCCUCCGUUGCCGUUAAUGGCAGAAGCAGCAGCCAUUGAUAUUUCCUUGAGAUCCUCAACGCUCGCGUAACUCUUACGUGCCAAUCCCAUCAACCCUCUACUCUUCUUCUCCCCUGCACUCGCCGAUUUGCUUCCUCUCGCGGCAGCUGAAGAAGAAGAAACCGAUCCCGACAAAACGCCGCCGUUUCUACUCUUCGAAGGAUGCGGCGGAGGAGUAGUGUUGUAGUUAACCGGACGGCGAUUCUCUUUACGGAUCACGGCGGAGAAAUUAGGCACCGAUUGAGCCAACGAAGAAGACGGAGUUUUUCUCGGAGAAAACCCGAACCGAGUCUGUUUCUUCUUCUUCUCCGGCGUAAAAAUCUCUUCCACUCGUGAAAUUACCGGAUUACCCUCGAACCUCACUUGUUUUUUCUUGGGCUCUUCUUCUUCUUCCUCUUCGAGAAAUUUCUGGAAAUCUCGUUUCAUCCGAAGCUUCGAUUCUCGCAGCCGUGAGUAUUCGUCGUAUCUUGGUCCUCUCUCGAAUCCGCAGAAACCGUCUAACAAGAGUUUAAGCUGAUGUGUGUCGGAGUUUUGUGAGAGUAUGAGAGACAUUGGAUCAACAGAGAAAAACAGAGGUUCCAUACUAGGGUUUGAGAUCGUAUCCGCCAUUAAAAUCUCGCACCAAAAGUUCAGCUUUUUUUACAGAGAUUUGUUAUGUUUUUUCUUUCCUCGGAUUUGUUGUUUGCUUUGGGCUUUAUUUAUGACUCUUUGUUCUUUCUUCGUUUUAUUUCGCAACGGUCUUUUUUGGGGAAGAAAGACUCUUACGACUUUUUUGGUAUUGACGGAUUUACCCCUUUAUUCUUACGUGUAACGGUCCUAUUUUGGUAGUGUGGGACCCAGAGAAUCAUCGGUCAAACGGUCAUUAAUUUCCUUAAGCAACAAUUAGUCAGUUAAUUAAUAUAUCAGAUCUUUCUUAAUGGUUAUUAAAUUAUUAAUCAUCGAUCUAUGGGCCGAUUAAAUUCCAUUCCCAUCAUUUUUUACUGUUUCUAUAGAAAACAAGAUAGAUAUACUGAAUAAGUAACACCGACAAGGUGAUUAGUUUAGUACAUAGUACAUACAUUCACAAGUUAAGAGGCAAAACAGCAAUUUUGUCAAAAUAAAAGGGGAUUAAUCACAAUUUAAAAUUAAUCUUCAGCUUACAAUAUAACCUUACUAGCAAAGACGAAUACUAACAAUGUUGGACCAUAUUUGUGUCGAGUGUCCUCACAGCUUCAAAACCUUGUUCCAUUCCCGCAUCAUCGAUCUAAACAUGAUUCGAUUCAACAAAAAUCAGUCGUGGAAUGUCUUUAAGACAAAAAAGUUUCAGACUUUCAGAGAUCAAUGUUUAUCAAUUGAUGAACAAAAAAAAAAUCAGUCAUGGAAUGUCUUUAAGCCAAAAAAGUUUCAGACUUUCAGAUAUCAAUUGACACAAAGGUUGCUUUAAAAAAAAAAAUAAAAACUUACUAGAGAUCUCCUGCAGCUGCAAGGCUUUCCCAAAGCCAUUCUGCACCACCAUCGAUGAUAAGUGCGUCCAAAACCGUCCUACAACAUCUUCUUGGUCCGUUUACAGGUUCUGCUAAGAGAACAUUAUCACCCAUGGCUUUCCAAUCUCUAAGAGAAGACGCGAAAUCCAUGUUGUCUCCUGAGAUAACCAGCAGAUUCGACGAUCCGUUUUCGCUAUUGUCCAUUAACCAGCACCAAAUUCCCCUUAUCAUUGUUUCAACUCUCGCAUAUUUAUCACCUGCACGUUCGAGCUUUAUUCCAGCGGAUUCAAAGUAACCUGGGAUCUGAUUCUUGUCACCGUAAGCCCAGAUUGUCACCUCACCACGAUAACCCUUACUCGCAAGAGCGGUUCUGAUAUUCCGAUAGACAGAUUCAGGAUUCAGACCGUUGGGGAUCGGACAAUCCUCCAUGUCCCAGAACACGCAUGUCUUUGCCUCUGCGUCCAAACGCAUUAUCAACAAUCAAAGCGCUCUUUGACUUCUUUUGUUUUCUAAUUUGCAAAAUUUGAUCCACAGAGAGAGAUAGAGAAAGAGCUUACCAGAGUAUUUGCCGGCCAAGGAAGUCAUGGAGAAGAUGAUCGGAGACGGAGAAAGAUUAAUUAGGGUUUAUCGGAGUUGCAAAUUAUAGGAGAUCUAUUAGAGUGGUGGGCUCUGGUUUGGCUCAAAUCAUUGGCCCAUCAAUAUCAUAGGAUAAGUAUUUAAAACAAUCAUAAUGUGCAACAUUGUUGAUAAGGCGCCAAUUAGAAAACAAUAGAAAACAAGAUGACAUACAUUCACAUAUUAAUGCGAGAAAACAGCAAUUUUAUCAUAAAUAACAUUUGAAAUUGAUCUUUAGCUUACAAAUAUAAGCUAUUACUAGGGAUUAACCCGCGCUAUAACACGGGAGAUAUAUUUUUAAUCUUUAAUUAAUUUAAAUAAUUUUAUGAAAACAGUUAUUUUGUAAAAAUAGUUAUUGUUAUAAAGUCUACAAUAAUAUAGUGCAUAUUUUUGUGAAUUUUAAAUAAUGAGUUGAUAUAUAUAUAUAUAUAUAUGAAUUAUAAAAAAUGAAUUAAUCCGUAUAUGAAGUUAUUUUAUAAGCGUGUAAAAAAAAUAAGUUGUUUUAAACCCGUUGGCACUAAACUAAAAUAUUAUUUAGGCUAAUAUAUAAAAAUUAUAAUAUAAUAAUCAUCAACUCUAAUUUGCAUCGUUUAAUAAUUGACAUUUAUAAUCUGUUCACAAACUAUAAAAAUUUAAUUUUAUCUUUUUAACUAUAUAUGAAAAUAAUAUAAUAUUCUUUACACUUAGGUUUGAUAAAUAAAUAUACAACAAAUUAUCUUUAAUUUAAAAUAUAUAUAAUUUAGUAGAUUGAAUAUAUUACUUAUUUUAAAAAAUUAAUAUUUUGAAUUUUGAGAUUUUUUUGUGGGUAUUAAAAAAUUAAAAUUAUAAUCUGUUUAUAUAGAAUUAACCCGUUUACUUAACAUGUUUUUAUUGAAUUAAAAUUUAAUAAUUAAUUAUAAUAUUCACCGUUAAAUAACUCUCAUUUCAUCACAAACUUUUUUUUAUUUAAAAAUCAAUUUUUCAUAUCAAAUUUUUAGUAAAAUAACUAAAAAUGUAUUUUUGUAUAUAUUCAAUCAAAUGUAGCAAAUUAUUGAAAAAAAAUACUUCACCACUUUUUUAAUAUCAUAAUUUUUAUUUUGACUUUUAUAAUAUUUAUAAAUUCAAAAAUUCAAAAAUAUUUAUAAUAUCAUAACUUUUAAAAUAAUUAAAUAUACUUUAUAAUAUAAUUUGAAAAUAAAAAUAAUAAAAAAUUAUCAUAUUUUUGAAUUUAGAAAUUAAAUAAUAAAUAUACUCUAUUAAAUGAGAAAAACUUUCUAUAUUUUUAGCAAUAGAGUUAAAAGACAACUAUAUCCUUUCUUAUUUUAAUUAUUCUUUGUUAUUUGUAAUAGUAUAUCAUGUAAUAAUUUAUAAAAUAAAGGUUAUAUUUUAAAAUGUCUCCUCAAAUAAUAAUAUUGAGAUUAGAUAGACAAACUAUGUACAAAGGAUGCAAACAAUGUUGGGACUAUAGUGUCAAACUGUGUUGAACUUGUAUUUCUGCUCCAAAUUGAAUCGAGAGAUUGUGUCGUUGAAUCCACAUUCAACGAGUGUCCUCACAGCUUCAACACCUUGUUUCAUUCCCGCAUCGAUCUAAACAUGGUUCGGUACAAGUACCACACCCGUUUAAGCCAAAAAGUUUCAGACUUUCAGAGAUUAAACAGUUAAAAGAUGGUGUUUUUUUGUUUUUUUAACCUGUUUACGCUCCAAGGGACUAAAUUUCUGGAGAAGAAACGCUUUCAUGUCCAUGUUACCUGGUGGAUUCCCAAUUCCUGUAAUUUACCAGGCAAUUUUUUACUAUUGUCUUGUUUAUUUGGUGGAAGAGGAUUUCGACAAUACAACGGGAAACACUAACCGAUUGAUAAACGGGGAAAGCCACGGCAACCAUUUAAAUGUUCCGUUACAUUCUUCAACCUGGAAACAGAACAAAAGAAGUUCAAGACCUUUACAGCAAAAGCACAAGAAAUGUUUAUCUUGUUCUAGUUCUCAUACACGUGAAAUGAAUAUACAUUAUCGAAGCAUUAUCAAUGGAUCUUAGAUCUUGAAAUUUUUGUGUUCUUUCAAGUUAACAAAUCUCCUUUCCUCAAGAAUGAGGAUUAAGUUUAGAGAUUUGAUCAAAUUUAACCAUUUCCAAUUCCAGCUAUUUGAAAGCAAGAUUGCUGGAGAUUUGAAGAAUUCUCAACCUCAUAUCUUAGUCCUUGCCUUAUAGUAUUAUUAUAAGCAAAGAAAAGGUAUUUGAUACCCUGAUCAAAUCCUUAUUCAGCAACAAUACUUACCCGUUGUGGUGGCUGUGUCCUCCUUUUGGUUGAAGCCUCAAGACACCAUUAGGCAAACCCAUGUCAUCAUAUAUCUACACCAUAAAGGCACAUACAAAUAUUUUAGUCAAUUCAGUUUCAUUAUCAUCACACAGCAAAGAAAAAGAUAAAAUUCCGUACUUACCAUCAGAAUGUGGCGUAAGGGUACUUGAUAAUAAGCUGCUAAUGGCCCAACCUUCAGAAAUGCCAAAGACUUUGAGGGUUAUUCAAAUCUCAUUUAGACAAUUAUAAGUUAUAUAUAUCAUUCAAGAAUCACUAACCGAUUCACCACUGAAAUUCAUGUAUGCCUGAGGUUUAACCAACAAAAUCGGAACCUCUCCAACAGCACCUGUUCUGGCCACACAGAGAAUCCCAAAUAAACGAACAAACACAACCAAAUAUAUGAAAACAAAAGCAAGAAAUUAGCAAGAAGAGAACCUAUCCCAACUAAAGCUUUGGACUGUAUCGUAUUCAUGGAAAUGUCUGUUGUUCGAGCUAUAUGAUCAAUCAUCUCAAAACCAAUCUGCACAUAACAAAAUAUAAGAAUAAAAAAGAAGAGAGCUUUUAAUUCAUGAACUUCAAAAUGAAAUGAAAAGAUUAUUUUUUUUACAUUAUGCCUUGUUCCAUAGUACUUUGUUCCAGGGUUACCAAGCCCAACGAUAAGCCAUGGUGUGUAUUCAGCUUGAAGCUUGUUAUCAGAAACAGGCAACGAAGCACGCAGAGAGAAGAGUCUCUUCGAAUCCGAUUUCGUUUGACCAAAUUUACAACUUUUUGGGUAGAGAAGAGAUUUAAUCGGAGGAGAUGAUGACCCACAAAACAUCACCGCAACUGAAUCAAAAACAAGAUUGGGGAAAUUGAUAAUACCCUAAAACCAUAAAUUCCACAAUCGUUAAGAGAAAAGUAACACUAACCCAUCAAUGGCGACGAGUUUCUGAUGAACUCUUAACUAUAAAUAAAAGAACUUGACGGGUUUUCGAGGAUUUCCAAGGACGAUUUGGAACAACUGAAAACGAAACCUUUAGAAGAUAAGCUCAAGCUGGAGAUGGGAAGGAGUAGACUUAAACCGGAGGGGUUUAGGAUGUAAAGGAGUAAGACUUUUUUUUUCUUUUUUUUUUUUGUUUUUCACAACCCAACAAUUACAUCACAUUUGGCCCGUUAAAGAGUUGGUCCGAAAACCGUCUUCAACUGGCUUGGUAUGAAUGAUUUGGGAGAAAAUACAACCUCUUGCUCGAGCUCCUUUUGCAAGACUAUCCGCUCAGACAUUUGAACUUCUGGGGAUAUGGGAUAGAGUGAAAUCCAAAAAAUUUUCCCGAAGAUUGCGGAAGGCUUCUAACUCUGAUAAGAAUGAUGGCCAAUCUGAUAGCGAUUCAGACAUGCUAAUCAGAUCCAAAAAAUCGGUUUGAAAGUGUACAGAUAAAAUUUGUCUAUCUUUCACGCAAGACAUAACCCAUAAUAAGCUCUCCAAUUCGGCAUGAAGGGUCGAUAGGCUUCUACGACAGCCUUGAAGGCCAAAAGUCUCGCCACCUCUUUCCUCCUUCAGUCUCCACCCGAACCCACUAACCAGGCCAAUGCCUAUCCAAGAUGCAUCAACCUGACAAAUUGGGAACCUCGGGGUAUCGGGUAGAGGACUAUAGAGCAAAGGAGUGAGCGGAGCCUAGUCUGAUCCGUCUUCUUCUUUUUCCGGUUGGUUUGCAAUCUUCCAACUUUCGGCUUCAACCUUGGCGUGGAUCAAAGUAUCUACCGGGGAAAUUUCUUUCCCGUUGAAGAUCUUGUCGUUCCUCGCUUUCCAAAUAUACCACAGGAUCCAAGGAUAAAUAUCCUUUUGAGGAUCUGUCAUGCCUAACUCUUUUGUUUUCCAAAAGAGAAAGCUCAUAUUUUGGUAAAUAGAGAUAUUCGGAAAGACACCCGGAAGGGACGGAAAGUCCGAUAACGCCCAGACUUGUAAAGCCGGGGGGACAUAAAAACAGAAGAUGGUUAAUAGAUUCUUCAGGAUUCCCACAGCGGGGGAAACUCUUAUCCGUUCCCAUAUGCCUGUAGGUUAGGUUUUGGCAAGUAGCAAUACAUCCUGAUAAAGCUUGCCACAUAAAAUGCUUUAUUUUUCCAGGCGUCCGUACUUUCCAAACGUAGCUUUGAAGAGCUGUGAUACUCGGUUCUCUCACGACAUCCAAAUUCUGAUCAAGGUUUGAUUUCCUAAUCAGGUCAUAUCCGGAUUUAACCGUGUAUACUCCUGUUUUAGUAUGGUUCCACGCAAAUUCAUCAAGGGUAUGGUUCCUACUAGGUCUCAACCCAAGGAUAAGAGAAACAUCCUCAGGUUGGAAAAAUUCUCUUAGAAGAGGCUCAUCCCAUUGCUUCGUAUCUUGACGGAUAAAGGAGUAAACUAACACUCUUGGGUCUUGAAGUCCGAUCUGGAGGGUUGCUCUUGGUGGACGGGCCCUGGCAUCAGGUAUCCAAGGCUCACUCCACGCCCUCGUAUUUAGUCCCGACCCUAUUGUCUUCCUUAGUCCCAUUUUAAGAUACGGUUUUGCGGCCAACAUACUCCUCCAUCCAUAGGAUGGUGAGUAGACAUUUCAAUCCUCUAACGGGUCUGAUUGUCGAUAAUAUCUUCUUCUUAGCACCCGAGCCAGAAGAGAUGAAAGGUGGAUCCCACUGCUAGAUUGUUUUGAACUCCACCAAAAAUUGGCAAUGACGCUCCGAAGUUUGUCUGUAACCCCUUUAGGGAGGAGAAAACAAGACAUGACGUAAGUGGGAAUGGCUUGAGCCACUGAUUUAAUCUGAAUCUCUUUUACACCCUUGGAAAGAAGUCUUACGGACCAAUUAUUAACACGAUUACUUAGGCGUUCAUGAACAAAAGAGAAAACCUUCUUCUUUGAUCCACAGAUUUGCUCUGGUAGGCCCAAGUACAUGCCCAUACCGCUUUCUGUAGAAAUACCUAUGGUAUUUUUAAUAUUUCGUUUGAGAUCCGGGUCCACUCUAUCUCCAAACAUGAUAGAUGAUUUCCCCAAAUUCAGUUGUUGUCCCGAUGCCAUUCCAUAAGUGUUUAUGAUUUGGAGAAUCUCCGCUCCUUGUUGGAUAUCCGCUUUACAGAAAAAACAGGCUGUCAUCAGCAAAGAGAAGGUGGGAAACUGGGGGACUUGCUUGAGCAAUUUUCAGUCCAGAGAUUCGCUCCUCUUCCUCUGCUCCCUUAAGAAGCGAAAUAAGGCCUUCUGUGCACAGAAUAAAAAGGAAAGGGGAGAGAGGAUCCCCUUGCCUUAAGCCCCUCGACGGUUUGAUGUUACCUUUAGGUUCUCCAUUAAUAAGGACCUGGUAUGAAACUGAUGAGAUGCAAAACAUCAGUAAACUGACCCAUCUCGUUGAAUAUCCUAACUUGAUUAGGAGAGCUUCAAUAAAACCCCAUUCAACCCGGUCAUAUGCUUUGCUCAUAUCUGUCUUGAUAGCCAUAAAAUUUUCCCUGCAAUUUGUGUUGGUACGGAGUGCAUGGAAAUUUUCUUGUGCUAACAGAAUAUUAUCUGUAAUAAGCCGUCUAGCCAAGAAGGCCGAUUGUGUCACUGAUAUGAUGGUUGGCAGUGUUUUUUUGAGACGUUUACAUAGAAGCUUAGAGAUGAUCUUGUAGCUCACAUUACACAGACUGAUAGGCCGGAAUUCCCCCAUUGCUCUAGGUUUGUUUAUUUUUGGGAUAAGACAAAUAUUAGUCUCGUUAAGUCUAGGAUCAAAAGUUCCGGAACUGAAAAAGUUCUUAACCAGUUUAACAAUAUCGUGGCGAAUAAAAAGCCAGAAUUUUUGGUAAAAUUUGCUUGUCAUACCAUCAGGGCCAGGAGCUUUGUCCGGAUUAAUAUCAAAAAGAGCCUCUUUAAUUUCUUUCUCCGACGGUUCCUUUAAAAGUAAUUGGUUUGUGUUAUCUGAGACUUUCUCGGUAAUAAACCGGAGGAAAUUUUCUGGGUCUGAGGGGAUAGACGAUGAGAAGAGGUCUUGAAAAUACGUAGAGGCCACUUUUUCUAUUCCUCUUGCAUUUUCCACCAAAUGUCCGUUACUAUCCUUAAGGGAGACGAUGUGAUUCCUGACUCUCCUUUGUUUAGUGAGAGCAUGGAAGAAUUUAGUGUUUUUAUCACCGUCUUUGUGCCAUUUCUCCCGACUCUUCUGUUGCCAGAACAUAUCUUCUUCCCUAAGGGCAGCACAGAGUUUCCUCCUGAUGUCUUCAAUUUCUUCUAGUGUUGUAUUAUCAUCAUCUUGGGCUAAGUCCAAUUGUUUUUUCAAUUCUUCGAUCAUUUUUUCCGAGUUAGUCGGGAAGGAUUUCUUCCAAACAGAGAUGUUUUUCCGGCAUUGUGCAACCUUUUGAUGAAAAUCUCGACGUGAGAUUUUAUCAAAGGGGCCCCACCCGGAAAUGACUGUCUCUUUAAAACCAGGCUUUCCAAUCCAUCUUUUAUCGAAUCGAAAAGAUUUUUUCUUCCUUAUGUUGUCGAUUUUUAUCAUAGCUAAGAUUGGUCGAUGAUCCGAUCCCCAAAGUUUCAUAUACUCCACCGAAGAGUGAAAAAAUUUUGAAAGCCAUUCCUCAUUUCCAAGAGCUCUGUCUAGACGGCAUUUGACUUUGCCAGACCGUCUUCUUCCAACCCAGGAAAAAGAAUUUCCUUUGUAUGGGAAGUCAAGCAUUCCACAGCUAUCUAGCAUAGUUCAGAAUGGAAUAAAUGAGCUUUCUGGUCUCCUCCUACCUCCCCGUUUCUCAUGAUUUUCGGUAAUCUCAUUAAAAUCACCUAUCAUAAACCAGGCUUCUUUUCUGGUCGUGCUUAUCCUUGUUAGACGUUCCCAAACAUUUUCUCGAUUUUUUACAACCGGAUCACCAUAAAAAAAGUCAUAAAAAUUUAUGUCAGUCUAGACUUGAUUCAACAUCAAUCAAAUGCUCAUCAGAAUAGAUAAUAGAGACCGUAGGUUCAUCCAUAUAAAAAAGAGCUAGGCCGCCGCUUCGACCCUCAGUUCAACCGUGAAAACAUGGUCAUAUCCAAAAUGAAUUUGCAUAUCUUGCAGAAUGUAACGAAUAUUUUUGGUCUCCAACAAAAAAAAGAAACCUCGGUUAAAAACAUUUGUAAAGUUCUUCAAGAUGAUCUUUUGUCAGAUCCGAACCAGUUCCUUGACAAUUCCACCCAAUGAUAUUCAUAUUAGGGAGAAGUUUCUGAUUUCUAAUUUAAAACUUAGAUGUGUAAUUUGGGUUAUAUGUGUUUAACUAAUAAGAUCCAUAAAGGCCCAGCGGCCUACAUUAAAUCUUGGGCUUAGCCCAGAAUUGAAUUAGGCCCGCUAAUUUGCUGGCCCAGAAGACAGAUACAAUUAGGUCAAAAAAAGUAAUUUUUCCCUGGCCGCCGAUGAAGCUUCUCCGCCGCCACAGCCGUCAAGACCGUCGAUAUCUUCUGAAAGUUGGUGACUUUUGGAGAUCCGGCAUUUUAGAAACUAUCUGGAGCCUUGCCGUCGGAUAAGCACCACAAAAUUCUUUGGCUUGAAGACACCAAUGGAGGUAAUAGACAUGGAUCUCAAAGCCUUCCACGAAAAAAAAAAAAUUAGAAGAUAUGCAGCAGAUAGAGGUCUUAGCACAAGGCUAGAUACAGAGAAAACUCGCUUUUAGCGGAAGGAGAUUCAGUUCCUCAGAGAUCGUGGCUUGGUCCUGAGAUGAGCAUCGCCGGUGAAACCAUGAGAAAGAGUACAGAUCUUAGAGGGGGAACGAAGAGACCAGGUCCAGGGUUGCGCCGGUGAGACCAUGAGAACGAGCAAGCUCAAAAGGAGCAAGAGUUGUGCUGUUCAGAUCUGUAAGAAAUCAGGUCCAGGUCUUCAAAGGAAGGAGGAGCAGCACCGAUAACUUUAAGCAAAUCUUAAAACUCUCAACAGUAGAGAAUGGAGACAGCUGUCUUCGUCUUCAACAAAUAGAAGCACCGUAAUCUUCAGCCACACUAGAGAGGAACACCAAAGAGAUUCAAAGUCAAGAAUAUGGGGCAAAAAAGAGAUGAUCUGAGAUCCCCUGAGUCUACAUUGGGAAAAGGGCCAGAGAGACAAAGCGUAUGCUUCUCACAUGACCUCUUUUUACUUCCUAUAAUAUGAUAUCUUUCUUCUCUUUUUUUGUGUGUGUGUGUGGUCGUGACUAGUGAUGAUGGGAGGGGCAUUUGUUGUUUUUUGUUUUCGGGGUUCUUUCGAAUUUCCAAUGGAUGUUUUGAGAUUUUAUAAUUUUCUUUUCGUCUCUUUUUCUUUCUGGUUUUAAUCAAUUAAAACUAAAUAUAAAGGAGUAAGACUUAACCGGUGGGGUUUAAGAUGUAAGAGACAUAUUUACUUCAUUGGAUGAGGAAAAAAAAAAAAAUUACUUCAUUGGAUAUAAUUCGUUGCUAAAUUGCGACUAUUUAGUGAAAUCUUCACUAAUGUGCGUGGAAUUAGCGAGCAUACCAGUGAUUUGGUCACCUUUAAAUAAUUGGCAAAAAAUUUGCAACGAUUCUUGACAAAUUCGUUGCAAAAUUCAAGUUUUAUACUAUUUUCAAAUACCCCUGUAUGUUUUACAGGUAUUCAUUUUAUAAUUCUUAGGUUUUGUAAUGUAUUUGCAAUGUUUCUUCUCUUAUGUCUCACAAAAUCAUCGCAAAAAUUUAUAAUUUUUAAAUUGAUAUAUGUGAAUAUGAAUCGAGUUGUGAAUGCACAUCCUAAAAAGUGGUUUUGAACAUCAAGAUAUGACAACAAUUCUUAGUUUCUAAUUUUCAAUCUUAACUACACUAAAUAAAUAAAUAAAACACUUACAUGGGCGUUGUCACAUAUAAUAUAGGUUACAUAACUUAAGUUUUAUAAACUUGCAAGAGUGAUUUUAGUAUAUAACCAUGGUUGACUAAAAAAUUAAGUGUGUGGAAAAGUUGAUUUAAAAAUUAGUAAAAUAGGAAAAGAGAAAUUUAUCCAAAAAACCCAUUUUCCAAUUUAAAUAAUUACAAAGAAUACCAUUGGUUUAGAACCUGAUUUUAAAUUAGUGACACUGUAUAUCAUUUAAUCAAUGGUACUAUUCAUCUGAUUAGAAAACAACUAUUCAUUAUCAAAAGCGUAUUGUUAACAUGCUAACAACUACUAUAUUAAUAUGUUAACAAUAAUUACACGUUAUAUACUAUUAGUUAACAUACUUAUUAUGAUAAUAAUUUUCUUACAUGUUAUAUAUGUUAACAUAAUAAUAAUAUCUGAUAUUCAUAAUGUGCUAAUAAUAUAUCCGAAAAUUAUAACGUGAUAACAAGAAUAUCUGAAUAACGUGAUAACAAGAAUAUCUGAUACUUAUAACAUGCUAAUCUAUAGUAAAUCUGAAUAUUAUUUGUGUUAACUUUGUAAUGAUAGCUUUGUUAAGAUAAUAUUUAUGUUAACUUUCAAUUUAAACAGUAUAUUUACAAAUAAUAAUUGCAAAGUUAACAUGAUAACAUUGUUAAAGGCAUUAGCAACACAUGGAGAUGAAUGUGCUAAAGAGAUUCGUGAAAAGAUGAGACUUGACUUUUUUGUGUUUUGUUGAUUGUUCCAAGCUUAAAGUUUGUAAUGGCUCAUCUGGUGGUAUCCAUUUUCGUUUGUUAGAGAGAAAAAAUUUAGAAAGAAAGAGAAUCAUAGAUAUAAAGAAAGAGAUUUUGAGUAAAUUCCUGUCUUAAACAGAAGAUGUCACCUAAUUUUGACAUUAUCCAUAGUCAUUUAGUGGUAAUACUCAACUUACAAACCCUGAAGGCCUAAACCAUAAAGAUGAAAAAACAAAUUUUUUACUAAAGAUAUUGAGAAACAUCAUCUAUAGAUUGUAUCCACAUUAGUUUUAUCAAACAUAACAAUACACUGUAGAUUGACUCGAUGAAAAGUUGAUCUGUAGUUUUUUAAGGUAAAAAGUUAAUUUGUAAACCCAAUCCAUGUGUCAGAUCUUUUUUUUUUUUGCAGAAAACUUUAUAAAUUAUACUUUUUGCAUAUGCGCGGAUCUUGUUUUAACUUAUAUUUUAAAUAAUAUAUUUUUUGAAUUUGUAUUGAAUUUUAUGUUUAUAAUCAAUGUUUUGUGUUUAAAAUAUUAUAUUUUCUUUGUUUUUUUCUUGAUGAUACAUUAUUUGUAAUCUCUUUUAUACAUAGUUGUGCUAAAUAGUAUAUUUUUCCUUACAAAAUAAUAAGGAAUUAAAAAACCUACUAUUUUAAUUUUUGUAUAAAAACGUAAUGGUUCAUUUAAAAAUAUAUGUUGAAUAUCAGAGACAAAUAUUUAUUUGUUAUUUGAUUCUCAUAUUUUUUUAUUCUUGUAAAUCUUACUAAUAUAAUAUUUGUUAACUUUCUCAAUUUGCCAUUUUGAAUUUUUUGGUUAUAUAUUAUUAAUUCCAACUUUUUUUAAUUUUUAAAAAGCAUGUAUGAUACUUUUAUGUGGACGCCCUUCUUUUUACUAUUAUUUUUAAUAACUUUUUAAUCAUUUAUUUAAUAUUUUUGUGUUUUAUAUUUUUAUUAGUUGGAGUUUAAUAUAAGAUUAUUUUAAAAUUUUAACUUAUUAAGUUUCAUUAUUUUUUCACUUGUAUUAAAAUUUAAUUAUAUUUUUAGUUUGAAAAUGAAGUUUAAAUCAUUUGAAAAAAGAAAAUAAAAUGGUGCAUUUAAAAAAUUUUUGUAUUAUAUAAUAUUUAUAGGUUUUGUAUAUUUAAAAUCAAUUUGAAUUCAUUGUAAUAUAAAUAAAUAUAUUAAUAUUUAUUUAUGUUCUUUAAUGUAUUUGCUUUAAAUUUAAUUAAUUAAUUAUUUAUUUAUAUUUUAAAUUGACAGAUGUCAUUCUCUCCACUACUGAUGUGUCACUCAGCUGGAGAGAGUUGAUUGUCUUUUAUAUAUAAGAUACUUUUGGCACUAAAACUAUAAACAAUAAUUUGCCCUAUAAUAUUAAUUUCGUAAUUUGACGCCAAGUUUUGAUUACAAAAUGAUAUUCAAUGACUUUUGCGCCAAAAAUGAUUGAUUGUACAAGUUUACACCAAAAUGAUAUUACCAAUACUUUUUGUAAGAAAAUAGAUGGCUUACCGAUGUGGGUUUACCAUAUGUGAUAGCUGAAGGUAUUUUUUUUUUAUCUUUUUAAUGUGAAACAUAAUCAUAAUUGGCAAACAAAUAAAAAUGAAACCCUUUGACUAAAAUCAUUUUCCAACCAAAUAAAACUAUAUAUAAAAUGGAAUAUCUAUUAUGUGUUGGAUAUUCGAUACGGUCGGUUUAGGAUAAGAUAAGCAGAGAUUUAGGAGAUUUGAUUUGGUAUUUAGAUUUGAUUUAAUAGUUAAGAUUUCAGUUAGUUAUUAUUUUCUUGUUUUUCAAGUUUAUCAUUUAGUUGUAAGGCUUCCUAUAUAAGCCAAUGCUUUCGCAGCUUAAUAAGAUGAGAUAUUCAGUUUACUCUCUCAUUUCUAAAGCACUAAACCUAUCAACCAUUUCGAGAGAUGACGGAAGCUGCAAGUUUCACUGCACCUGCUGUACCGAAGUUUGAUGGAUACUACGACCAUUGGAGCUUGGUCAUGGAGAACCUUCUCCGUUCCAAGGAGUACUGGACGGUCAUUGAGUCUGGCUUUGAAGAUCUAAGAAGGCUUGAGGCGCCCACUCCGGCGCAACAAAAGGAGCUUGAUGACACAAAACUCAAAGAUCUCAAAGCCAAGAACUACCUGUUCCAAUCAAUCGACAAAACCUCUCUCAAGACGAUCACUCAGAAGGAGACGGCAAAGCAGUUGUGGGAUUCCAUGAAGGUUAAGCAUCAAGGGAGUGCUAGGGUGAAGCGAGCUCAACUUCAAAGGCUGAGAAAAACCUUUGAAACUCUGGAGAUGAAAGCUGGAGAAGCGGUGGCUGGAUACUUCUCUCGAGUCAUGGAGAUAACCAAUGACAUGAGGAACUGUGGUGAGAUCAUUGACGACAUCAAGAUUGUGGAGAAGAUUCUUCGGAGUCUGCAGACAACUUUAACUUUGUGGUCUGUUCGAUCGAGGAAUCUAAGGACAUCGACAAGCUCACCGUUGAUGAACUGCAAGCGUUGCUGCAGAUACAUGAGAGUAAAGUGAGGGAGAAAAGAUGCGAGGAGCAAGUACUGCAAGUUGAGAACGAGCCAAGGAAUGCUCGAGGAAGAGGAAGAUGGAACUUCCAAAGAGGAAGAAGUGAAAACAGAGGACGCGGAAGAGGCAGAUCGUUUGUGAACAGAUUGGCCAUUACCUGUUUCAGAUGUGGAAAACAAGGUCAUUACCAGUUUGAGUGCACAAGCGUGGAGAAGGAUGUUAACUACGCAGAGCUUAAUGAAGAAGAGGAAUUGUUGUUAAUGGCCCAUGUGGACAUAAACAAUGAUGAGAGAGAUAGAAUAUGGUUUCUGGAUUCUGGAUGUUCAAAUCACAUGACAGGAGAGAAGUCGUGGUUUGUUGAGUUAGACGAAGGUUUCAAGCAUUCUGUUCGCCUGGGAAAUGGCUCGAGUCUGGUGGUUCAAGGAAAAGGGAAAAUCAGAAUCGAAGUGGAAGGGAUCGUACAGGUGGUGAGUGACGUGUAUUAUGUUCCAAAGCUCACAAAUAAUUUGUUGAGCAUUGGACAGCUGCAAGAAAAACAGCUGACGAUCAUAAUCAAGAAUGGAGUGUGUAAGAUUUUUCACUUGCAACGAGGACUGAUUGUGGAGACACAGAUGACCAGAAACCGUAUGUUUUUGGUCCAUGCUAAGAAGAAGCCGGCCCCAGGAAGCUGUUUCAGAAUGGAGGAUGAAGACUUGGGAGACCUUUGGCAUCGAAGAUUUGGACAUCUAAACAAUAAGUCCAUUCAAUUCAUGCAGAAGAAGGAGUUAGUGAAAGGGAUACCCAACAUUGUCAACGAACCAAAGGUGUGUACCGUAUGUAAUGUGGGGAAACAACAACGGAGCAGGUUUCCAAAGAAGAGCAAAUGGAGAGCAAAUAGAGAAGCUGGAGUUGAUCCACACGGAUCUAUGUGGUCCAAUCACUCCAGUCUCCAACAGUGGUAAAUGCUAUCUGAUGGUGUUAGUUGAUGAUUUCUCUCGGAAAACUUGGAUCUACUUCCUUGCAGAGAAAGCAGAGGCUUUCAAGACUUUCAAAGCUUACAAGAGUCUCGUUGAGAAAGAAGCAAAGACCGUGAUCAGAGGGCUGCGCACAGACAGGGGAGGAGAAUUCACUUCUGAUGAAUUCAACAAGUUCUGCAGAGAUCAAGGCAUAAAGAGGCAACUAACUGCGGCAUAUACCCCUCAGCAAAACGGGGUGGCGGAGAGGAGAAAUCGCACGAUCAUGAAUAUGGUCCGCUGUUUGUUGUCGGAGAAGAAAAUGCCAAGAUCUCUGUGACCAGACGCAUCCAGAUGGACAGCUCAUAUUCUGAAUCGGAGUCUCACUAAGGCCAUCAAAGACAAAGUUCCUGAGGAAAGAUGGACAGGGAUCAAACCGAAGGUGGAUUACUUCAGAAUUUUUGGAUCAGUGGCGCAUGUACACAUCCCUGUGCAGAAGAGAAUAAAGCUCGAUGAUCGCAGUCACAAGUGCAUUUUUCUCGGAGUCAGUGAAGAAUCCAAGGCUUAUCGCCUAUAUGAUCCAGCAACAAAGAGAAUCAUCGUGAGUAGGGAUGUGAUAUUCGAAGAAGAUGCGAAGUGGGACUGGAAACUGAACAUUCCUGAGGAGAGUGAGCUUUCUUGGGGAGAUGAUGGAAUUUCAGAUGGCGAAAAAACUGAUGAAGAAGCAGAGGGUGGAAGAGAAGAAGAUGACAAUGUUGUAGCAGAACCUGUGGAGACUGUUCCGAUGGUAGGAAACCAGCAAGAGAAAAGUGGAACGUCAAGAAGGCAGAGACAGCAACCCACUUGGAUGCAAGACUUUGUUAGUGGUGAGGAAAUAAGCGAAGAGGAAGAAGAAUUGAUGAAUCUGGCCUUAUUUAUUUCUGGUGAUGAUCCGGUGGACUUUUACGAGGCUGAGAAAGAAGUAAAAUGGAGGAAAGCUAUGGAGUUAGAGAUCCAGUCCAUUGAGAAAAACAACACAUGGGAGUUGGUUGAUCUACCGGCUCAUGCGAAGAAGAUUGGUGUCAAAUGGGUUAACAAAACGAAGUUGAAUGAGGAAGGGAAAGUAGAGAAGUGCAAGGCUUGACUGGUGGUAAAAGGUUAUGCUCAAACUGCAGGAGUUGAUUACACAGAGGUAUUCGCACCAGUUGAUCGUUGGGACACGAUAAGGAGUCUUCUAGCCGUUGCAGCUCAACGAGGUUGGAGCGUCUAUCAACUCGAUGUCAAAAGUGCAUUCUUGUAUGGGGAACUGAAGGAAGAAGUCUAUGUUGCUCAGCCGGAAGGAUUUAUCAGAGCAGGGGAGGAAGAUAAAGUGUAUCGCUUGAGAAAGGCUCUCUAUGGUUUAAAACAGGCACCACGAGCCUGGUUUAGUCGCAUUGAGAGCUAUUUUGUGAAAGAAGGCUUCCAGAAGAGUAGCUAUGAUCACAAGCUGUUUUACAAGAAAACAGACAACAAGACGCUGGUGGUAAGUCUUUACGUGGAUGACUUGAUUUUCACAGGCAAUGAUGAAUUCCUAUGUGCAGAAUUCAAGUCAUCUAUGCAGAGGGAGUUCAAAAUGACUGACAUGGGUAAGAUGAAGUUCUUUCUUGGCGUAGAAGUUCACCAAAGCAGCAGGGGGAUACACAUUUGUCAGAAGAAGUAUGCGAGGGAGGUUUUGGAGCGUUUCAACAUGUGGAGCUGCAACUCGGUUAAAAAUCCUAUUGUACCUGGUGCAAUCAUCACAAAGAAAGGAAGUGGGGAAGUUGAUGCAACACUUUACAAGCAACUUGUUGGGUGUUUGAUGUACCUCACGAUAACGAGGCCUGAUCUGAUGUUUGUGGUGUGCUUGGCAGCUCGUUUCAUGGCAGAUCCUAAAGAAGAGCAUAUGUUGAUUGCUAAACGAGUACUCAAGUAUUUAAAGGGAACAUUACUUUGGAGUUUUCUCUGAGAGAUCACCAAUCUUGAAGCUGAUAGGUUACACAGACAGUGACUAUGCUCGUGAUGUAGACGACAGAAAGAGCACCUCUGGAUACAUGUUCUUACUGAAUGGAGCAGCCGUUUGUUGGAGUUCGAGAAAGCAGGAUAUUGUUACUCUUUCAUCUACAAAAGCAGAGUAUGUUGCAGCGACUUCUGCGGCAUGUCACAGUGUUUGGUUAACGGGUAUGUUGCAGGAAUUGGAGGUUUUGAAUGAAGUCUGCAGUGACAUCUUGUGUGAUAACAGCUCGACGAUCAAGCUGUCAAAGAAUCCGGUUAUGCAUCGAAGAACAAAACACAUUGAUGUCAGGUACCAUUACUUGCGUAACUUGGUGAUUGAAGGGGUUCUGAAGCUGUCUUUCUGCGGAACUAAUGAUCAGGUAGCCGACAUCAUGACAAAGCCGAUCAAGCUUGAUCAGUAGGAGAAGCUGAGGAAGUGUCUUGGAGUUCGGAAAAUGGAGGAUUAAACUGAUGCAGACAUGCUUCAGUUUAAGGGGAGGAAUUUGUUGGAUAUUCGAUAGGGUCGGUUUAGGAUAAGAUAAGCAGAGAUUUAGGAGAUUUGAUUUGGUAUUUAGAUUUGAUUUAGUAGUUAAGGUUUCAGUUAGUUAUUAUUUUCUUGUUUCUCAAGUUUAUCAUUUAGUUGUAAGGCUUCUUAUAUAAGCCAAUGCUUUCACAGCUUAAUAAGAUGAGAUAUUCAGUUUACUCUCUCAUUUAUAAUAUUAUGGCAAACUCAUUACAUAUUACAUUCAUUACAUACUAUGGAAGAUUUAUUAAACUCUUUGAAUAUGUUUAUAUGUACAUUCUAUAUAAAUGCACAUGCAUAAAGCAAACAAAAUCCAUUCUCAACAAGUAUUAGAAUAUUCCAAAGAAGAAAGGUAAACUAGAUUAUUAAAAGUUUAUAACUAUGUUGAUUUUCAUAGGAAAUCUUGGAUGUUUUCUGUUGAAGAUGAUUAGAGAUGUUCCUCUCAUACCAAAUUUUUUUAUAUUUGUUUUAAAUGUGAUUUUGGAAUACAUUUUUUGAUAAAUUUGUUGUCGUCAGAUCCAAGGAUAUAUUCCAAGAAAAAGGUAUUGUAUCCUCUAGAAAAUAAAUAAUGGCAGCAAAAAUGUCUUCAUCUCUUUUACUACCUUUGUUGAUGGCGUUAGCUCUCAUCACCAUGCCCAUGAUAUCAGGUAACACAUUUUGUUUGUUCAAAUGCUAAAUGUUCUUAAGAUUAAUCUAAAAUUAUCUAAAAAUUUUCGAGGUUCUUUGUUCAGUAGAGUCAAAAUCACUCGACAAAAGUGUGUUGAUAUUAGCAUUUAACACAUUAAAAAAAUUGUUUUUCUAUAAAUAAAUUGGCAUUAUUUACUAUUUAGACCUAAAUUUUGAUGAUGAAUUUUUUUUUUUGAACAAAAUAGGACAAGACCCAGGACGAUGUACCGAGGGAUGUAAAAGCACAGAAGAAUGCACAAAAUUAUGUAUAUCCAAGGGGAUUUCCGGAGGGAGUUGUCUACGAUACGCACAUUUAAGACCUCACCCAUAUGUUGGCGAUUAUUGUUGCUGCAAUUACGCUGAUUCUCCUAUCUCCAGUACCAUAUAAAUUACUAAAUAAUCGCUCAUUUUAUAUGUAUUUCUCAGUUAUGAAAAUAAAAAAUAUAUAUUUAAAUAUAAAAAAUAAUAUUAUCUCGUCCAAGCCGUAUUAUGGUCUAAUUGUUUAUAAAAAUCUGAUGUACACAAUAAAAACCACAAGAGAGUAUCAAACGUAAAAUUUAACAAAUUAGACAUCCCAAAAUAUAAGAGUUUCCAAGAAGCACAACGUCACACCACUCAACCUUUUCCUAAGCACGAUUUGAGCGUCUAAUUAACGUCUAGUAAUAUUUUAAACAAAGGGUUUGGAUAAAUCAAGUGCCCUAUCUAAUAUAAACUUGAAUAACAACAUACAUCGCAACUAUCACUAAUUAAUUACGUGGAUGGUCCAGAGAGAACCAAAACUCUCAUUUUGAUAAAAACAAAAUAAAAGAGAUAAGUUGCAUACAAGAGCAGAUAACUACUUAGAUAUUUCACUAGCCUGAAGAAAAUUUCCAAUUUAUUUCGUUGGCAAGAUUCACUUUUCGAAAUAUCCUAAUCAUUGCAGAACAUAAAUUCGUCUCUUUCUUCUCAUUUUUUUUUAUCAACUUUUGUUAAAAGAAUUCUUUCAGUUUUUGUUGUUUUUUUUGGUGCUUUUGUUCUUCCUCAAGCCAAUGGCCGAUGGAUUGCUGUCGAUAUUCCUCCUUGUUUUUUAUUUGUUCAUCUCAGGUACAUCCAUUUCCGUUUUUUCCGGAAAAGUCUUUUCUGGUGUGAUGAAUCUUAAGCUUAAUUGUUUAUCGUUUUGUUUUUUAAAUGACAGGAGUAACUUCGAGAAACAUUACCAUAGAGAACAAAUGCAAUUACACUGUCUGGCCGGGAAUCCGGUCCACCAAGGGUUCGCUCUCCACCACCGGCUUCGCCCUCAAGAAAGGAGAGGCGCGUGUAAUCUACGCGCCGUCGUCCUCGUGGACAGGUAGUAUCUGGGGUAGGUCAUUCUGCUCCACCAACACAACCGGUGGUUUCUCAUGCGCCACCGGAGACUGCGGCUCCGGAAAAAUCGAGUGUUCAAAAGCUGGAACGCCUCCUGCGACUCUAGCCGAGUUUUCCCUCGCCAGUUUCGAUGGAAAAGACUUCUACGACAUAACAGUCGUCGACGGUUACAACCUCCCAAUGCUGGUUGUCCCACAGGGUGACGACACGUGCAGCAGUGUCGGAUGCAUUGUCGAUUUGAACAUGACGUGUCCACGCGAGCUAAAGGUGACAAGUAACACAAGCAGCAUGAUGAAUUGAUGAUGCAGCCAAUCGCAUGCAUGAACGCGUGUCAGAAGUUGAAACUGCCGGAGUAUUGCUGUACCGGCGCUUAUUCUUCACCGGACCAAUGCAAGCCGACACUAUAUACGCAGAACUUCAAGAAUGCGUGCCCACGCGCUUAUAGCUAUGUUUUCGAUGAUUCUAGCAGCACCUUCACUUGCCAAAAUAGCCCAAACUAUGUCAUCACCUUUUGCCCGGCGACGACUAUUCUCAACACCACCAAGUAAACAUCCCAACUCUCUCUUCUAUUUCGUCAAAGCGCGUUUUAGUAGAAUAGAUCACACGGCUUUAAUUGUGACCAUUCAUUCUACAAAUACCGUUGAAACUGAAAUACUUUUGCUUUAUCUAGUCAUUUAAUAUUAUUUUCAACAGUGACGUUAGGUAUGUAGGGUAUAGUGAUGAUACUGAAAUGCACAAGCAUUAACUUUGUUAUCUUUAUUUUUGACGGUUUUAUUUCGAAAAUUCGAGUUUAAGGCUUGGUUUUGUUAGAAUGAUAUAUAGCUACUAUAUAUUAGAGCAGUGUGAUAAAUUUGAAUGUACACUUAACAAAAUAUUAUAUUAAUCAACAAGUUUUUUUGGUCCACACGGUUAUGUGGCCGGUUAGUUUAUCUUGAGCCUCCUUUGAUAUAUUUUUAAAUAGUUUUCCUUAGAAAAAAAUUGAAAAAUACUUAUAAAAUUAACCUACAUUAAAAUAAAUUGGAUUCCUAAACUGAUCUGUGCGUAGAAGGUUUAGGUCCUAAACUGAGCUCGAACUUCUCUUUAGCACUCAGAGAUGUUUAAAUACGUACUAGGAGAUGGAUAUUUUACAUCUUUAUUGUAAUCUGAUAUAUAUGCAUUUUGCUAUGUUUACAAACAGUAGUUCAGUGGCUGAGUCUCCAUUUCCAGCUCAAACAAAAAAUGGAACUCUUGAACCUCCCUCAGAGUCUCAACCAACAAGGGAAGUUACUAAAGAAGGAAAAAGUAAGGUUACAUUGUUUUGUUUUUUUGAAUACCAAAGUGUAUUGUGUAUUCAUUAUUUUGAUUAAAUAAGAACUCUUCUUUGAAACAUUUUGCAGAAAAAUCUUCAUGGAAGUUAAAACUCAUACUCGGUAACAUAUCUCUCAACCCAUGUGACAAUUUUUCAUAUUUACCAGACCUGAGUUUCAAGAUUUUGUUCUUUUAUUUCAGGAAGCUCAGCAUCUUUAGCUGUGAUGAUCAUAAUUAUGGUGGUGCUAUUAGUGAGAGCAAAGAAUGCAAGAAAGAGUGAUAGGAAUGGCGAAAACAUUGAAGCGGUUGUAAUGUUGAAACGAUAUAGUUACGCAAGGGUCAAGAAGAUGACAAACUCAUUUGCGCAUGUUCUCGGGAAAGGAGGAUUUGGAACUGUCUACAAAGGGAAGUUACCGGAUAAAGGCCAAGAUGUUGCAGUAAAGAUCUUGAAGGAGUCAACAGGGAAUGGAGAAGAGUUCAUUAACGAGGUAGCUAGCAUGAGUAGAACAUCUCAUGUUAAUAUUGUUUCUUUGCUUGGAUUCUGUUAUGAAGGAAACAAAAGAGCUAUAAUCUACGAGUUCAUGCCAAAUGGAUCCCUCGACAAGUUUCUUUCCGAGAAUAUGUCAACACAGAUGGAUUGGGAAAGGUUAUUUGACAUUGCAGUGGGUGUUUCUCGUGGCCUAGAGUAUUUGCAUAAUCGCUGUGUAUCAAGGAUUGUGCAUUUCGAUAUAAAGCCGCAAAACAUACUCAUGGACAUAGAUCUUUGCCCCAAGAUUUCAGAUUUCGGUCUUGCUAAGCUCUGUAAAAAUAAAGAAAGCAUCAUAUCAAUGCUAGACGCGAGAGGAACGGCUGGAUACAUUGCUCCUGAAGUGUUUUCUCCAAAUUUUGGAGGAGUUUCUCAUAAGUCAGAUGUGUAUAGUUAUGGAAUGGUAGUUCUUGAGAUGAUUGGAGCAAGGAAUAGAGAGAAGUUUGAAAAUUCUCAGAGACAUGAACUCCUAAACUAGGACCAAAGAUCGUGCAUCAAUCCACAACUUAGUCUAGAAAAUUCUCACCAAUACACAAGAGAUACUAGUCCACUUUUUCCGUCAUGCAAAACUUAAACAAUCUAAAUCUUGAUUCCAGUCAACUAGCUCUCUACAUUCAUUAAGUUCAAUAGUGAGUUCUCAUUAAAGACAUCAUCCAGGGUAGACGGCGUUUGACAUUAAAGGUCUGUUUAAGUGGUGGAGUUAAAGUGUUUCGGGUUACCUGAUGAAUCUGGAGAAUGCAAGAUAAUAUGCAAAACCGCAAGAGAGAUAAGGACCUGUUGAUGACCGCAAUUUUCAGUCACUUCUUCUUGCCAAAUGUUGUUGCAUAAUCCUUCCUCCUUUGUUGUGAACAGCUAUUCCCCCAGACUUGGAUUCUUUCCGGGAAUCAGAAAAUGAUCUCCAAAACUCCAUAAAAUCAAACUCCAGUUGCCUUGGGACUUAAAAUUCGACCUCUCUAGACUCUCUAAGGCUUUUAUUUCCUUUCUUUUCUUAUUUUCGGAUUUUUUUUUUUUGGAAAGGAAAUGUCUUUUAAAGAGAGAGAGACUAGAGGACGAGAUUGUACCAAAAUUUGAGAUUUUUAUAAGGCAAACUGAGCUUCCUCUUGUGUUGAAUCCUUCCGGGAACUUUUCCGGCAAAUCGCAGGUCUCUGUCCUUGGUGACUGAAAACUGCGUCGUUCUUCUUUCUCUCCAACGUUUUUGCACUUAUCUGCAUAUAAGACAAUAGAAAACAAGAGUGCAUGUGGUUUGAAAGAGGAUUGGUUAAGGUGGGGAACUAGCUAAAGAUGAACUAGCCAUUCAGGAUCAACAGAGAGUGGUAAAAAGGGUAAGGAGUCCUGAAUGUAUGAUUCGUUUCCCUGGUCUAAUGCUUCAAUGAGGGAAUUAAGUCCAAAUUAAGUCCAAAUAAAACAGAGCUAGUAUGUUCCUUCAUCUAAAUCGAAAUCAUUCAAAUUCCUCUAGGGUACUUCGUUUCAAAUGUGCUUAGCUUAGUCUAGUCCUAAAUCAUGAAUGAGCAUGUCACUAGGAACAAUCUAAAAGCACACAGUCAACUAUCAUUGAUUCAUGUUCACCAUUCCCUUUAAAAUGUAUUUUGUUUUGAAAACCGAUUUUAAAAAACUUUAAGGAAAAUGCAAAAAGUGUAGAUAAUGCAAGACUCAUGAGAGAAAAGUGGUUAGAAAGGGAUGAAAUCCUCCCCCAGACUUAAAUCACACUGUCCUCAGUGUGAAACAAGUCGAGAUUGGAUGAGAAAAAUGCAUAGAUAAUCGAAUUGGUAAGGCCAAAGAGAACUUACCUGGAUCCGGGAUGCUGGUGGUGAUGAACCGGAUUCAUUCGAAGAGGUUUGGGAAGGUGAUAGGUGGUGAUGAAGGUGGUGGAGGGUGAUGAAUGAGGUGGAGUGGGGAUUGGUGAGGUGAAAUGAGGUGAAGUGGGUGGUUUGGGGUCGGGUUUGAUCUCAACAACCAUUGGUUAGGAGCCACGCGACCGCGGAAAACCGGUGCUCGGCCGCAGUCAGAAAGACGCGGCCGCGGUCGAUCAUGCGUUUCCCGCGGUCAGAGCAUCUGCGACCGCGGGGGCUUAUAUCGCAGCCUGUUCCUGCUUCUCCUUGGUUCCUGCUGGGCCGAGCAGUCAGGGACCAUCCUUUUUUUUGGUUUUUUUGGGUUUUUUGAUUUUUUUUUUGGUUUUUUUUUUGUUUUAUAAGAAACACCUGAAACUAAGAAAAAGAAAAAGAUCAAUAGAAAAAGAAAGAAAAAUCCUAAAGAAAACAAUACCUAAAUGGGUUGCCUCCCAUUAAGCGCUUCUGUUUUAAGUCGUUUAGCUCGACUUUUGGUGUUGGACGUGGCUUAGUCCAAUGAAGAAGACCUUGUCCUGAGACAAGUCUUUUUCGACAUCUCCUUGCUUUGCCUAGCAGGUUCUUCGUCACUCCAAAGCUCUUCUUCAAAUUCUUCUGUUGCAGAAUGUUUUCCUGCUUUGCUGUUGUAUGAGACAGCUUCUGUGAAGACAUCUUUGUCGAUAUUAGCAAACGAAAUCCUCCGGUUUGGCCAGUCCAUUAUAGCUCCAGAAGUUGCUAGAAAAGACCAUCCGAGAAUCACUGGAUAUGUUCCGUCUCUCGUUUCGACAAUGUAGAAGUCGAUAGGCACGAUACAAUCUCCUAUUCUCAAAGGAAUUUCAUGAGCUAUUCCUUGAGGCGUUGCAUUGGAAUCAUCAGCUAGACUAAUCUUUGCUCUAGUCCUGCGCAGGUGUUUAAUACCAAGUCUCAAAGCAAUUUCCUUGGACAUCAUGUUGAGACAAGCUCCAGAAUCACAAAGCACGUUUUUAAACAUUUCUCCUCUAAUAGAACAAGAGAUAAGGAACUGACCUACACCUUCGAUUUUGUGAAGUGUUCGAACAGGUUUACCUCUUCUGGCAUGAUUGAACAAGUCUUCUAUCUCAGGGAUUGAUUCCUUGCUCUCACAGAAGUAAUGGCCUAUCAUGAAGUCCUUGCAAGCUCUAGCAAAGGUGAUUCCUUCAGGCAAAUUUCGGACUACAUCAUUGAAUUCAUCGAGCUUUUCCUUGUUGAUUUUGUUGGUGUAGUGGCUGCAGUCUUCAGGCUUUUGAGGUGAAUCGCAUAGACAGCUGCUUCUGGUGUUGUCAUGUAUCGAGCUCACAUAAAGUAUCUAUGGAUAUCCUCUUUAGACUCCUUGCAGUACCUGAAAAAAACUUGCAAACAACCAAGCUUCCAGAUUUCAUCAAAGCUUAGGUGAGCAGGGAAUGACCGGACCAUGUUGUUGAACUCUAUGAGCUUCUCUCUACUGAUGUUGUUGGUGAUCCAUUGAAUUUCUCCUGAACUGUCUUCUGAGGAAUAUCCUGCGUUUGGAUCUUCUACAAACAACCCAUACUCUUCAUCUUCAGAUUAUUGUUCUUCAUACUCAUCUUCACAAGACAAAGCCAUGUUGCAGGGCAUUGACUUGUCCUUGUCUUCAGAUCUUUGGGUGCUGAUGGAGCAAACCAGUUGUUGAUGGAGUGGUUUGGUCAUCCCAGGAUGUGUAUCAGUCGCACAGCUGCUUGUAUGAGCUGAACGGGACUGUUUUGGAACGUUUUUCCGGUUGGCCUUGACUGCAGGGGACGUGACCGCGGGAAAACGCCCAUGGGCCGCGGGUAGACCAAGCACGACCGUGGGAGGAGGCAUCUUGGCCGCGGUCGGAAGCGACGCGACCGCGGGAAAGUGUCUCUGAGUUGAUUUGCUGCUGUUGCUUGCUCCUUUGCUUCCUAGAUGAUCUCCUGGGUCUUCUAGCUCGAUGUACUUCCUCUCUGGAAUUGAGUCUUUAGUUUUGGUUGCUGGAAUCUGCUCUCCAAGUCCUUGUAUGAUCUCCUCAACCUUUUUUCCAACUUCAUCAAGAGCAUAGACUACUUUGUCCAUCGUUGAGUCAAGCUCUUCGGUUUUGUCAAUGACUUUGUAAACCUUCUCUGAAACUUCGACUGUGAAGUCAUAGGACUCGUUCUUAGCUUCGUUGAGGGCUUUGUCCACAUCAUCGAGUUUGAAAUCCAGGUCCAUGACUUUGUUUUUGCUGUUGCGAAGCUCAUAGGUGUGCUUUGCUUGCUCUUCCUCCAUGCUGCCGAACCUGUUAGCGAUCAUAACUGUGUCCUUGGUUGCUCGUUCUUCUAUUGAUUUGACUUGUGAGGCUAGGUUAUCGAUCUUCUCAUUGAAAAGUUUCGAUAUCCCGUCAAUCCUUUCGUUGAAAGCGGCUAUAGCGGUUGCUUGAGCUUCUAUGAACUGCUUGAUCACGCCUUUGAGCUGACUCAAUCGGUUACUGAGCUGGACGUUCUCAUCUUGGUGGAAAAUCUGGUGAGGUAGGCGAUACAUAGGAUGUCUAGGGUUUGCCAUUGGAGGUACGUACGGCUCGUUCUGGAACAUUUUGUAGUCUUCGGUUCGAAUUUCUUCGUAGAGAUCGCGUAAGUACUGCUUCUCUCUGUGUCUGGUGGCUUGAGGAGUGUUGUAGAAACCUUCCUCUUAGUGUGGAUUUCGAUUUAUAGGAUCCAUAUCUUCUGAAAUGGAAACAAAAUAACCGAAAAAUGGAAAUAUGCAGAAAAAGGGGUUCUAGAGUCGAUUUACCAACCUUUCUUAGGGUUUUGCGGAAAAGAAAACGCGUGCCUUCCCCGGCAACGGCGCCAAAAACUUGAUGUGGUCGUGUGUGAGGGUGUCAAGUUUUACCCUAAAUGAAAUCAAUAGCCGCAAGUGCACAGCUGAUCGAUUGUAGUACUUAGGGAUCGAAUCCACAGGGAAGGAGGAUCUUUCCUGCAAAAGCCUUCGAAAAAAAUAUAAAGUAAGGAAGUCUAGAACCAGGCGAGUUUUGUGAGGGUAUUGGUGGUGUGUUUAAAACGUAAAAACAAAUCCUAAAGAGAAAAUACCGGAAUUAAAAUAACAUAAUAACUAAACUUAACAAAAAUGGGUAAAAACGAGUAAAACGGCUAACCUAAUUGCUUAAAUGAAAAUCGAUUGAAAGAGUAAAGAUACUAGACUAAAGCUUGAAUGAAAAUUGGUGUAAAUCUAUAAGAAAAGAGGCGCUGGGGUUCAGGGAAGUUUUCUCAGGGGUAUGAACGAUUCAAAACAUUGCUAGAGAGUAAAAUUGAUAAGAUCUUAGCUUAAACUUUUCGAAUUGGAGUCACGGACGUAUGAAUACGCCACUGUCGUGAUCAUAGACAACUAUCUCUCUCAACCCUGACCAGUAGGUUUCCACUCUGGCCCUGGAAAAGAAGAGAUUCAUUAUGUUUAAGACUCGUCAGGAUUCACAAAUCUCCCAUAGGUAGGUUUCCACUCCUAUGUUUGUUUUGCUCUCCCAAACUAGAUCUGACACCGGAUGAACACUUUCGUGUCACCAAGCAUUUGGAUCAGAUUGUAGUUCAUGAAGCUACUCUCAUGCAGUAAAAACGAAUUCAGAAGAAAAAGUUCUAAGAUUCGGCUCAAAAGCUCAUGGAAUCCUCACCGAACAUAUAUAACCCCAUCGAAAAUCCCUUAAUCCCAAUAAUAAAACUACUCAGACAUGAUGAACGAAAUCAAAAACAUAGUAUUAAAAAGUAGUACAGAAACCGAAAUUGAAAAAGAAAGAACAAGGGUUCAAGAGAUAGAUGUCUCUCUCCCUAAAAGCUAAAGUAAAAACAAUAAGAAAACAAGCUGGUCUAAAAGGUGAUGAUUGAUUAUGAAUUAGGGUUCCUAAGACAUGUAUUUAUAGUGCUCAAGACAUCUUUGGGCGUCACUUAGGGUUUCUCCAAAUGAGGAAAUCAUUUUGGGCUUCAGAAAUGGGGCUUCAGAAAUGGGCCUUCGGGUUCGGAGUUAGCUGGCCGUGGUCCAGAUGUGCGUGACCGCAGGGAAUGGGUGGCUGGCUGCGGUCGCGGUGGUUGUGACCACGGGGUAUGGUCUGUUGGCCACGGGUGGAAACGCUUACCGGCUGGUUUACGGGACAUCUUGCUCUUCGCGUGUCUUUUGAUUGAACCGUUGGAUUGUCAAGCUGUAAAGUGUGAUGGAAAGCUGAUACUUCCAUCUUUAAGAUCUCCAAAUUUGAGCUGAAUCAGACAGUGAGAAGGCCUUCAAUCGGGGGUGAACUUCUGACGUUUGACUCUGAGCUGAAAUCUGGUUUUCUAUUCAUUUUGUUAAGCUUUUCCCUAAGUUUCCUGAAAAGUGUCUUGGAACUAUAAAUACUAGAAAAACGUAAUAAAAGUACUUAAAAGCAAUUAAAAACAUAGAAAAAAUAUUUCAAAACGAUCCAUAAAAGUGGUCAAAAUACGGUGUUAUCAUACAGGGCCACAAUGCCAAACGCUGCUCACAACUCCUGCAGUUUCAAGGCAUGGUCAGUCAACAACAACAACACAGUCCUUUCCCUUCGUGGAAUCCUCGGGCUAAUCUUGCAGUUGCCUCACCUCACAACACCACCAACUGGCUGAUGGAUAGUGGUGCCACACAUCACAUCACUUCGGAUCUCACCAACCUUGCUUUACAUCAACUAUAUCAAGGUGGUGAUGAUGUGAUCAUUUCAGAUGGAUCUACGGUUCCCAUGACACACACUGGUUCUUCAAUUCUUCCCAAUACUACUCGUGAGUUAGAGAGUUCUAUAUGUGCCUAAUAUACAUAAGAAUCUCAUCUCAGUCUAUCGUCUAUGUAAUACUAAUCGCGUGUCUGUAGAAUUUUUCCCAUCCUCCUUUCAGGUGAAGGAUCUGAGCACGGGGGUCCCGUUAAUCUGCGGCAACACUAGGAACGAUCUUUAUGAAUGGCCAACAACUGCACCACAAGCCAUGUUUGUUCGUUCGUGUUCGAAGGCAACUGUCUCUUCUUGGCACUCUCGUUUAGGCCAUCCCUCAUUCUCCAUUUUAAACAAUGUCAUUUCGAAAUUUGCUCUUCCUGUUUCCCCUUCUUCACAAAAAUUUCUAUCUUGCACUCCUUGUUUAAUCAAUAAAAGUCAUACCAUUUUCUCAGUCCACCAUUGUGUCCACACAACCCCUUCAAUACAUCUAUUCUGAUGUUUGGAGCUCUCCAAUACUUUCUUCAGAUAACUAUCGCUAUUAUCUAGUUAUCAUCGAUGGCCUGUCUGAACGGAAGCACAGACAUGUUGUGGAGACAGGUCUCACUCUUCUCUCCAAUGCAUCAGUUCCGAAAAAGUACUGGCCGUAUGCCUUUGCGGUAGCUGUGUAUCUUAUCAAUCGUUUACCCACGCCGGUGCUGUCUAUGCGGUCACCAUUUCAACUACUCUUUGGAACGGGUCCUAACUAUGACAAGCUAAGGGUAUUUGGAUGCACCUGCUUCCCAUGGCUACGGUCGUAUAAUAGACACAAACUAGAAGACAAGUCACAACAAUGUGUCUUCUUUGGCUAUUCCGCAUCUCAAAGUGCUUAUCUAUGCUAUCACAUUCCGACAUGGAGACUCUAUGUAUCGAGACAUGUACAGUUUGAUGAGAACACAUACCCGUUUGCCAAAUCUAUGCCAGAUUCUGAGACGAAUACAGAAGGUGAUGCGGCCGUUCACUGGACCCCACACACCAUCGUCGAUGCUCGCCCAAUGGUCAUGUCGUGCUCAGAUCCUCACCUCGGACCGCCAUUAUCCUUGGCAUCCACCGUACCGCCGGCAAACUCCACUGCUACUCAGGUAUCGCCUCUAAACUCUGAAUCUCCUUCUGUCUCUCUCUCCUCUAAUCCUUCUCCAAAUUCACAAGCCCAAACACCACAUCCCAAUGACUCAACUCACCCUCAAACAAAUUCCAGCCCAACAACAUCUGAAGCCCACACAAAUUCAACCUCUAUGACCUCAACUCCAUCGUCUUCUUACUCUGUUCCUGCACCAUCACCCGAACCACAAAAUCAUCCCACAAACAACCAUCCCAUGGCAACUCGGUCAAAAACAGGAAUCCGCAGGCCCAAUACAAAAUAUCUUCUAACAGUGUCUUCAGGUUCGGAGCCCCGCACUGCACUACAAGCGUUACAAGAUGAACGGUGGAGGAAAGCUUGUACGUCUGAGAUGAAUGCUCAAAUUGGUAAUCACAGUUGGGAUAUUGUGCCCAGACCACCUCCACAUGUGACUAUCGUUGGCUGUCGAUGGAUCUUCACCAAGAAAUUUAAUCCCGAUGGCUCAGUAAGCCAAUAUAAGGCUCGUCUCGUCGCAAAAGGUUACAACCAAAGACCUGGUCUUGACUAUGCAAAAAUGUUUAGCCCUGUUGUGAAAUCUAAAACGAUUCGCAUUGUUCUUGGGGUCGCUGUCGAUUUCAACUGGCCAAUUCGACAACUUGAUGUCAAUAAUGCCUUUCUACAGGGCACAUUGACGGAUGAGGUGUACAUGGAGCAGCCUCCCGGUUUCGUGGAUUCCGAUAGACCAACUCAUGUCUGCAAACUCCGGAAAGAUAUCUACGGAUUAAAGCAGGCACCACGCGCCUGGUAUGUUGAGUUAAAAAAUUUUCUCCUCCAGACUGGAUUCAAAAACUCGGUUUCCGACACCUCUCUGUUUAUUCUCAAGAGAAACAAGUCCAUCCUCUAUAUGCUUGUGUAUGUGGAUGACAUACUUGUAACGGGUAAUGAUCGAUGUCUUCUACAACAAACUCCCUGGUAAAGAUCUUUGAGCUUGAGAACUACAGUGGCCCUUGUUGUUCUCUAGAGUCUUGACUUUGGAAGCCAAGGUGGAAAGUUGAGUUAAAAGAUCAGAAUAAGUGCAAUCCACAUUGUUGUUAAUCUCUGCCAUUUUCUUGUUGAAGUCCAUGGCACCAUUUGCUUGACCUUGGAGGAUUUGCUGGAGCAGGUUCUGCACUUCUUGAUCCUUAUUCUCUGAGUUCUGUUGGAGACUUUGUUGUUGGGGAGAGAAAAAACCUUGUUGUUGAGUGUUUUGAGGAUAGAAGCUCUGGUUUAAGGGAUUCUUGUUGUAGGUUGGUAACCUUGUUAGCCACCUACAAAGUUCACCUCAGCUGUGAUGUCUUCCCUUUGAAAUGUGUCUUGAAACAAAUGAUUCACAUCUCUAACAAAGUUGGCUGACUGAUGAGAAGCUAAGAGAAGUGUGUCUAGCUUCUCAUUGAGAGACUUGAUGUCUUUCCUUGUCCUUUCCUCUUCAGCACUCACAGCUCCUCUUGAAUUCCUUUCAAAGUCUGAUCCAUAAAGCUCAUCACUCUGAGCUCUGAGCUACAUUCUCCACUAGGGUCAUGGCAUCAUUGACUUCCUUGGUCAUGAAAUUACCAUUUGAAGCUGUGUCCAAGAGGAGUCUGACCUUUGGUAAAGCACCUCUGUAGAAGGUACUUAGCAGCUGACAAUCUGAGAAUCCAUGGUGAGGGCAUUGCAUGGUAUACCCUCUAAAUCUUUCCCAAGCCUCACAAAAUGAUUCAUGGUUCUUCUGAAUGAAACUUGAGAUUUCAUUUCUUAACCUUGCUGUUCUUGAUGAAGAGAAGAACUUGGUUAGAAAUACUCUUUUGCAUUACUCCCAUGUUGUGACUGAUCCUUGAGGUAGAGACUUUUCCCACUGAUGAACUUUGUCUCCUAGAGAAAAAGGGAACAGCCUCAACUUGAAACUGUCUUCACUCACUCCAUUCAUCUUAGUUAGAUCACAAACUCUAUCAAAGUUGUCAAUGUGAUCUAGUGGGUCUUCUACUGCCAAGCCAUGGAACCUGUUUGAUUGCACCAUGUUGAUCAAGCCAGACUUGAUCUCAAAAUCGUUUUCAGGUGUUGGAGCUUGAAUCCCAUGUCUUGGACCCUGAGCAUUGGCUUCAUCACCAGCUCCCACAACUUGUUUUGGACGUGGAGGUGGUGGGUCUUGCUGAUUCUGGUGGUUUCCAUUACCACCAUGAGCCUGUUGCCCUUGAUCCAUACCCAACCUCUCAAUGUGCUCAGCUCUUUCUCGUUGCCUUCUUUCUUCACUUCUGGUGUUCAUAUACCUGAAAACAAAGACAACACUUGAAAGGUAAUCAGUAAAACAAAAGAAAAUGACUUGAUCUCAAGAAGAUCCAAAGUCCUAAUGCUAGAAUGAAUCUCCAAUUGGCAACGGCGCCAAAUUGAUAGUAGGAAUUUUCAAUCCUUGAUCAAUUCCUCAACUACUCAUGUCAUUGUAGCACUUGAGGUAUCAAUCCAAAUAGAGAGAUUCUAGACACUAGAACUAUGAGGAGCUAUCUUAAUUCAAGUCUAAUAAGCAGAUGAGUUGGUAACAAGGUGAUCUAAAAAGAUAAAGCAAACAAGAACAAGCAGUAAUUAAGAAUUAAACAAGCAAGAGAAACUAAACAAACACUCAAAUUCAAAUAAAGAGAAAGCUAAACUUCUAGAUGUGAUCAUUGAUCAGGGUGCUUUAAAUGUGAAUUCAUGAUGCUAAGCAAACAAUGCAACACUUGCAAUUCUUUAGUCUAGACUUCCAAAUCAGAUUAAUUCAUUCUCAUGACAAAAAUCCCUUUGUUAAUUACCAAUUCAAGACUAAUUCCCAUUAGAUGAAUAAACAAUCAACAAGCAUAAGGUUCCAAGUCUAAAAUGACCAGACAGCCUCUUUGUGCAUCAAAAUAAGAGCUAAGAAAGACUGAAUCUUAUACAGAAAGAUAAAGCAAACAUCACAUGAUCUCUAAUUCCAAUUAACUUAGAACUCUAAUCUAGAUUAAUCCUCUCAUGAAGGCACUAACCUCUACACUAAUCCAUUUUCAAACCAAAUCAUCAUUUGUGAAAUAUGAAUCAAUGAGCAUUAAGAAACAGUUCUAAUAUGUCAUUCAUGCAUUUAACAAUCAUUCCCAUGAUGAAAAAGGCAUAAACCCUUAAGUUAGCUCAUUCAGGCAUUUCAUCAAACACCUUGUGGGUGGAGAAAUGCCUAAGUUCUAGAUCAAGCUUAUAAUGAGAGAUCUAGCAUUAGGAUCAGCUAACUAAGGAAAAGAGAAGAGAAUCUAAGCUUAAACAAUCAUUAAUCUACAUCUAAGCACCCUAAUCUACACACGUAGAAGCUUAAAAGAAGACUACUCACUAAUCAUGAUGAACACACCAUUUCCUUUGCAGAGGUGAUGUUAAUCAUGAUUAGAAGCAAAGAUAAGAAGAUGAGAUGAACUUUCACCUAAACCUAGACUAGCCCUUGAUGUUGGACUAGUAUCUACAUGCAGCACUAUCUUUGUCGCUCUAAACCCAACACUUUUUACCAAGUCUACUAGAAACAAGGCCUCACAAAUCAUGCACACAAGAAGGGUGUUUAGGCUUCAAAGAAAGGUUUGGCUAAAGGCAGGGAACUGUCUCAAGAUGAGAGAUCAGCUAUUUGAGCUAGCAAGAGUGAUAAAAUGGGAUAAGAAAGCUCAAAUAUGUAUGUGGUACCCAUGAAUUCACAAUGAUAUGCACAAACAUGAUAAUUAGAUGUGAAAUUCAAGGGUUCUCACUUAAGCAAGGUUGAGGCUAUUCACAACUUGAUUCAGCUAGCACAAAAGUAUUGAGACACCAGUUCAAAGCAUGGUUCACACUUGAUUUCAUACCAGUUUUGCAAUGCCUUAAGGGACCAAGCUCUUAAAAUGAUGCUCUCUUCAAGAAAAAAAUCUAUCAUUACUCCCAUUUGCAUAUGAUGCAACCUAUAUGAAAAUGCAAACUAGACUCAACCUAAAAUGUGAAUGCAACUACAUGAGCAUUUUUUGUGAAAAUAUUUCAGAUUUUUCCAUUUUUUUGGUUUUUAUAUGCACUUAGAUGAAUGCAAAAUGAGACUCAAAGUGAAAAGGAAAAUAAGAGCAGAAUAAACAUGAUUAGUAAACACAAAACCCCUCCCCCACACUUAGAUAACACAGUCCCUUGUGUUAUAAAAGCAUAAGAGAGGAGUGAAAAGCAAAAGCAAGAAAGAUGCAAAAUGAGAAAUAAAGAACUAGAUGCAUAUGUACAAGGAGUUUGGAGUGUUACCAGAUUUGUUUUUGAUGGAAGGGAGUAGUGGAAUUGUGAAUUUCAGGGGGCUAAACAUCACUGGAGGUGUCCUAGUUUUGAUGCUGCUCCUUGCACUGAUCUGAACAUGCUUGUAGUGAGGGCUGGAGCUCGUUUUUGUGAAUUGUUCCUCUUGCCACCCCCUGUUGCCAUGGUCUGGAAGCUCCUCUGGACAGCCCGUGGCAUUCUUUUGUUCUUCCUCUAACACAUUGCCACAGCUUGGAUGUGACCGUGGCAAAGAGACCAUGGCAAAAGCCGAAGUUUCUGCUGCCUUAAAACAUGUUGCCACGCCUUGAAUCUAUCCAUGGCAUUCCUCCCGUGGUAAAAGCCGAAUGGUGGUCUAUUCAAAAUUCAACUUGCCACGGUUCAAUUCUGGGUGUGGCAAUCUCCCCAUGGCAAUCACCGAAGGUUGGCAUCCAAGAAAAAACUUCAUGCCACGCCUGGGUCAAGCAGUGAUUCAUGGUCGUGGCAAACUGUGAACUUAGCCAAAUUUUGCAUUUCCUUGCAUCUUGUCCACCAUUCCUUAAGGCCAAAGAACACCAGGUCAUCUGUAACCUGAACACACUCCACAAGACACAUCAAAUCAUCCUAAAAACACCAAAAGAAAGCAUUAAAAAGAAUAUUUACAAAGGAUAAGUUUGGGGUGUCUCCCAAGAGCACUUUGUUUAAAGUCACUAAAUUUGACUUCUUACACUCUUUUUAGUGAGGGAGAGGAGGAGCUUUGAUGCUCCUUGUCUUGUCCAUGAAUUCAAGCAUGAGGUCCUUGUUCAUCAGCUCUUGGACACCAUCAGAUCCUUUGUCUAUGAGCUCUUGUGUGAGGAUUGCCCUGACUUUUGCAAAAGGUUUUGAUCCUCCAAUGCCUUUAACCUUGUAUUCCACAGCUCCACCAUCAAACUUCCAUGGAGUGAGCUUUAUCACCUGAGAAGAGGACCCAAGAGUGAAUGAUUUGGUGCUUCUUGGGUUCUUGUCUUGAGACCCUGAACCAUUGCUUUUGUUGCUGCUGACCUCCUUCUCACUUGGUGUGGGAGAAAAAGAUUCCAAGCAAACUUCAUCAUCACUAAAGAAAUCUCCUUCAAACUCAAGAUCAGGUCUUACUAAGGAUUCUUUGUUCUUCUCAACAGAUGCAAGGGGUUGAGCUUCUUCUAUAGUUCCAAUACUCCCCACAUACUUCAUCUCAUAGUGUUUCAACUCAUAAGAAUCAUCAGUAUAACCCCACAAAAUCCAGCAAAAAGAGGUUUAAGGGGAUAAGAUACUUCAUCAUCUACCUUAGUAAGCACCACUCUUUGAGUAUCAAAGUCCAUCCUUGCUCCUGUGGUGUUCAGAAAUAGAGUUCCAAGCAGAAGAGGUAGCUCUUUGGUCUUUUUCAUCUUCAUGACUACAAAAUCAGUUGGAACUGUGCAUUCACCAAUCUUUAAUGGGUAGUCUUCAAGGAUUCCAUAUGGCUUCUUUGAGGAUGAAUCUCCAAAGGUAAUUUACAUGGGGUGAUGUUUAAGACUCUUGAUCCCAAGUCUCUCCACCAUGUCUAAAGACAUUACACUGAUGCUUGAUCCAGAAUCACUUAAAGCAUUGUCCACUUUCAAACUUCCCAGAGAGCAUGAGAUGGAGAACUUUCCUGGAUUACCUAGCUUGGGAAUUGAUUUGGGUUUCACCCUUGUUGAACCAGUGCUAGAGACUCCAUCAGAUGUCCUUCCUUGAACCAUUCUCUGAUCCUUUCUUUCAGUAAUCUCAGAAUCAUUCUUUCUCAUAUCAAAAGAAGCUGCCUCCCCACCUUCUUCCUCAAUGUCCUCAUUGAGAUCACAGAACAGGAACUCAAACUCAUCUAUGAUGGCGUCCUCAUCAUCUUUUGUCAGGCAUUUUUCACUGGAGACAUUGCCAUGGAGAAGAUCCUCAAUUUCUUGGACAGCAGCAUGAUUCUCAGCAUUUGAGAGGAUUACAUUGCAGUAUUCUGUUUGAUGUGCAACUGAUGUCCCUGGUAAAGAUCUUUGAGCUUGAGAACUGCAGUGACCCUUGUUGUUUUUUAGAGUCUUGACCUUGGAAGCCAAGGUGAAAAGUUGAGUUAGAAGAUCAGAAUAAGUGCAAUCCACAUUGUUGUUAAUCUUUGCCAUUUUCUUGUUGAAGUCCAUGGCACCAUUUGCUUGACCUUGGAGGAUUUGCUGGAGCAGGUUCUGCACUUCUUGAUCCUUAUUCUCUGAGUUCUGUUGGAGACUUUGUUGUUGGGGAGAGAAAAAACCUUGUUGUUGAGUGUUUUGAGGAUAGAAGCUCUGGUUUAAGGGAUUCUUGUUGUAGGUUGGUAACCUUGUUGGCCACCUACAAAGUUCACCUCAGCUGUGAUGUCUUCCCUUUGAAAUGUGUCUUGAAACAAAUGAUUCACAUAUCUAACAAAGUUGGCUGACUGAUGAGAAGCUAAGAGAAGUGUGUCUAGCUUCUCAUUGAGAGACUUGGUGUCUUUCCUUGUCCUUUCCUCUUCAGCACUCACAGCUCCUCUUGAACUCCUUUCAAAGUCUGAUCCAUAAAGCUCAUCACUCUGAGCUCUGAGCUACAUUCUCCACUAGGGUCAUGGCAUCAUUGACUUCCUUGGUCAUGAAAUUACCAUUUUAAGCUAUGUCCAAGAGGAGUCUGACCUUUGGUAAAGCACCUCUGUAGAAGGUACUUAGCAGCUGACAAUCUGAGAAUCCAUGGUGAGGGCAUUGCAUGGUAUACCCUCUAAAUCUUUCCCAAGCCUCACAAAAUGAUUCAUGGUUCUUCUGAAUGAAACUUGAGAUUUCAUUUCUUAACCUUGCUGUUCUUGAUGAAGAGAAGAACUUGGUUAGAAAUGCUCUUUUGCAUUACUCCCAUGUUGUGACUGAUCCUUGAGGUAGAGACUUUUCCCACUGAUAAACUUUGUCUCCUAGAGAAAAAGGGAACAGCCUCAACUUGAAACUGUCUUCACUCACUCCAUUCAUCUUAGUUAGAUCACAAACUCUAUCAAAGUUGUCAAUGUGAUCUAGUGGGUCUUCUACUGCCAAGCCAUGGAACCUGUUUGAUUGCACCAUGUUGAUCAAGCCAGACUUGAUCUCAAAAUCGUUUUCAGGUGUUGGAGCUUGAAUCCCAUGUCUUGGACCCUGAGCAUUGGCUUCAUCACCAGCUCCCACAACUUGUUUUGGACGUGGAGGUGGUGGGUCUUGCUGAUUCUGGUGGUUUCCAUUACCACCAUGAGCCUGUUGCCCUUGAUCCAUACCCAACCUCUCAAUGUGCUCAGCUCUUUCUCGUUGCCUUCUUUCUUCACCUCUGGUGUUCAUACACCUGAAACCAAAGACAACACUUGAAAGGUAAUCAGUAAAACAAAAGAAAAUGACUUGAUCUCAAGAAGAUCCAAAGUCCUAAUGCUAGAAUGAAUCUCCAAUUGGGAACGGCGCCAAAUUGAUAGUAGGAAUUUUCAAUCCUUGAUCAAUUCUUCAACUACUCAUGUUAUUGUAGCACUUGAGGUAUCAAUCCAAAUGGAGAGAUUCUAGACACUAGAACUAUGAGGAGCUAUCUUAAUUCAAGUCUAGUAAGCAGAGUUGGUAACAAGGUGAUCUAAAAAGAUAAAGCAAACAAGAACAAGCAGUAAUUAAGAAUUAAACAAGCAAGAGAAACUAAACAAACACUCAAAUUCAAAUAAAGAGAAAGCUAAACCUCUAGAUGUGAUCAUUGAUCAGAGUGCUUUAAAUGUGAAUUCAUGAUGCUAAGCAAACAAUGCAACACUUGCAAUUCUUUAGUCUAGACUUCCAAAUCAGAUUAAUUCAUUCUCAUGACAAAAAUCCCUUUGUUAAUUACCAAUUCAAGACUAAUUCCCAUUAGAUGAAUAAACAAUCAACAAGCAUAAGGUUCCAAGUCUAAAAUGACCAGACAGCCUCUUUGUGCAUCAAAAUAAGAGCUAAGAAAGACUGAAUCUUAUACAGAAAGAUAAAGCAAACAUCACAUGAUCUCUAAUUCCAAUUAACUUAGAACUCUAAUCUAGAUUAAUCCUCUCAUGAAGGCACUAACCUCUACACUAAUCCAUUUUCAAACCAAAUCAUCAUUUGUGAAAUAUGAAUCAAUGAGCAUUAAGAAACAGUUCUUAUAUGUCAUUCAUGCAUUUAACAAUCAUUCCCAUGAUGAAAAAGGCAUAAACCCUUAAGUUAGCUCAUUCAGGCAUUUCAUCAAACACCUUGUGGGUGGAGAAAUACCUAAGUUCUAGAUCAAGCUUAUAAUGAGAGAUCUAGCAUUAGGAUCAGCUAACUAAGGAAAGGAGAAGAGAAUCUAAUCUUAAACAAUCAUUAAUCUACAUCUAAGCACCCUAAUCUACACACGUAGAAGCUUAAAAGAAGACUACUCACUAAUCAUGAUGAACACACCAUUUCCUUUGCAAGAGGUGAUGUUAAUCAUGAUUAGAAGCAAAGAUAAGAAGAUGAGAUGAUAAGAAACAGACUUAGAUUGAUUAAAUCCUUGAGAUAUCUCUUAACAAACUCGUUUUUACACUAAAAAGGAAAGAAAACUAGAGAGAAAACCAAGCUCCCCCCUUGGAAAAAGCCCUAAAAAGCAUAUAUAGUGUCUCUUGCGGACCGGGUCAGCCCAGGACAAACUGGGUCCUGACCCGGCUUUGAUGGAUAGUGGUGUGGUUUGCCACGGUCAGAUGAUGCUUGGCCAGACCGUGGCAAUCUGACAGUGUCAAAGUUCUUGGACAGAUUCUUCAUGAUUAAGGUUGCCAUGGCUUGAUUUACACCAUGUCUAGUGGCUGUGUCUCUUCCUUUCUGGGUUUGGGUGAUGAACUUCUUGGAUUGCCACGAUCUUGAUCUGGACCGUGUCAUGUUGGGCGUGGCAAGGUGUUGAUCAUUCGAUGAUUGCCACAGCCUGAUGUUUGGCCGUGGCAUUAUGGGUGUGUCAAAGAUCUUCAUUGCUUGCCGUGGUCAGGUUCAAGGCCGUGCCUCAAGACCAUGUAAAAUCCCGAAAGUUGGCUUCAUCAGUAGUACAUUGCCACGGUCUGAUGUAGACCGUGGCAUUCUCACAGUGUCAAUCGCCGAAGGUUGGGAAAACAUUGCCAUGGUCAGGUUAGACCAUGGCAUUAAGGCCGUAUCAUGCUCUUUUGUCUCUUUUAGCAAACUUUGGAGGUUGCCACGGCUAAGUGCAUGGCCGUGGCAUGGUAACCGUGUCAAAUCCCGAGAGUUUUCAUAUUAUGCCACGGCCAAGCUCAGGCCGUGGCAUUAUCACCGUGUCAAAUCAUGACACUUAGCACCUUAUCCACUCUUAGACGUCUGGCUGAUAUGUAUGUCUCUCGCCAUUCUUAACUCUCAUCUCACGACUCCAAAUCCAAUGAUUCGACCUGUUCUGGGACCGUGACUCUAUCAUCUCCAACUUUGAUGAAGGGUUAGGGUUCAUAUGACGUCGGCAAGGGCUCCGUUCCACCGGUUCUUUGAGGCGCAUCGUUUAAGACCUGAUCGGGCCGCGAGACAUGUGUUCCUUCUGAUGGCAAUAUCUCCCAGUUCACGGCUCCAAAUCGUCUGAUUCCAAGUGUUCCAGAAACUAGACUCAUCCCUCUUGAUUCGUGAUGAAGACACUGGAGGUUGAAUCGCAUUGCACGUCCUUCUUCCCACGCGAUCAAAGUGAGGGUUUUGUCUGCACCAAACCAUCUGUCCGAGUUGCUGUACACAGGUGAGGGUUCCUCCAUGAUCCCAGCUCCAAGUUGCUCCCAAAAGUCUCCAAAUGACCUGAGAACACUCCAAAAAUGCAGGACACUCUAGGACCUAAUGCAAUUCCUAACUAAAGACAAAAGCAAAGACAAAUAUAUGUAAAACUACCUAAAUGUAUGCAUGAGACUCAAUAUUUGGACAAAAAUGCAAUCCUAAACAUGAAAAAAUAUGAGUAUAUCAACUCUCUACUUAAGGAACUCGGUAUUCAACUACCACGACCGCCGGUGAUCUAAUGUGAUAACGUUGGAGCAACAUAUUUAUGCGCAAAUCCUGUGUUCCACUCACGAAUGAAGCACAUCGCCUUGGAUUAUCAUUUCAUUCGAACUCAGGUCCAAGCCGGUCAGUUGCGUGUAGUACAUGUCUCCACUAAAGAUCAAAUCGCAGAUGCCUUAACUAAAUCACUACCUCGGAGGACUUUCACGACAUUUGUUUCCAAGAUUGGAGUGACUAAGGCCCCUCCAUCUUGAGGGGGCGUAUUAGAGAUAUUCCCUCUAUCUUUGACUACUACAAUUACGGUUCCAUAUAUGUAAAGUAGAUAGUCUCUUCUGUAAUACCCUAGACGUCUCUCCCUGUAUAUAUUCACUCCUCUCCUCUGUAAUCGAUACACAACUAAUAAUAAACAUCAUUACUCUCUUAUAGAUAGUGGCUGUUCCAGACAUUGUUGGGAAAUUUACCCAAUAUUCUUUCGUGUGCUGAAGAAAGAAAGCAGGUCCAGG